CGGCCUCCUGGCCCUUGCUUUAUCACUUUUCCCUGAUUUUUGCAUUGCCAGAGGCCAGCACUGCGGCUCUUCUUUCUGUGGAAACAUUAACAUCAGUUACCCUUUUCGGUUAAAAACCCAGCCUCGCAGCUGUGGAAACCGUAAGCUAGAACUCGAGUGUGAUGACGAGAAUAACCGCACCAUUUUCCCCAUGAAAUAUGGGAAUUUCUAUGUCCAACACAUCUCUUAUAGUGAUGGAACCAUUCAACUUUUAGACGUAAGUCUUGGCAACGAUAACUGCUCCAUUCCUCAUAGUUCCUAUCCUUGGUACACCCCUUUCGCGAAAAAACUAUAUCUCUAUCAAACUACCUCUGACUUUAGCAUCAUGUAUCUCGUCAAUUGCACGACGCAGAUCAACGACUCUUGGGUUUAUAUCGAUGCUUUUCGUUGCGCCAAUACCCCUUCCCCUCGACCUUGUUACUUGUAUUUUUUGGAUGGAGAAACAGCAAAUUCUGAUUUCCAUGAGUCAUGCAGAAUUGAAGCCCAGGUUCCAAUCAUGCUUGCCAAUAUCACUGGCCUCUCUACUUCUGAUAUUUACAGAAAGCUGUUGACGGGAUUCCAAAUCGCAUGGUUUUCCUAUGACGAUGAUAAUUGGAUUUUGAAUAGGUGAGUAUUUUGUAGUAUUUUAUUAAUUACAGAUAUGAUCAAUAAAAUAAGAUAAACAAUUAAUUUAUUUGCAAAUUUUACGCAUCAUACUUAGAGUAGAAAUGGAGACAAAUAUUUUUCAAAAAUUUUCAAUUAAAACGUUAGAUUAUUUUAUGUUUCAACUUCUUAUUAAUGAUUUUUAUUCUUUGCUUGAAUAUAUUAUAGAUUGCUAGGGCUGGCCAUCCUGUUGCCGUAUGCAUUAGUUACAUAUAUACGAGGCAACCUGACUUUUUUCCUUGGAGGUAGUUCACUAUCUCGUUUUAUUGGUGCACCUAGCAAAGGUAUGGUUUUCGGAGUUCAUCAGUAGUUUAAUUAGAUGUGUGUCCAAGGUUCUUAGGGUCUUAAGCUUGCGUUGUAUUUGGGCUUAGGUUCUUGGGCUCCAGUCUACCCAAUUUGAUUCGAAAACUUUAUAUCAGUAAAUAAUAUGUUAUUUAAUUUUAAAUCUCAAUUUUAUUUGAAAAUUAAUAUAAAAUUAAAUAUUAUGUUUAUGGACAAAUUAGGCUUUGGUUUUGAAAUUUGCCUAUCUAGUACUGAUACCCAAUCCAACCUAGGCUAUAAAAACCUCUAAAAAAAUUUACCUUCCGCUAAAGUAUAGCAUUAAUUUUUUAUUUGAUAUUUUGGCAGGAACCCAGAUCAUUUGUGUUGCAAUAACAGGUAAAGCCCCACCAUUUACCAUGAAAGUUUAUGACUAUGUGACAUCAUAUUGUAGGACUAAAUAAAUAAAUAAAUAUAUAUAUAUAUAUAUAUAUAUUACAAUAAACACCAAAUUAACAUGAAUGUCAAAGAAAAGCAUGUCCAAGUAGGAGAAAAAAUUAUGGUUAAAUUUUGAAAUUAGUCUUUGUACUCUAUCAAAGUGAUGAAUUUAGUCUUUAUACAAUAAUUUGUAAAAAUUAAAUCUUUAUUUUUUUAAAAAUUGACAAUGUCACUCCAAUUGUUAAUAAUAUUAAAGUUUUUUCUAUUAUUUAUGUUGAUAUGGCAUUAAAUAUGAUGAUGUGACAUUUUUAUCUAUUUCAUAAUAUUCUUUUCACAAUUUUAAAUUAUAAAGCACAAAAAUUCAAUUAUUCUAUGUCUCAUAACAUUCUUUCCAUAAAUCCAAGAAACCUAUUUGUAUUUUUCAUUUGUUUCUUUUCCAAUCCCAUUUAAAACCAUUAGUUCAUGUUGAAUAAUUUCAUGUCCGCACUUAUAAAGUUCAUGUUAGUGCUUGGUUAUGUCAUAUCAGUACUACUAUUGCAUCAUUUGUGAAAUGUCACAUUAUUAUCGUUAUGUCAUUUGAUUUAAUAUCAUAUUAGCAAGAACAUAUCACGUCAACACAGACAAACGUCAUAUCAUUAUAGAUAACAGAAGAUUUUUAACACCUUAGACUAACAUUGUUAAUUUUUGAAAGUACAGGAACUCAAUUUUUACAAAUUAUUAUACAAAGUCUAAAUCCACCACUUUGAUAAAGCAUAAAGACUAAUUGCAUAAUUUAAUCAAAAAAAUAUAUUUUGUGCUAUAAAUAUUAUAUAUUUUAUUGUAGGAAAACAUGCGCAUUAAAAAAAUUGUGUAAAAACCUUUGUAUUGAUCAUACUUGUACUAGUCUUUUACCUUUUUAAGACUAACCUAGAGUAAAAUCAAGAUCUUGAUUCUAGACAUUUUACAAGCCUUUUGAUCUCUAAAAACUCAUUGUGGGAAACUACUACAAAAAUGAGUAGCAAUAUACUUUUCACAAUAUAAGAACCUUAGUCUAACAUUAUGUGGAGGGAGAGAAGUUUUUCUCUAGAACAAAAGUUUUAUGUUCUUAUAUUUUCAUAACAUUCUUAGGUUGUGUUUGGUAUGAGGAAUGUAUACCACAUUCCUGGGAAUAAUAUUCUUAUGUUUGGUAAGCAACAUUUUAGAGAAUGAUGCCUUACCAUGGGAAUGUUGUUCCCAUUGCAAAAGGAGGGAAAGUUUAUGUGAUGAUGGGUGUUAUGAACCCUUUGUUUGUAUUGCUGGUCCAUGUUUAUUGGUGGUUAUUUGUCUUGAUCCCAUACAUAGCCUAGGUUGAUUUUUUUUUUUUGAGUUGGUGUAUGCUUUUCUCUAUAGCUGCUUUCUCCGCAAAGCAGAUUUUUUACCCUUCAUGGGUAGCUUUUGUAAAAGCCUCUCUUGAAUCAAAUACAAUUUUAACUUUCAAAAGAAAAAAAACUUGAAUUUUGGAAGUUUUAUACUAGAAACUCAUUAGAGCCAACAUAGACACAUAAACCCUUUUAAAAAUUGUCUCAUGUGUCCUAGACUUAUUUAAACACAUCAAAUAUGAGUAUCUCAAUCCCACAAUGAGCAUACUUCAACCUCUUUUCACAUUGCAACUUAUAAUCAUAAUUAUAUCAUAGCCCUCAAAAGCAACAUAAUUGGUUGACCUUGAAUAUAGUGCAUUGAUGUAGUAUCAAAUAUCUUUCCCUUUGCCCCAAUACUACUUAUUUUAAAAAGAGCGUUUUCUCAAUAAUUUCCUAUAUAAUCGAAUCAUCCAUGAUCUUAAGUAGCAUACCCAAGUAGCAGAUAUUCAUUCUUCACUUUAUGAGAGUCAAAAGGCAUAAAGUGCAUAGUACAAGUUUUAUUAACCUCCUAAUUAAGACUCACACGAUGAAGAAGUAAAGAUCCAUUUUGUCACCUCCUAUAUCGAUUAUAAAGUGCAUGUAAUAUGAAGUACAUACUACAGUGAAGGGUUUGUCUCUAAGAGCAUACGUAAAACUCCUUAAAACUGUACAAGUCUUAGUCUAGUCGCUCUUUAAUAGCAUCUAACUUGAGUUUCCCAUUUGCUUGCCAUUUUAGGCGCCAAAUUAGGCCUCACAUCUAGCUUCCUCCACAGGUUACAUGGAUUAUGGGCUAGUUCAUUAUUGGUCCCUUAGUUAUUAUUUAUUAUAUGGACCUCAUCUUGGCUCCAACCAGGACAACAUUUCAAACUAUAUUUGUUAUCUAAAAGCUUUUGUAGUUUGUGUCUCAUUUUUGCUCGCCUUUAGAAAGGUUAAAUGCGAUUACGGGUAUAAGUGAGACAAUUUCGAACUUGUUGACAUAUCUUAUAUCUCUUGUCUGCUAAUUAAUAUAUAAACAUAAAUCCAUCUAUUAUGGAAAAAAAUUACAUAAACAUUUAAUAUCCCAAAGUUUCAAUACAUAAAAUAAAAAAAAUCAGCAUCUAUGAAGUCCUAAAGGCUUAACAUGAGUCACAGAGGCAUCCCUUAGAAUAAGUUUAGUCAAAGGAUCCACAGCCAUAUGACAAGUGGAAAUAUGUUUUAAGAUCAAGUCCUUUUGCAUUGUUAAAUCUCUAAUGAAGCUAUUUCACAUAUCAAUGUGUUUGGUUUUGUCAUGAUAUUUGUAUGCUUCAUGAAAGAAAUUGUUGUCAUACUAUCACAAUGAAUGGUCAUUGGAUUUAAGGCACAACUAAUUACAUCAAGAUUUUGAAAGAAUCGCCUCAACCAAAAUAUUUCUUGUACGACUGUUGAACAAGCUAAAAAUUCUACUUCCAUAGUUGGUAAGGCAAUGCAAGAUUGCUUCUUGUUGUUCUGUGAGAUAUCGCCACCAUUGAGCAAGAACGCAUAGCUUGAUGAUGAUAUUUGUAUGCAAGAUUGUUUCUUAUCACUUCCUCAAUCAACAUCAUUAUAAUCAAUGAGGUUCAAACUUGAACUAGAAUAACAUAAUUUAUAAUCAAUAUUUCUCUUAAGAUAGCACAAUAUCCUUUUAAUUGCUUUCCAAUGGACAGGUUCGAUAGGAAUUUACUUAUUGAACCAUUUGCAAAGUUGAUAUCAAGCUUGGUGCACAUCAUAACAUAUACAUAUAAUAACUAACUACACUUGAAUAAGAAACAUAAGCCAUCUACUUUUGUUUUUUGCAGUCUUAGGAGCUAUAUAAGGAUUCAAGGUUUUGAUUUUUGUAAUAAAAGUAUCAAUGCGUUUUUGCAAUUUUGCAUCUGGAAUCAUUUAAGAACUUUCUUGAUAUAUGUCUCUUAGGACAAACCAAUGUCUUUUUGAAUAAUCCUUUAGGAUCUUAAAUCCAAGUACAUAAUUUGGUUCAACCAUGUCAUUCAUCUUAAAGUUUGAGGACAACCACUUUUUAGUGGCAAUACCCAACCAAUAGUAUAUCAUCAACGUAUAAUGACAAUAUGAUGAAACUUCCUUUGAACCGUUUAACAUUCAAUAAUCACAAACCUAGUAUGAAUAAUGGUGUGAUGAAAUUUAAGAUACCAUUGUCUAGAUGAUUGCUUUAGCCCAUAGAUAGAUCAUUUAAGCUUGCAAACUUUGUGGUCUUGAGCUUUUGCAACAAAGCCAUUAGGUUGAUUCAUAUAGAUCUUUUCAUCUAGUUUUUCAUUGAGAAAUGUUGUUUUAAUACCCAUCUGGAAAAGCUUUAGAUCUAAAUUUGCAACUAAGGUUAGAAUUAAGCAUAUUAAGGCAAACCUAUCUACUGGUGAGAAGGUUUCCUCAUAGUCCACCCCUUUUUAUUGUGUGUACCCUUUCGCUAUUAGGUAAGCCUUGUAUCUUUCAAUGGAAUCAUCCGCCUUGCCUUUUGCUUUUAGAAUGCAUUUGUUCUCAAUAGUCUUACGCCCUAGUGGAAGUUCAAUUAAGUCUCAAACAUGAUUUGUCCUUAUAAAUUGUAGGGUUGUUAACGAGUAGGGUACCUGUUAAUUUUGAGAUAAUACCUGAAUCCUAUAACUACCUAAAUAUUUUUGAAAAUUAGUACCAUAAUUCAAACCCAAAUAUAUAAACACUGCUCGAUAAGUAUUCGUACCCGUUUUAAAACCUAUUAUGUACAAAAAUAUUAAAAUACUAAGAAAAGAAAGAAAAGACAAACCAAGAACAAAUUAAGCAAUUGAACAACGAUUUGAGCACUAACCAGAACAAUGAAUGACUAAGAAAAGAAAGAAAAGAAAAAGGAGUUGCUAGGGAGCAAGUUGAGCAUUGACCAGGACCAAGAACGACUAAGAAAAGAAAAACAAGACGAAAGAGCAGCAAAAGUAAGCGAGUUGAGCAAUGAGCAUUGACUAGAAGGUAUAGAACUAGGAACGACUAAGAAAAGAAAGAAAAGAAUAAGAGGCGGCUAGGGGAAGAAAAGAAAAAAAAAAAGAAAGAGUAUUGAGGGGAAGAAAAAAAAAGAAAAAAAAAGGGCUAGGAUUUAUAUAUUAAUAUAUUAAUAUUAUUAAAUUAUAAAAUCAACAUUAUUUUAUUGUUUAGUAAUUAUCAACAUAAUCGGGUUCAAGUAGUGGGUACCUAAGGGAUAACACUUGAGCCCUACCCGAACCUAAUACAAGUGGUGAAAUUACUAUCCAAACUUGUCUCAAACUCGAUUAUAAGAUACCCUAACCCUAUAUAAUCGAGUCGGGUACUCGCGAGUACCCUAUAACAGGGUACCCAUUGCCAUCCAUAAUAUAUUUUAUUUCAUAAUUCAUUGCAUUUUUUUACUCUUGUGUAGUAAAGGAAGAUAAAGCCUUUUGAAUAGUUGUCAGUUCAGCCUCCUUUUGUAGAGCAAUUAUGAAAGCUUUUCCUCAAUCUGAAACCGAUGAUAAGAGAUACAUAUACGUUUGUUUCUACGUAACUCAACUUGAGGAUCUUUAUCUAUUGUGAUAGAUGAACUUAAUGGUAAAUGGCUCUCUCUAUCCCCAAAAGUUUGAGGAAUUUCUUUCACAUUCUCAAUUAGGCUGCUUGGUGGGCCAAUAUCAAGACCUUCAAUUUCAUAAAGGUAUAUUUCAUUAUGAAUUUCUCCUUUGCUUGGGAAAUCUUCUUUUAAGAAAAUCACAUCUCGUGACUUAUGUUUGGUUAUGCUUCCAUUUCCAUGUUCUCAUAUGAACACAUAUCCCUUAGAGUGUUCAAAGUACCUUGUAAAGAUACAUAUUUUUGCUGUUAGAUAUAAUUUCCCAUCCUUAUACUAAGUAAUGUGUACAAAAGUAGCUAAACCCCAAGGUUGCAAAUUACCCAUGUUAUGUUUUCUGUUGGUCUAAAGCUCAUAUAGGGUUGAAAGUAUUGAUCUGUACGAUGCACAAUAAAGAACAUAAGAAAUAGUCAAAAGUACAUCCCCCAAAAAAGAUAAGAGAAUAUCUGUUUACAACAUCAUCGACCUAACCAUGUCUAAGAGGAUUCUGUCCAUUCUUUUCACUACACCAAUUUGUUGAAAAGUCUUUAGAAUCGUUAGUUGUUUGAGUAUCCUUUUUCAUGACAAAGCCUCUUAAAUUACUCAGAUAAAUAUUCACAACCUCGGUUUGUUCUUCCAGGCUUAAGCUUUGGUCUAGUUGAUUCUCAAUCAAGGUUACAUAGUGUAUUUUUGAACUUAUGGCAAAUCAAGUAGACAUUACCAAACACGUAUAGCAAUUUAUAAAUGUAAUGAAACAAGGAGCACCAUGGCUUGCCUUCACAUUCAUUGGGCCACAAAUGUCUGAAUGGAAUAUUUGUAAUAGAACAAAUACUCUUUUGGCUUUUCCAAAAUGGUUUUUUAAUUGCUAUUCUAUAAAAAAUGUUCAUAGGUUGGCGAAGAAACUUUAGCGAAUGGGCCUAAAAGACCUUUUUUAGCUAAUCUAGUCAUUUUAUCUUGUCAAAUAUGGUCUAAUCUAGCAUGCCAUUUUACAAAAAUAUUACAAACAUUAUCAUGGGUAACAAUUAAAGAAAUAGAUCAUUGACAUGAUUAUAGCUAGCAUAAUUAGUGUUUAAAAUCAUCAAACCAUCUCGAAUAAAACCACAAUUAUAAUUAAUUGUUCCUAUAAAAAUACCAACGUGAUUUCCCUCAAAAGCAAACCUAAAACCUAAGUUUAACAUGAUUAUAACUGAAAAUAAGUUUUGCCAAAGUUUUGGAGUAUAAAUGACAUCAUGAAGAAGCAAGGUACAAUACUAUACAUUUCCAACUUGUAAAUGCCAAUGCCUAGUACCUCCAUGCUAGUAUCAUUCUCAUUUUUUAUGUUUUUAAAUCUAACUAGAAUUAGAUGGAACUCGAAAAAUCCAACUCUUUUCUUAGUCCACAAACCACAUCAGAAAAGGAUGAAUAGAUAAAGUUUUACUAGCCACAAAGCAAUCAAAAUGAGACAUACAAUUGGAAAGUACUUACUUUCACUUCAUGCACUACAAGCGAAAUGUCCUAAUUUUCCAUAGUUAUAACAAGUUAAUUUGGCUCUAUCUUUCUUACCACUAAGCUUGCAUUUAUGAUGCUUGGUAGUUUUUUCCUUCUUUGGUGCAAUCCAUUAUUAGUGUCCUUCUUAAAGACUCUUCUUCACUUAGACCAAGAUGCCUUGCAUGAACUAGGCUUUGCAACAUUGACAACAUUAAUUGUGGUAGAUUUUUGAACCUUCAAGCACUCAUCUUCCAACUCCAAAUGACAUAAUAUGUCAUCAAAAUUUUUUUACGCUAUCAUUAUAUGUCGCCUCUGUCUUCAUGUGCUCCCAAGAGUAAAAAAAAAAAAAAAAGGGAAUGACUACUUGAAUCUAUUGUUCAUCUGUUAAGACAAUCUCUACUGCCUUAAGCUAAUCAAGGUAGAUAUUGUUCUCAAAUGUUUUUUCAUUGAUUUAUAUGCCUUUUUCAUAUAAGUAUUGAACUUUAAGUUCAACUAGCACAACUUAGUUAGAUAAACCAUUCCAUAUUUGUUAUUAAAGGCUUGCCACAUCUCAUGAGUUGUCUAAUUCUACUCAAACUUGCCUAUCAAAUCCUUGUGCAUGGUGUCAACAUAGUAAAAGCAUGCACCAUAAUCCUUCUUACACCAAUUUUGCUAGGCUUUAAGAUCAUAAUUGUGUUGAUCAUUGUGCAUGUUACUCAACAUAGUAAAGAGUGCACAACGAUCCUUUUUGCAACAAUUUUGGUAGUCUUCAAGAUCACAAUGGUAUUGAGUUAUAUUUUCAGGUAUGCCUCUUGCAUAAUUUGGUCAAGGCAUUUGAAAACCCCUUGCUUAUUUAAGAGAUAUUGGAUUUUAUGACACUAAAUUCAAUAUGCUCGUAAUCAUCUCUAGUAUACAAGUAAUUAUUAACAUUAUUCAAAAUAAUUCGUAAAAUUUUAGUUUUAGGAGAAAAAUUCUAAAAAUUUCACUCAUACCAACACCUCCCACUUAUCAUGGCAUUUCUGGAUAUGACACUAAAUUGCAUAUUACUAGAGAACUUAGCAUGCUUAACAACUCAUAAAAUUAUAUCAUGCUAAACAUAUUUAAUUUCUGAAUAAUUUAAAUGUCAUCAUAUAAAUCAUGUAUCACAUGAAUGCUAUUCACUUAAAAUAUUAAAGACAUAACCUAAGUAUUUUUCUUAAUAAUUAAAAUUUCAAAAAGGUACAAAUUAUGGAGAAAAUUCUAAUUAUAGGUUCUAAAAAUUCAUAAAAUGCACACCAGACAUCUCUUUGUUGCACACAUUCCCAUAAGUGUAGCAUAAACUCUCACUGACCCAAAAACAAAGGCAUGUGGCUCCGCGUGCACGAAUGAGUCGCGAAAAUUUAAAGUUAUGUUUUUAGCAUAUUUUAAUUUUAAAAAUAUUUUUGAGAAAUGUUAAAAUUAUGAAAAGACUAUAAAAGAAAUAAAUAGCAAUAUUCUUGAAUUUUUAGUGAUAGUGUGUCAGAAGCGCACCUCCAUAGAGUCCUUACACGCCACCACACACCACCUAGGUGUGAGUGGGCAUCUUUUUCUACCCAAGAAAACUAUUUCAAUGCAAAUCAUUAUCCCUUGGUGGCAUGUGCAAUCCACGCACUGCUUCGUAGAAGCUUUUUGUCAUGUUCUUUAUGUUAGUUGGUUGAUCUUAGAAAAGAGAAUCCAUUAUGGUGGUCAAUGCUUCAACUGGAGUAUAGGGUGUACGACAUGCAUUAAGUCGAAAGUGGUUUGGGCUUUUGGUCUGUUUUUUUUUUUUUUUCAAUUUAGUCUCAAUUUCUUUUGCAAAGUUCUCUAAACAUACAAAUCCAAAUGAUACAAAUAAUAUACUGAUGGAAAGUUUAUCAAGAAAGGAUAUUAUUAGUAUAAAAUCGUAAAUAAAAAAACAUAGGAUAGAGAGAAAAUAUAAUCAAAGUUUCAGAUCAAACUUUUAAUUUUUUUUUCAAUAUUUACUCAUCACAUGAAGCUUAAAUUGUCAAGAUUUCAUUAAGCACAUAUAAGUAUCAUAUGAUGAAAAAAUCAGUGUUGAGUUUUAGGUUGUCUACCAUUCUAUAUUUUAUUUGAUUAGGAUUGUUGUUUGUAUACAACAUUAAAUAGUUGCAUAGUUUUAAGCUUUUUGUUCUACAUUGAGUCUUAAUCACAUUAUACUUAGACUUUUAUAUUAUAAAAGUGGAUCUCUGAGCUUUGAGAAAGGGUUUAAAAUAGUGAGCAGUGCUUUGAGAACUCUAAAGAGGGAACAUUUUGUAACUCUAUCUUUUGCUCUAGGUGAAGCUAGAGUGGUUUGGGUUAAUAUUCUUGGGAGGUUAUUGUAAAAGGGUGUGUAAGGGAUCUUAAAUUGGUUUUGGAAACUAUAGAGGUCAAUUUAUUAUACUUUAAUUUCUCAAUAAUAGAAAAACGGUUUCAUUCUGUAGAUGUAGGUAAAAGGCCAAACCACGUAAAUUCUUAUGCUUUUUCUGUUUGUUUGAUUUCUCUAAGUUUUAUUUUUAUUGUUUCUUGGACAAUUUUCACAAUAAACUGGUAUCAGAGCAUUGGGUUUGAGAAAAUCAAGAUUCAACAAAUAUGUCAAGAGUUACUAGUUCUACAAAUUUUUCAAUUGAAAAGUUUGAUGGGAAAACUAGUUCACGUAGUGGCCGAGAAGGAUGAAAGAUCUCCUUGUGCAACAAAGUUUGGUGUGUCCCUUGCUAAGAAAGGAGGAAAGGUAACUAGAUGACAUGAAGGAUGUUGAAUGGGCAAAGUUGGAGCAAAGGUGUGUGAGCACUAUUCGGCUUUGCAUUAGAGAUAACAUGCUUAACUAUGCUAUUGAUGAAGAUUCUGCUCCAAGGUUGUGGGCAAAAUUGAAAAAGAUUUACUUGACAAAAAAUCUUUCUAAUAAGUUGCAACUUAGGCGAAAGUUGUAUCGCUUAAAGAUAGAAGAGAAUGGAGACCUCAUGAAGCAUAUGAACGAAUUCGACGGGGAUCAUUGAUCAAUUGAAGAAGGUUGAUGUGAAGGUGGAGAAAGAUAAAAAGGUACUGUUAUUCCUAGCAUGGCUCCCAAACUCCUAUGAGGUAUUUGUGGAAUCUUUGAUAUGUGUGGUAGAUACAAUAACGUUAGAACAAGCACAAGCAACAUUAAUGUCUUGUGAAACUUGAAAGAAAAAUAAGAAAGGGGAUAGAGAUUCAAGUAGCUUGGCAUUGAUAACUGAGGUUUGUAGAAGGAAGUCAUUCGACAUGGGAUUUAAGGGUGGCAAGUCUAGAUCUAGCAAUGUUUAGUGCUUUCAAUGCAAAAGGUAUGGACAUAUUAAAAAGGAUUGUCCUACAAAAUAGGAUGAAAGUAACUUGAACAAAGGUGAGUGUGCUUUUGUUGCUGAAGGUGAUGAUUGUGAUGUCCUUGUAAUAUCAGAAAAUAUGGAUACAAAUUCUGAUUGGUAUUUAGAUUUUGCUUCUGCCAUUCAUGUAUGUUAUUAAAAGGAUUAUUUUGAUUUAGUUCAAGCAGGAGUGUCUGAGAAUUUGACUUUAGGUAACAAGUCAAUAAUGAAGGCCAUAGGUCUUGAAAUGGUGAAAAUCAAAAUGUUUGAUGAGGUUGUGCGCUCUUUAGGUGCUGUGGCCUAUGUCCUAGAGAUGCGUAAGAAUUUAAUAUCAUUGAGCUUGUUAGACUCCAAAGGGUGUAAAUAUUUUGCUUAUGAUGGAGUGGUAAAAGUCACACAAGGUGCCAUGGUCUUGAUGAGGAGAAAUUUGCAUAAUGGUUUGUAUCGUCUAGAAUGUGAGGUCUCGAAGGGAUGGGAACAGUGCACAAGUGAUGGUGGCUACUAAAGUGAGAUUUCAUUUGCCGAGAAGGUGAUGAAAGGUUCUCAUGGCAUAGACAGUGGUGAAAAGACGAAAAAUCUUACUAGUAGUGAAUUGGAAAGGUCAUUGAGGUCCAUUUUCGAAGUCAAUUAAUGCCAUUGACUUGACGGCUACACAGUUGCAUUGGCCAUUUUAUGAAAAUGAGUGUUGGACCAUGCUUGAUUUAGUAUGUGUAGUCGUGGUAAUUUUUAAGGCCAAUGGUUUGGAAAGUCUUGUACUUGGAGAGUUGUUUAAUGUGUAGGAAAGUAGGUGGAGUUAGGAGGUUGCAAUUAGGUGCGAUUGGUGGAAGAGCCUUAAAGAGUUUGAAUUCAAGUCAAAGGUGGAGAUUUGUUGAGUUUUAGGUUGACUAGAAUUCUAAAUCUUAUUUGAUUAUGAUUCUUAUUUGUAUACAACAUUAAGUAGUUGAAUGGUUUUAAACUUCUUAUUCCACAUCGAAUCUUAAUCACAUUCUACUUUGAAUUUUUAUAUUAUAAAAGUGGAUUUCUAGGCUUUAGAAUAGUGAGUGGUGCUUUGAAAGUUCUAGAAAGAUAACACUUUGUAACUCUAUCUUUUGCUCUAUGUGGAGCUAGAGUAGUUUGGGUGAGCGUUCUUGGGGGGUUAUUGAAAAAGGAUGUGCAAGGGAUCCUGGGUUGGUUUUGGGAACCAUAGAAGUCAAUUUAUUGUACUUUAAUCUCUCAAUAAUAAAAGAACGGUUUCACUCUUUGGACAUAGACAAGAGGCUGAACCACAUAAAUUCCUAUGUUUUUUCUAUUUAUUUGAUUUCUUUGGGCUUUUUAUUUAUUAUUUUUUGGGCAAUUUUCACAACAAUCAGACCUUAGAAACAUACCUUUCUACAAUUAUCAUUAAGAUGCCUUUGCCAUAUAAGCUUAAAAAAUAUGAUAAUCAUAAACUAAGCUAUAAUUAAUGAAUCUUAGCAUGUUAGUCAUGUUUUUCAGAGAUCAUAACAACAUGAAAAUCCUUGAUUCGGCUCUAAUAUCAAUGUAAGAAAACAUGCAGAUUACCAAAAAAUUACGAAAUAAUUUUUACUCCGAUCAUACUUAUGUCAGUUUUUUGCCUUUUCAAGACUAAUGCAGAGUGACUCCAAGAUCUUGAUUCUGGGCUUUUUACAACCCUUUUUAUCUCAAAAAUCUCGCAAUGGAAAUUAUUACAAAAAUGAGUAGUAACCACACUCUUCACAAUACAAGAACCUUAGCUUAACAAUGGAACAUGGAUGGUUUUUCUCUAGGGAGGAAAGUUUUCUACUCUUGUAUUUUUAGAAUAAUCUUGAUGAAUUGUUGGUGUGUCAUUUGGUGGAGCAUCCAAGCAUAUUUAUAAACCUUUUAAGAUCGCUUAAGAACUCUCAUCAAGAUAAUCCUGAAAAUAUUUUUUUACAAUAAAUAAUUUAACAUUUAAUUGAUUUUAGAUUAUUGUAUUCAUUAUAUUGGUUGUAUUUUUCUAUUAAUAUGAAAAAAACUUACAAAAUAAUCGCAUUGUGAAAGUAAUUGAAGUAGUUUUAUAUAUAUAUAUAUAUAAGUGCAUGUGUGUGUCUCCUUUUUCCCCUUUUCUCAAAAAGCACGUGACACAAUUUUGAGUGUCACUAAGUUACACUAUGCGAUAAGGUUAAAAUACACAUCCAUUAUCCCAAUAUACACAAGGAGCUAACUUGUUCUUCCCAUGAUGUUCACUAAUUGCCCUUUCAAUAACUAAUCCUAAGCAACUGCUCCUACUUGGUGUAUAUAUAAAAGCCUUGACAAUUCAUCAAGGAUACGUUGGAAAGUCAACAUACUCCUUCUUUAAGAUACUUUCUCAAACUCUCUCUUACUAAGGUCUUCCUUUGCCCCUUACUUUUUACCUAACUCUCUACCUUGGUCCAUCACUUCCCUAUAUUCUACCUCUUACCACAACACUCAGUGCUUUACCUAUAUCAAUCUCAUUCUUCGUCGCCUCUAUCACAUCUCAUUUUACUUGUUGCAAUACUACCACUCUCCCUAUCAAAGAAGAUUUCCUUCUACACGUAUGUUUAUUUUUUUUUUCAUUUCUUCUUCUCUUUUUCUUAUUUUAGUUAAUUAUCAUUAUAAUGUUAAAAUUAACCAAUCAAAGCUAAUUUGAAUUAUUCUUUUCUUGAGAAACAGGAAUUAUAUUAGCAAGAACAUUAUUGGGGAUAUUUGGCUUGAUUGCACUUGUUAUACACAAAUUAAGGAGAAGACAUUUAGCAAUGGAUGAUAUGAUAGAGAACUUUCUUCAGAGUCAAAACAAUCUGAUGCCUAUAAGGUAUUCUUAUUCUGAAGUAAAGAGAAUGACAGGAGAUUUCAAGAUUAAAUUAGGCCAAGGAGGAUAUGGCUCCGUGUUUAAAGGAAAACUUCGAAGUGGUCGAGAAGUUGCAAUAAAAUUGUUAAGCAAAUCAAAAGCUAAUGGACAAGAUUUCAUCAAUGAAGUUGCAACUAUUGGAAGGAUUCAUCAUGUUAAUGUGGUACAACUUAUAGGAUUUUGUGUGGAAGGAUCAAAACAGGCCCUUGUGUACGAUUUCAUGGUAAAUGGGUCCUUAGAUAAAAUUAUAUUUUCAACAGAGAAUAACACUUUAAGUUGGGAGAAAAUAUUUGAGAUUGCCCUUGGAGUGGCACGAGGAAUUGAUUACUUACAUAGAGGUUGUGAAAUGCAAAUUUUACAUUUUGAUAUCAAGCCACAUAACGUUCUUCUAGAUGAAAACUUUAGACCAAAAGUUUCAGAUUUUGGCCUUGCAAAAUUAUAUUCAGUGGAUGACAAUAUUGUCUCUCUUACAGCAGCACGAGGGACACUAGGAUAUAUUGCUCCUGAGUUGUUUUACAAAAAUAUUGGAGGCGUCUCAUAUAAAGCUGAUGUUUAUAGUUUUGGAAUGAUGUUGAUUGAAAUGGUGGGAAGGAGGAAAAACUUGAAUCCAUUUGCAGAACAUUCCAGUCAAAUUUAUUUUCCGUCGUGGAUCUAUGAUCAAUUUGAUCAUGGAGAUGAUAUAGAGCUUGGAGAUGUGACAGAAAGUGAAAACAAAAUUGUGAAAAAAAUAGUAAUAGUUGCCUUUUGGUGCAUACAGACGAAGCCCACAGACCGUCCUUCGAUGAGCAAAGUCUUGAAAAUGCUUGAAAGUGAACUUGAGCUCCCCGAAAUUCCUCCCAAGCCUUUUCUAUUCUCUCAAGAAAUGUCCACUAAAGAUCAUGCUAGUAAGAAUUCGAGAGAUGAGACAACUACAGAUUCCGAUAAUAUUGUGUAAUGUAAGUUGUGCAUGAAUUUUAGUACUUUAUCAUACUACCUUUAGUGUUUUACAGAUACAUUUCUAAUGAUUUGGGCAUUAGUUGUGGAAAUGAACAUGUGUGAGAAAUAGUAUUACUAAAAUGUAAGACAUUUAAGUUUGAUAUAAUGGUUAUUAUCUCUAUUUAUAUCAUGAAAAAUUUGGCAUUUAGCAAUGAAAAGUUUUUUAUUUAGUGUUACAAAAAAUUGUGAUGUAAAUAUUAUUUGUAGUAGUUUCUCUAACCCUUUUUUUUUUGCAUAUUUUUUGCCACAAAAUGGAGUUUGCAAUAGUCUAUCGUAGCAUAAGACUUUUUAUUUUGCGAAAGAUUAUUUUCAAUACUUUUUAAAUUUUUAUUAAAAAAUUUAGUUUCCAAAAUCUAGCAGUAUGUAUAAAACCUUUCUUUAUUGUAAAAAUAAUUAAAAUUUUGCAACAUUAUAAAAGGUGCUGCAAAAAAAUUGUUAAUAAAUGUAUAAUUUCGUUGAAUGUUAAUUAAAAUGUUUGAGAUUUGAAUUUAUUCUUCUCUUCAUAUAUGUUCCCAAAAAAAAUGUAAAAUGUGGACUCAAUUGUGUUUUUAAGGCCAUUGUAGUUGCUUUUUAGUCUUGGAUUAUUGUAACCUUUCUAUUGUGCAGGUUUAAUUCGAUGAACAACAAAGACUUGUUUUCUCUGAGUUCAAUUGCCAAGUUUGAACACGGAUUUUCUUCUUUCUUGUCUGAGUGGUCGUACCUGUCUACAGAAAUAUAAAGAAAGAUACCCACCGACUUUGGCUUUUUGGUUGUCACUCAUCAAUAGCUUUGGGUACAGCCUGUUUUAUGCUGUUUUGCCAGUUUUGGUGGUUGACUCAUGACUUUCGAUAUAAAUGUAUGGUAAUGUUAUUUAGCAGCCACAGAACAUGGCAGCAACAGUGAAGAUAAGGAACUUUCCUAGGUGCUUCUUUACUUGCCUCAAUUAAAUUACUCUCCCUUGGCUCUCUUUUUCUCUCCCACUGGUGAAAAUUUUGGAUGCUAAAGCGCAAAACUUUAAUCAUUUUGCCUCCUAGCUUUUGCUUUCUUAUAUGAAAAAAGAAUGUAACUUUAUUUUUCUCUUACUUUAUACAAAGAAAAUAUGUGGGUUCAAUUCUUUUUCAUACCUACCCACAAAAGUGAAAUCUUUACCACCAUAUAUAUCCAUGUUUAUCUCUCUUUAGUUGCAAUUAUAUUUCCCAAAUUCUCCUAACAAAAAUUGUAUAGACCUGCCAAAUUUUAUAAAAUUCUAUGCUAAUAAAAUAUUUUUAAUCACACAAGUUAAAAAAAAUUAAAUGCAAAUUUAUUGUAGUGUGUUUUUUCCACUUUGGUCUAGACUCCAGUCAAUUGAAUUUUCAAAGGCAGAUUUGCUUUCAUUUGCACCAAGAGAAUGAUUAGAAUGAUUGCCAGAGCAAUGAAAAUAAGAUAAUCCUAGGUUUUUUUAAUCUUCCUCCUUAGAAUUUUUUACACAUAUGAAAAGAAAAUGUAAAGUAUGGAACUGAUUAAGAAUCCAAAUCCUCUGUCGUAUUCGUUGACUUUUCAAAUGAAGACUUGGUUUUAAUAAUAAAGAUAAGAGAACAUCAUAGCGCUUUUUCACAAACUAAUCAAGCCCUUAAUCUCCUUCUCUCCCACGGAAACUGUAGGCUGCUGAGAGUAAAACUUCCAUUACUUUGCCUCUUGGCUUUUGCUUUUUCUCUACUCCUUGAUGCAUGCAUCGCUUGAGGCAAAAACAAGCACCGUGGCUUUUGUUUCUGUGGCUCUUUGUUUCUGCUGAAACAUUAACAUCAAUUACCCUUUCCGUUAAACUUAGAUUUGAUUUCCGUUGCAGCCAUAGAAAUAAUUAGCAAAGCAAUGAAGAUAACAUUGUGCUAAGAUUUAAUGUUUCUCGUUAAACUUUUUUAUGUAUAAUCCUCCAAAGAAACAUACUUUUUAAUACUUACAGAAAAAUAAAUGUAAAAUAUGAAAUUGAUCAAUUUUGUUUAGAAUUAUUAUUGUAUAUAUCUUGAAAUUUUGAAAUUCCAAAAUUUAUAAUAUUGUUUUUGACUCAUAUUAUACAUACUAUAUAUUAUUAAGGGAUUAUAUUAAUCUCCCUACUGUGUAGAUAUACUUGAAUGAAUUACAAAGAUUUAUUUUCUGUCAGUUUCACUGCCAGUUGGUUGGACACAUAUUUUAUUCAUUGUUGUUUGUUUGUGUGGAAAAUCACCCACGAGCACUAUGGCAGGCUUUGUGUUAAAUGUGUUUUACUGUUUUGGUUUUAAUUAGUUGAUUGACUUUUUAAACAAAGACUUGGUUAAGAAUAAAACUAAGUGAACAUCAUAGUGCUUCUUUACUUGCCUCUGUCAAAACUAGCACCUUAAUCUCCUUCUCUCCCACUGAAACUUUAGGAUGCCAGGCGCCAUACUUGCAUUACUUAUCCUCUUGGUUUUUGCUUUAUAUCUAUUCCCCGAUCCAGGCGUCGCUAGAGUCAAAUACAAGCACUGUGGCUCUUCUUUCUGUGGAAACGUUAACAUCACUUACCCUUUUCGAUUAAAAACCCAGCCUCGUAGUUGUGGUCACGAUAGUUAUGAACUAGUGUGCGAGAAUAACCGCACCAUUUUCCCCAUGAAAAAUGGGAAUUUCUAUGUCCAAGACAUCUCUUAUAGUGACGAAACCAUUAAACUUUUAGACGUGAGUCUUGGCAACGAUAACUGCUCCAUCCCUCAUAGUUCCUAUCCUUCGUACCCCCCUUUUUCGGAAGAUAACUCUGAAUUUAGCGUCAUGUAUCUUGUAAAUUGCACGAUGCGGAUCAACUACUCUUCCGUUUAUAUCGGUGCUUUUCGUUGCACCAAUGCCCCUUCCUCCUCUCAACCCCCUUACUCUUACUUUUUGGAUGAAAAUACAGCAAAGUCUGAUUUCUAUGAGUCAUGCACAGUUGAAGCCCAGGUUCCAAUCAUGCUUGCCAACAUCACCGGCCUCUCUGCUUUUGAUAUUUACACAAAGCUGUUAACGGGAUUCCAACUCUCAUGGGCCACUUCCUAUUAUGAUUAUGUUUGGCUGCGGUGGGACUCAAUUGGUAACGUGUGAGGAUUUUUAAGUACUCCGCAAUAUUUGGUGUUGUUUAGUUUUUGAAAAAUAUUUUUUAUUUUUAGCAAAAAUAAAUCUGAUAAAUUAAUAAAAAAAAUCAAAAUAUUUAGUUUUGAAUUCUUUUAAAUUACUUUUUUAAUUAUGUGUAUAAAUUUGCAUCAAAAAUUUUAAACUCGAUAUUUAAUGUAAAACUUAAAGAGAAGGAUUUAAAACAUUUUCAACAGUAAAAGUGCGCAUAUCAUUUGCCUUAUUAUUGAUUAAUGGUUUUGAUGUGCAUUUUUUAAUAUUAAUUAUAGAUUGCGAUCGUUGCUCUCGUUGUUGUUGCUUCCACUGAAGAUAUUUAUAAGAGGCAACGUUACUUUUUUUGAAGCAGAUCAUAUCGAUGGAUUUUAUAAAGGUAUUCUUUCGGUUCUGAGUUCAUUAAUAUUUUGAUUAUUAUUGGAUUUGCCUUUACUUUGAUAGUAUCUAUUUUCAUUUGUUUUCGAAUUGGUAAUAUCUUUGCAGGAAUCCAGAUUCUUUGUGUUGCAAUAACAGGUACUAAAUUCUACACUUAUUUAUUUACUUUUAAAUUCUAUAAUUGUUAUAAUGUAUGACAUCGUAAUGUAAAUCUAAGAUUCAAAUUGACAUUACUGAUUUAUUAUUAUAAUAAUAAAUAUAUUAAAAAAUUUUAAUUAUUUAAAAUAAUUUAAAUAAGUCUUUCUCUUUUUAUUUUGUUCAAUUAAACUCUUAUACAUUUAUGAUGAAAUAAAUAAGCUUUUAUAAUUAAUGGUUGACUAACUUUUAUUAAUUCAAAUUCAACUUAUCAUUCUAUACUCGUACUAGAGCAUUUGACUUAUUGGUUGAUGCAUAAUCCCCCUGUCUAAAGAAUAGAGUUCGAAUCCCCCCUCCUCCUAUUAUAAAAAAAAAAAAAACUUAUCAUUCUAUACUCACGUGAUGUUAACGUGGAGGGUAAAAAUGUCAUGUCAGCAUAACAUGUUUAUGUCACGUGACAUAAAAUAAUAAGUUGUAUUUUGAUUAAUAACUGGUAGUUAACCAUUAGUUAUAAUGAUUUAUUUGGUUUAAAAUAAAAGUAUAAGAACUUGAUUGUACGCAAUAAAAGCUUAAGAGUUUAUUUGAAUUUUUUAAAUAAUUCAAAGAAAUUUUGAAGUACUAUGCAUAUAUAUAUAUAUAUAUCAAUGUGAAAUUAAUUAAAUUUACACCUUUCAUAUUUUUUAUACAAUUUAUAUUUUGUUAAUCUAAUCGUUGUAUUCCAUAUAUACUCUAUUUACGUAGAUCAUGCAUGAAAAAUUUUAACUCAAUUGAAACUAUCUAAUUAUUUGUAUGAUAACAAUGAAAUUUUAAUUGUUAAAUAUAUAUUAAAGAACAAUAUUCUCCACCAAUGCUCUCUGAAUGUCAUUCUGACUAGAAACUUUAUAUGUAUGAUUAGGUGCAAACAAUGUUAGCUUGCUAAAAGUUAAUUGUAUAUGAAAUUAGAAAGGUGUAAAACUUAAUCAAUGCGUAAAUAUAUAUACAUAUAUAUAUAUAUAUAUAUAUAUAUAUAUUUAUUAUGNUAUAUAUAUCAAUGUGAAAUUAAUUAAAUUUACACCUUUCAUAUUUUUUAUACAAUUUAUAUUUUGUUAAUCUAAUCGUUGUAUUCCAUAUAUACUCUAUUUACGUAGAUCAUGCAUGAAAAAUUUUAACUCAAUUGAAACUAUCUAAUUAUUUGUAUGAUAACAAUGAAAUUUUAAUUGUUAAAUAUAUAUUAAAGAACAAUAUUCUCCACCAAUGCUCUCUGAAUGUCAUUCUGACUAGAAACUUUAUAUGUAUGAUUAGGUGCAAACAAUGUUAGCUUGCUAAAAGUUAAUUGUAUAUGAAAUUAGAAAGGUGUAAAACUUAAUCAAUGCGUAAAUAUAUAUACAUAUAUAUAAAUAAAUAUUUAUAUAUAUAUAUAAUUUUUAUGAACAUUGCAUAUAUGUAUAUUUUUGUAUAAAAGAGAUUCAAUAAAAGAUAAAAUAAUUAAAUAAGAGAAGAUCCACUAUAAAUGAUUCAUAAAUAAUAUUGAACGACAUUAAUUAGAUUUUUUAGUAACAUAUUUUAUGUUGUUACUAUGAUUUUUUGUUAAAAUAAAAAUUAUGUCCAAAUUUAACAUUUUACUUUGGUGAUAGACCAAAUUAUGAUCAUAUUUAAAUGAGAAUAAUUGGCACUAUACUUUUAAAUUGGUUAAAAAUGAUCAAAAGUUAUGAAAUAAACUCAAAAGUACAAUAAUGAAAGUUACACUCAUUCAAAAAUGAAUAGUAAAUUUGAUCCAUCAUGUUAAGUAGAUUGGUGGUAAAUUUGAACCUUAUCUCAAAUUAUUCUAUGAAGUUUGUUUGUGAAAAUAUGGCAGCUAGCACAUACCCAAAUUAAAUUUGUAAAUAACAUAUACAUGUUCUAUAAUCAUGUUUUCCAACUAAUUGAUUUACAUAUUGUUUUGUACCUUUUUUUUUUGAGAAACAGGAAUUCUUUUACUUAGAACUUUUUUGGGAAUAAUUUGCUUGAUUGUGUUGGUUAGACGAAAAUUAAAAAGGAGGCAUUUGUCGAUGGAUGACAUGAUUGAGAAUUUUCUUCAGAGUCAAAACAAUUUAAUGCCUAUCAGAUAUUCUUACUCUGAAAUAAAAAGAAUGACUGAUGGUUUCAAGAAUAAACUAGGUCAAGGAGGAUAUGGUUCUGUGUUUAAAGGAAAACUUCGAAGUGGUCAACUUGUUGCGAUAAAAUUGUUAAACAAGUCAAAAGCUAACGGCCAAGAUUUCAUCAAUGAAGUUGCAACUAUUGGAAGGAUUCAUCAUGUUAAUGUGGUAAGACUUAUUGGAUUUUUCGUAAAGGGAUCAAAACAAGCUCUUGUAUAUGACUUCAUGAAGAAUGGGUCCUUGGAUAAAAUUAUAUUUUCAGCUGAAAAUAACACUUUGAGUUGGCAAAAAAUGUUUGAGAUUGCAUUGGGAGUGGCUCGAGGUAUUGAAUAUUUGCAUAGAGGUUGUGAAAUGCAAAUUUUACAUUCUGAUAUCAAUCCACAUAACAUUCUUUAAGAUGAGAACUUUGCUCCAAAGGUUUCAGAUUUUGGUCUCGCAAAGUUGUAUUCAGUGGACGAUGAUAUCAUUUCUCUCACAGCAGCAAGAGGUACAGUAGGAUAUAUGGCUCCUGAAUUAUUUUAUAAAAAUAUCGGAGGUAUCUCAUAUAAAGCCGAUGUUUAUAGUUUUGGAAUGAUGCUAAUGGAAAUUAUUGGAAGGAGAAAAAAUUUGAAUGCCUCUGCUGAAUAUUCAAGUCAAAUUUAUUUUCCAUCAUGGAUAUAUGAUGGAUUAGAUGAAGGAGAUAUCAUGGAGCUUGGAGAUUUGAAAGAAAAUGAAAACAAAAUUAUGAGGAAAAUGGCAAUAGCAGCCUUAUGGUGCAUACAGAUGAAGCCCACGGAUCGGCCUUCAAUGAACAAAGCCUUGAAGAUGCUUGAAAGUGAAGUUGAGAUCCUUGAAAUGCCUCCCAAGCCUUCUUUCUCUCUAAAUGUCAACUAAAGGUAGUAAAGAAUUCUCCCCGCACACGUGGCAAUCGGCCUUCCUCAGCUACCUCGUGAUCAUAUGUAUACAUGCACGUCAAUGUAGGGUCAUGUGUAUCUCUUAAAUUGCAGGAUGAAGAUGAAUUCUUCGGUUUACAUUGAUGCUUUCCAUUGCACCAAUCGAUGUUCCUCUCCAGGUUAUUUUGUUUCUUCAGUCAAAUUAUUGUCUGGUUAACAACUAAUGGAAAUGUAAGGACAGAAUAUUAACGUGAUAUGUUACAUAAUUUAUACUAUAAUAUUUUAUCAUUGUUAACGGCACAAUUUGAUAAAAAGAUAAAAAAGAAGUCAUUUUAUUAUAUUAUGUGUAAAAUACAUGAAAAAAAAAGAUUACAAAUUUUAUUUGAUUACAUUACUGCAGAACUUACAAAAAUAAUUAUAGAAGCAUGGCUAAUGAUUAUAGGUAUUAUUUGAAUAGAUAUUUUUCUCAUUUUUCUUGUUUGACUGGUUGCAACUUGUCUUCAAAUUUUGAUAUCCACCAAAAAACUAUCCAAGAGCUUGAUUGUUUUAGAUAGUCAUUCAACAGCUUGACUGACUUUAUAUUUGUCUGUGCAACAAAUUUGAAUUUUUUUUUUAAAAAAGUCAAUAUUGAAUUUUAGACAUGCAUAAAUAGCAUAAUUUUUUAUUAUGCAGUGAAAAUAUAUGUAUAAAGUAUGAGGAAAGAUCUACUUAUACCGGUAUAAAAUUAAAUUAGUUUUACACUUUUUCAUGUCUUUUUAUUUCAUUUAUAUUUUGUUAAUCUAACCGUUCAUUUUAUGUUAUAUUCAUAUAAAUAUUCAUAGAUAGCAAAUUUCAAGUUAAUUGGAAAUGACUAACUACAUAUUUGAGAAAAAUAAAAUUUCAAUCAUUAAAUAUAUAUUGAAAAAAGGCAUUAUUCUCGGUUGAUGUAAUAAGAAUGUUGAAUUAAUAUGAGACUUUACGUGUAUGAUAAAUGCGAAUAAGUUGUUAAAUGUAAUGAUUCUAUUUGUUAAAAUAUUAAUUCCCUAAGAAGUUAUAGAAAAAUGUAAAGUACUUAGUUUUAGAGAUACAAGGCGAUUCCUCUUGGCCGGUAUAAAGUAUUGCUAUUUAGGCUUUUGUGUGCAAUUUUUUUUCAUAGCUAAUUGUUGUUGAAAAUGUGCAAUCUUUACUACUGUAUGCAUGUAAUAUUUUUGUCCAAAAUAUUAGCAAAAAAAAUGUUUUGAACUGUGAACUCCGUAAAAGUUCUAUACAAAAGGAUUUUAAACAACACUAGUUAAAGAAAAUAAAUAAAUAAAUGCAAAUUUAAUUAUUAUAGUGUGUUUUUUCCACUUGUUCAAAGUAAGAUUUGAUUUCAAUUGCAGCCCUAGAUAUAAUCAGCAAAGCAAUGAAGAUAACAUUAUCCAAAGAUUUAAUGUUUCUCGUUAAACUUUUUUAUAUAUAAUUCUCCAAAGAAAAAUACAGUUUUAUACUUAAAAAAUAAAUGUAAAAUAUGAAAUUGAUCAAAUUUUUUCAGAAUUAUUAUUUUAUAUAUCUUGAAAUUUUGAAAUUCCAAAAUUUAUAAUAUUGUUUAAGUCAUAUUAUAUAUAUUAUUGAGGGUUUAUAGUAAUAUCCCUACUGUGUAGAUUUACUUGGAUGAAUUGCAAAGAUUUCUUUUCCAUCAGUUCCGCUACGUACCAAUUGGCUGGGUACACGGAUUUUCUUCUUUCUUGUUUGUUUGCGUGGAAAAUCAUCAAAGAGCUCUAUGACAGGCUUGUCGUUAAAAGUGUUUUGCUGGCUGGCUUUAAUUAGUUGACUGACUUUUCAAAAGAAGACUUGGUUUUAACAAUAAAUGUAAGCACUGCUUCGCUUGCCUGUAUCAAAACUAGAACCUUGAUCUCCCACUGAAACUUUGGGAUGCUUUACGUCAUACUUCCAUUACUUUGCCUUUUGGCUUUUGCUUCAUUUCUAUUCCCCGAUCCAGGCCGCGUUACAGAAAAAUACAAGCACUGUGGUUCUUCUUUAUGUGGAAACAUUAACAUCACUUACCCUUUGCGAUUAAAAACCCAGUCUCAUAGGUGUGGUUACAAGGAGCUUGAACUAGUGUGCCAGAAUAACCGUACUAUUUUCCCCAUGAAACAUGGGAAUUUCUAUGUCCAACACAUCUCUUAUAGUGACGAAACCAUUCAACUUUUAGACGAGAGUCUUGGCAACGAUAACUGCUCCAUUCCUCAUAGUUCCUAUCCUUGGUACACCCCUUUCUCGAAAAAAAUAUAUCUCUAUGGAACCACCUCUGAAUAUAGCAUCAUGUGUCUCGUCAAUUGCACGAUGCAAAUCAACUACUCUUCCGUUUAUAUCGAUGCUUUUCGUUGCACCAACAAUACCCCUUCCUCUCGACCUGCUUACUUUUACUUUUUGGAUGGAAAUACAACAGCGUCUGAUUUCGAUGAGUCAUGCAGAGUUGAAGCCCAGGUUCCAAUCAUGCUUGCCAACAUCACCGGCCGCUCUACUUUUGAUAUUUACACAAAGCUGUUAACGGGAUUCCAACUCUCAUGGUCAACUUCCUAUUAUGAUUAUGUUUGGCUGUCGUGGGACUCAAUCGUUAACGUGUGAGGAUUUUUAAGUAUUCCGCAAUAUUUGGUGUUGUUUAGUUUUUGAAAAAUAUUUGUUAUUACUAUUAUUUUUUGGAUCGUAAUAUUUAUUAUUUUUAGCAUAAAUAAAUAUGAUAAAUAAACAAAUAUCAAAAUAUUUAGUUUUGAAUUCUUUUAAAUUACUUUUUUAAUUAUGUGUAUAAAUUUGUAUCUAAAAUUUAAACUCGAUAUUUUAAUGUAAAAUUUAAAGAGAAGGAUUUAAAAAAUUUUCAACACUAAAAGUGCGCAUAUCAUUUGCCUUAUUAAGGAUUAAUGGUUUUGAUGUGCUUUUUUGAAUAUUAAUUAUAGAUUUCUAUCCUUGCUCGGCCUGUUGGUGCUUCCGCUGGAGAUACUUAUAGUAGGCAACAUAGCUUUUUUUGGACGAUAUCAUAUCAAUGGAUUUAGUAAAGGUAUUCUUUCGGUUCUGAGUUCAUUAAUAUUUUGAUUAUUAUUGGAUUUGCCUUUACUUUGAUAGUAUCUAUGUUCAUUUAUUUUCCGAAUUGGUAAUAUCUUUGCAGGAAUCCAGAUUCUUUGUGUUGCAAUAACAGGUACUAAAUUCUAUACUUAUUUAUUUACUCUUAAAUUCUACAAUUAUUAUAAUGUAUGACAUCAAUAAAUAUAUUAUUAUAUAAAUGAAUCAAAAAAUUAUUAAAUUAUUUAAAAAAUUCCUAAACUAUUUUAAAGAAAUUCAAAUAAGCUUUUCUUAAUUUUUAUUACAUUCAAUCAAGCUAUUAUAUUUUUAUUUUGAACCAAAUAAACCCUUCUAAAUAAUAGUUAACUAAUGUUAUUAGUUCAAAUGUCACUUAUUAUUUUAUACUUAUGUGACAUUGAUAUGAUGCUGACAAGGAGGAUGAAAAUACCACGUAACCAUGUCAUAAUGCCAUAUACUAUGACAUGUCAACAUAAUAUAUCAAUGUCUUGUGACUUAAAAUAACAAAUGGUAUUUUAAUUAAUAACAGUUAGUUAUCCAUUAGUUAUAAUAGCUUAUUUGAUUCAAAAUAAAUGUUUAAGAGCUUGAUCAUACACAAUAAAAGAAUAAGAGUUUAUUUAAAAUUUUCUAAAUAGCUCAGGAAAUUUUUUUAAGUAUUAUGCAUGUAUGUGUGUGUGUGUGUAUGUGUAUAUACCAGUGUGAAAUUAAUUAAAUUUACACCUUUUCAUAUUUUUUAUAAGAUUUCUAUUUUGUUAAUUUAACCGUUGUAUUCCAUAUGUACUCAAUUUACAUAGAUCAUGCAUAAAAAAUUUUAAAUCAAUUGAAAAUAUCUAAUUAUUUGUAUAAUAAUAAUAAAAUUUUAACCGUUAAAUAUAUAUUUAAAAAACAAUAUUCUCUACCAAUGUGAUAUGGAUAUGGCACUGACUUGAAACUUUAUAUGUACUAUUGGAUGCAAAUAAAGUUAGCUUGCUAAAACUUAAUUGUAUAUGAAAUUAUAAAAUGGUGUAUAUAUAUAUAUAUAUAUAUGAGUAUUGCAUAUAUGUAUAUGUAUGUAUAAAGAGAUUCAAUAAAGGAUUAAAUAAGAGAAGAUCUACUAUAAAUGAUUCGUAAAUAAUAUUGAACUACAUUAAUUAGGGUUUUUUAGUGAGGUAUUUUAAUGUUGUUACAAUGUUUUUUGGUCAAGAUAAAAAUUAUGUCCAAAUUUAGCAUUUUACUUUAGACCAAAUUAUGAUCAUAUUUAAAUGAGAAUAAUUGGCACUUUACUUUUAAAUUGAUUAAAAAUGAUCAAAAGUUAUGAAAUAAACUAAAAAGUACACUCAUUCAAAAAAGAAUAGUAAAUUUAAUCCAUCAUUUUUUUAAAAGGUGAAUUUUUAUUAACCUCAACACUAUCAUGCCAUUUUGAGUCUCAAACAUAGAUUGCAAGAGACUCUCACGGCAUAAAUAGUUAGUGAGCAGCCUGUACAAUUUCCAAAAAGAAUAUGCUACUCAACAAGAUUUUGGUAGCAACUCAGGAUAAAGAAACUAACGUACCUUAAGUAGAUUGGUAAAUUUGAACCUAAUCUCAAAUUAUUCUAUGAAGUUUGUUUGUGAAAAUAUGGCAGCUAGCACAUACCCAAAUUAAAGUUGUAAAUAACAUAUACAUGUUCUAUAAUCAUGUUUUCCAACUAAUUGAUUUACAUAUUGUUUUGUAACUUUUUUUUUUGAAACAGGAAUUCUUUUACUAAGAACUUUUUUGGGAAUAAUUUGCUUGAUUGUGUUGGUUAGACAAAAAUUGAAAAGGAGGCAUUUGUCUGUGGAUGACGAUAUUGAGAAUUUUCUUCAGAGUCAAAACAAUUUAAUGCCUAUCAGAUAUUCUUACUCUGAAAUAAAAAGAAUGACUGAUGGCUUCAAGAAUAAACUAGGUCAAGGAGGAUAUGGUUCUGUGUUUAAAGGAAAACUUCGAAGUGGUCAACUUGUUGCGAUAAAAUUGUUAAACAACUCAAAAGCUAACGGCCAAGAUUUCAUCAAUGAAGUUGCAACUAUUGGAAGGAUUCAUCAUGUUAAUGUGGUAAGACUUAUUGGAUUUUGCGUGAAGGGAUCAAAACAAGCUCUUGUAUAUGACUUCAUGAAGAAUGGGUCCUUGGAUAAAAUUAUAUUUUCAGCUGAAAAUAACACUUUGAGUUGGCAAAAAAUGUUUGAGAUUGCUUUGGGAGUGGCUCGAGGUAUUGAAUAUUUGCAUAGAGGUUGUGAAAUGCAAAUUUUACAUUUUGAUAUCAAGCCACAUAACAUUCUUCUAGAUGAGAACUUUACUCCAAAAGUUUCAGAUUUUGGCCUCGCAAAGUUGUAUUCAGUGGAUAAUGAUAUUAUUUCUCUCACAGCAGCACGAGGUACAGUAGGAUAUAUGGCUCCUGAAUUGUUUUAUAAAAAUCUCGGAGGUAUCUCAUAUAAAGCCGAUGUUUAUAGUUUUGGAAUGAUGCUAAUGGAAAUUACUGGAAGAAGAAAAAAAUUUGAAUGCCUCUGCUGAACAAUCAAGUCAAAUUUAUUUUCCAUCAUGGAUUUAUGAUCGAUUAGAUGAAGGAGAUAUCAUGGAGCUUGGAGAUUUGACAGAAAAUGAAAACAAAAUUAUGAGGAAAAUGGUAAUAGUAGCCUUAUGGUGCAUACAGAUGAAGCCCACUGAUCGUCCUUCCAUGAGCAAAGUCUUGAAUAUGCUUGAAAGUGAAGUUGAGCUCCUUGAAAUGCCUCCCAAGCCUUCUUUCUCUGGAAAUGUCAACUAAAUAUAGUAAGAAUUCUCCCCGCACACGUGGCAAUCGGCCUUCCUCAGUUAUCUCGUGAUAUUUGUCAUUGGGACACCACUCAACAUUGUGAUCUUGCUAAAUCUGACAACUUCUUCUGUAUUUAGUUUUUUGAAUGGUACGUAGUUUUUGUUUCCACCUAGAUCUAGUAGGCAGUGUUUGUAUUUUCUCUACUACCUUGGUUUGUUUUGUUUCUGCUACUUCUCUAUUGCCCUGUAUGUGACCUCUGAUGGAAUAAAUCAUUUCCUCACUUGUAAAAAAAUUGCAAGAAAAUGUAAUUUUAUUUUUCCCUUAUUUUAUACUGUCAUCCCAAACUCGCAGCACAACAGACGCCACAUACCUGUAAGAUGUAAUCUUACAAACAUGCAAGGGUCCAAUACAUAUACCUUAAAACACUAACUGAAAGACACUAAAAUACCUGAAGAACAAAGUGAUUCAUAAUCGGUAGAAAUUCAAAAAUCAUAAUUCGACAAUAUUCAGAAUUAAGUCUCUAAAACUAUAAAGUUAACAUGUCAAGAUAAAACUCUGAAUACUAAUUUAAGAUAGUUUGAUGUUCAUAAUAUUUAAAUAAAUCCUAGACAACCUAAAUGCUAUUAGAUUAAAACAUCACUCCUUGAAAUUCUCACGUAGUUGACCAAAUCACAACCUAAAAAAAAAAUUGAAAGAAUGAGUGAGUCCAACUACUCGGUAAGUAACAAAUAUCUCACUUCGUACUACAAAAGCCCUCAAAUAUAUGACCAAAAAUGUUAUCGGAAUAUGGAGUUCCAAUGACCCAAAUUUGGAUUGUCAAAACAGUUGAAAACCAAGUUUCUAAUUAAUUUUAAAAAUUCAUAUUUUCUAAACCACAAAACUAAACUAGAUGCUACAAAAACCAUUGGAAAGAUCUUUUCAAGACCUUUCCAUUGGUAACCAUCAUGCCACCGAAAGGUCACCAGAAUAGUGCCGAAUUUGAAUAAAAGUUAAGAAAACAUAAAUAAUUUAGGGCUUUUGUGCCCAACUAUGGAAAUACAACCCUAAACAUACCUUAAUCAGAAAUCCCUUGAAUACUUUUCUCUUUUUUCUAUCUUUCUUCUUCUAUGGUGUUAAGCUUUUCUGACUACCUAUCGUUUGAGUCUGAUGAAAUAAACUGACAUGAGUUUUCUACCUUUUCUUUUAAACUUGUAAACUAACCUAACCUCCACUAUUUUUUUUUUAAACGUGGUUUAGUGAGUUGUGAUCAGGUAAAACAAAUUGACCUUAACCGCACUAACUUAAACAUGAUAAACAAAACUGACAUUAAUUAAACUUCUUUAUUUACUUAAAGACCCCUUUUUCUAUUUUUUAAUUAUUAAGACACUCAAGGUUGUAACUGUAAUUAAAUAAAAUACUAAAACAACAUUUAUUUAUUUAUUUUAUAAAACUAUAGCCUAAUAAAUCUAAAUGUUUUUAUAAUAUAUACUUUGUGAGGGGUAUUACAUCCUUCCCUCCUUAAAAAGGAGUUUAGUUCCUUAAACUCUUACCUUGGUCCUCAAAAAGGCAGGGAUACUUCUUUUUUAUAUUUUUUCUAAAUCCCAAGUCGCUCCUCAUUCUGUAUGAUUACUUCAUUAGAUCUUAACAUAAGGAAUAGUUCGCCUUCUUAGAACUUGCUUCUUUCUAUCCACAACACACAUAGGAUGCUCAUCAUAAGACAAAUCUUCUCUAAGUAUCAAAGGAGCUAACCACACCACAUGACUAGGAUCUGGAACAUAUUUUCUCAACAAAGAAACAUGAAACAUGUUAUGCGCUCUCGAUAAAGCAGGUGGAAGUGCCAACCUAUAAGCCACAUCACCAACCUUAUCCAAAAUCUCAAACGAACCCAUAUAACAAGAACUAAGUUUUCCUCGAAUCCUAAAUUGCAUUACUCCUCUAGUAGGUGAAACUAGCAAAAAGACAUGAUCUCCAACCUCAAAUUCUAUCUUCCUUGUUUUAUUGUUUGCAUAACUCUUCUAUCUACUUUGAGCCGUACGAAGAUGUUCUCUAACUAACUGAACCUUCUCAACUGCUUGUUGAAUAAGAUCUAGACCCAAUAAUUGUCUUUCACCCACAUCAUCCCAACAAAGAGGUGACCUGCACUUCUUACCAUACAAAGCUUUGAAUGAAGCCAUUUGAAUACUAGACUGAUAGCUAUUAUUAUAAGCAAAUUCCGUCCAUGACAAGUGUCGAUCCCAAAAACCUCCAAAAUCCAUGACACAAGCUCUCAACAUGUCCUUAAGAAUUUGAUUAAUUGUCUCGGACUGACCAUCUGUUUGAACAUGAAAAGUAGUACUAAAAUUAAGUCUAGUACCCAAAGAUUUAUGUAGACUCUCUCAAAAUUUCACCACAAAUCGAGAAUCUUGAUCAUAUACAAUGGACACUAGCACCCCAUGCAGUCUCACAAUCUGCUCCACAUAUAACUCCACUAACUUUUCCAAUGACAUUUCCGUACGAAUAGCCAAGAAGUGAGCAGACUUUGUUAAUCUAUCAACAAUCACCUAGAUGCCAUCAUUACCUUUUAGUGUUCUCGGCAACCAGAUAUAAAGUCCAUAGUAAUUCGUUCCCAUUUCCAUUCUAGAAUAAGAAAUGGUUGCAAUAACUCUACUGGCCUCUGAUGUUCAACCUUAAUUUGUUGACAUGUUAAACAUUUGGCUAAAAACUGUGCAAUCUCUCUCUUCAUAUUGUUCCACCAAAAAGUGUUCUUCAAAUCUCGAUACAUCUUGGUACCACCAAGAUGGAUUGUAUAAUUACUAUAAUGAGCUUUCAACAAAAUUUCUCUCUUCAAUUUUGCAUCAUUGGGAACACAAAUUCUAUCACCAAACCUCAAAGAGUCAUCAUCAUGAAUCCUAAAGUCUGGUUUCAAACCAGAAUUAACCCUAAGUUUAAUGUGCUGAAGUCGAAGAUCAUCUACUUGGGCUGUCUUAAUCCGGUGAAUUAAAGUUGGUUGUACUCAUAUGUUAGCCAAUAAUGCUCCAAAACCCUGUAUACAUACACCAAUAUCCAUCCUCCGUAAGUCCUCCAAUAUCUGUUUUUGGGAAGUAAUCAUUGUGGCCAUGUUCCCAAACGUCUUUCUACUUAGAGCAUCAGCAACUCUAUUUGCCUUACUUGGGUGAUAAUUGAUGGUCAAGUCAUAAUCCUUCAACAAUUCUAACCAUCUUCUUUGUCACAUAUUCAACUCCUUCUGCGUGAUAAGAUACUUUAAACUUUUAUUAUCUGUAAAGACCUCACAAGACUCACCAUUCAAAUAAUGUCUCCAAAUCUUUAAUGCGAAACCACUACUGCCAACUUUAAAUCAUGAGUAAGAUAAUUCUCAUCAUAAGGUUUCAAUUGCUUAGAAGCAUAAGCGAUCACCUUAUCAUCCUGCAUAAGAACACACCCAAGUCCCUUUUUGGAAUCAUCACUAUAAACAACAAAUCCCUUACCACUAAUAGGCCUGGUAUGCAUAGGAGCGAAUACUAAUCUUUUCUUUAUCUCCUCAAAGCUCUUUUCAUAAUCAUUUGUCCACUCAAAACAAAUCCCUUUCCAUAUCAAUUUGGUUAAAAGUAAGGCAAUACAAGAAAAAUCCUCUACAAAUUACCUACAGCAUCCUACUAAACCCAGAAAACUGUUAAUCUCAAAAACAUUAUGUGGUCUCUUUCAAUUCACCACUAUUUCAACUUUCUUUGAAUCCACUGAAAUCCCGUCUUUCAACACCACAUGCCCAAGGAAAGCAACACUAAAAAGUCAAAAUUCACAUUUCUUCAAUUUAGCAAAUAACUAUUUCUGCCUCAAAGUCUUCAAAACAACCCUUAGAUGCUCUUUAUGAUCUGCUGAGCUAGGGGAAUACACUAGAAUAUCAUCAAUAAAAAUAACCACAAAUUUAUCCAAAUAAGGUUUAAAAACCCUAUUCAUCAAGUCCAAAAAAGUAACUAGAGCAUUUGUCAACCCAAAAGGCAUAAUAAGGAACUCAUAAUGCCCAUAUCAGGUACGAAAAGUAGUUUUGGGAACAUCCUCAAUUCUCACCUUCAACUGGUGAUAACCAGAUAAAAGAUUAAUUUUGGAAAACACUUAAGUGCCCUUUAGUUGAUCAAAUAAAUCAUAUAUCCCAGGCAAAAGAUACCUAUUAUUCACGGUUGCCUUAUUUAACUCCCGAUAAUCAAAACACAACCUCAUACUCCCAUUUUUUUUCUUCACAAAUAACACUGGCGCUCCCCAAGGAGAUAUACUACAUCUAAUAAAGCCCUUAUCAAGAAGUUCUUGCAACUGCUCUUUCAACUCUUUUAAUUCUAUAAGAGCCAUUUUAUAAGGAGCUUUAGAAAUAAGGUCAGUUUUUGGAACCAAAUCAAUAGAGAAAUCAAUUUCUCUAUUAGGAGGUAAACUAAGUAGAUCUUUAGGAAAAAAUUAGGAAAUUCCCCCAUAAUAAGAACAUCUUCAAUCAUUAACUCCUUCAUUCUAGUGUCUAUAACAGUUGCCAAAAAUCUUUUGUAACCACUAGUAAGCAAUCACCUAGCUUUCAAAGCAAAGAUGACUCGCAAAGGAGUGUAAGAACCACUACCACGAAAAGAAAAAGGUGUUUCCCCGGGAAUCUGAAAGUCUACCCUUUUCCCUCGAUAAUCAACUUUAGCAAAAUUUGCAACUAACCAAUCCAUCCCCAGAAUUAUAUCAAAAUCUUACAUAUCUAAAACAUGAAGAUCUGUAAGCAAUUCUCUAUCUUCAAUCCUUACCACACACAUCUUAUAAAUCUGAUCAGAGAUAAUAUCACCUCUAACUAGAGUGUCUACGCAUAGUUCAUAAUCUAGAAGCAUACAAGGCAAAGCAAACUUUCGAAAAAAUGUAGCAAAUACAAAAGAACGAGAUGCAUUGGUAUCAAACAAUACAUGAGUAAAAGCUGAGGCAACUAGCAGUGUACUUGAGACAACGGUGUUGGAUGCCUCUACAUCCGAUUGAGUGAUAGCAUAAGCACGCCCCUGGGUGCAAGGUCUUCCCACUUUUUGAUGUUCAAAAGAAGGUGUUUGCGUAGUCUAAACAACAUGAGUGGGUUGAGUCCUUUGCGUUGCAGUUUCAAAAGUUCGAGAGUUUUGCGACCUCUGCACAGAUUGAGAUUCUUGAAGGACUAAAGGACAAUUAGCAAUACGAUGGCCCUAUUGUCUACAUUCAGCAGCUCGAUGUCCUCCACCACACACUGAACACCUAGGCUUUUGUGCCCAAACUAUGAAAAUACAACCCUAAACAUAACUUAAUCAGCAAUCCCUUGAAUAUUUUUCCCUUUUUUCUGUCUUUCUUCUUCCUUGGUGUUAAGCUCUUCUGACUGCCUAUCGUUUGAGUAUGAUGAAAUAAACUUGUAAACUAACCUAACUUUCACUAUUUUUUUUUAAACAUGAUUUAGUGAGUUGUUGUCAGGUAAGAUAUACUAACCUUAACCCCACUAACUUAAAUGUGAUAAAUAAAACUGACAUUAAUUAAACUUUUUUAUUUACUUAAAGACCCCUUCUUCUCUUUUUUAAUUAUUAAGGCACCAAAAGUUAAAACUGCAAUUAAAUAAAAUACUAAAAGAACAUCUACUUAUUCAAAAAUGAAUAGUAAAUUUGAUCCAUCAUGUUAAGUAGAUUGGUGGUAAAUUUGAACCUUUUCUCAAACUAUUCUAUGGAGUUUGUUUGUGAAAAUAUGGCAGCACAUGCCCAAAUUAAAUUAGUAAACAACAUACACAUAUUCUAUAAUCAUGUUUUUCAUCUUUGGGUUGGCAAAGAAUGUUUGAGAUUGCAUUGGGAGUGGUUCGAGGUAUUGAAUAUUUACACAGAGGUUGUGAAAUGCAAAUUUUACAUUUUGAUAUCAAGCCACAUAACAUUCUUCUAGAUGAGAACUUCAUCCCGAAAGUUUCAGAUUUUGGCCUUGCAAAGUUGUAUUCAAUGGAUGACAGUAUUGUCUCUCUUACAGCUGCAAGAGGUACAUUAGGAUAUAUGGCUCCUGAAUUGUUCUAUAAAAAUAUUGGAAGCAUUUCAUAUAAUGUUUAUAGUUUUGGAAUGAUGUUAAUGGAAAUUGUCGGAAGGAGAAAAAAUGUGAAUGUCUCUGCUGAACAUUCAUGUCAAAUUUAUUUUCCAUUUUGAAUUUAUGAUCGACUUGAGGAAGGAGAUAUCAUAGAACUUGGAGAUGUAACGGAAAAUGAAAACAAAAUUAUGAGGAAAAUGGUAAUAGUAGCCUUUUGGUGCAUACAGAUGAAGCCCACAGAUCGUCCUUCAAUAAGCAAAGUCUUGGAGAUGCUUGAAAGUGAAGUUGAGCUCCUUGAAAUGCCUCCCAAGCCUGCUUUCUCUGAAAGGUCAACCAAACCAUUAGUUGUAUUAUAAGUAAUAUUUAAUGUUGUACGUUAAGCAAUGUUUCACUACUUUAUCAUACUACUUUUAUAAUUUUUAUAGUAGAAACCUUAAGCUUGAGGCAUAAUCUUCUCUCUUCCAAAAAAAACCAAAAAAAAAAAACAAUAUAGAAUGGUGAGGAAGAAAGUAUAGCAAGGAAAAGAAGGAUACUGAGUUGGAGUUUUGAGCGUGCGAAGGUGUUAUUUUAGAAGAGUUGUAAUGGUAUCUCGUAAGUAUUUUGUCUAUAUAAAAAGUCUUUUGCUCAUAUAAAGAAUAAAGACUUUAAAUAGCAUUAUCGAUAUAUUAUUGCAAAUAAUUAACUUACGUUUUAAAAAAAUUAAAAAUAUUCCUCAACCAUGCUUGGAAUUAUAAUUUUUAUUUAAAAAAAUAAAUUAUUUGAGUUUUAUUUUAAAAAAAUAAAUUAUUUGAGUUUUCUCUCUUAAUUAAAAAGUCAAAUUUUAUCCAAUUCAAAAAUUUAUUUAAAAUGAUUUGAAAUCAAAUUCAACUUAAUUCAAAUUAAAUGACAAAAAUUAAAAAUUUCAAUAUGAAAAUACGUGAAUUUAAAAUGAUAUUAAUUUAAUCCGACACAAUUCAAUGUUAACAUGACUCGAAUCUAAAACGAACCGAGCUCAUAAUGAUCAAAAAUCCAAGAUUUAUUGGAUCCAAAACUUACAAAAACUUAAAUUUAUAACUCCCAAAAAUCCAAAUUAUAAUUAAAUAAUUUUAUUUAAUAAUUAAAUAAGUAAAUGAUUAAUUUUUAAGUGAAAAUUUUAAGACACACAAGCACCUUUUUCUCGUCAAUGCUUCUUCGUUACUCAGAAACAGCUCAUAAGAAUGGCAUGGUCAACUACUCUGCUUCACCUUCACUUCAAAUCCCCUCCGGUUUCUUCUCACCAAUUCCCACAUUCCCCCCCAAAAAUCCCCGAUCUUCCUAAACCCUAACCCUAUAAUUCCCAAACCCAAACCCCCCAAAAUGCAAUUCCUUCACAGGCCCAACGCGUUUCCAGGCCACGGCGCAGUAUCAAGAGCCAUGGACAUCAUCCAAUCCUCACCGCCCACGUGGGAAUCGGCCUUCCUUACCAACAUCCUGAUCUUCGUCGUCGGGACUGCACUUUUAGUAGCGGGGCUUUCUCUCUCCGAAAUUUUCGCUUCCUUCUUGCUUGGCACUCUCACUUGGCGAGCUUUCGGGUCUUCUGGAUUCCUCCUCAUUGCUUCUUACUUCGUUAUAGUGAGUCACUAAAAAGUCUAUGAAUUUUAUUUGAAUUAUGGGAUUUACGUUAAAAUUGGAAAUGGGUUCUGAUUUUCGCUCCCAUUUGGUAUAAAGUUUAUGCUCUGGAUGACAAGUUUCAUUGUUUGGUAUUUUGGCAAAGGAAAAAAAAUUUAGUUUAUGUCAAAAAGAUUUAACGUGAAGUAUUUAGUUAUUUAAGUGUGAUUUGUUUUUAUUUCAAGAAUUGGAUUACACUAGGUGAAAACAGGUCAAAACUAUAACCAAAACAUUUUUCCAAAAUUCUUUUUUAUUUUCAUUUGUUUUCUUCUUGGUGGGGGCAGGUGAAGGGAGAUUUUAUUUGCUUUUGACAUGUUUCUUAAGUAUAAAGUUGAAGUAGAAGAUAAACUGAAUAAAAAAAUAAAAAAAGUUAAAUUAGAUAGAGAGGGUGAAUAUUUACCUAUUAAUGAUAUUUGUGAAAAGAAAGAAAUAAUUUAUAAAAUUACUCUCUCAUAUUCUACUGAAUCAAAUAGUGUAGUUGAAAGGAAAACUAAAACAUUAAAAGAAAUGAUGAAUUAUAUGCUUAUUAGUUCUAAUGCACAUGAAAAUUUGUAGGGUGAAGUUAUAUUAUUUGCAUGUCAUAUUCAAAAUAGAAUUCACUGCAAGAAAACUGAUAAGACACCUUAUGAAUUGUGAAAAGUCUAUUCUUCUAACUUAAAAUAUUUAAAAGUAUGAGAGUGUUUAGCUAAUGUUAUGCUUCUUGAUUUUAAGAAAAGAAAAAUUGACUCUAAGAUGUCCGGUUGCAUGUUUAUUGGCUAUACCAAAUAUAGUGCUGCAUAUAAAUUUCUUGUACUAAAAAAUGAUGUUUUUGAUAAUAAUACAAUUAUUAAAACAAAAAAUGUUGAAUUUUUUUGACAUAUUUUUCUAUUGAGAACUGAUACAAUUUUUCUUCCAUCUUUUAGUGAAAAUGUUUUUUUAAAUGCAAAAUGAUGAUUUGAGAAGAAGUAAAAGACAAAAGAAAGAAAUUUCUUUUUGUAAUGAUUUUUACACUUAUCUUGUAGAUAAUGAUCUUUUAAAUUAUGCUAAUUCAAUUUCUUCUAAAGAAUGUCCAUUUUGAAAAGACGUUAUACAAAAUGAGAUUGAUUCUAUUUUACAAAAUCAAACCCGGGAAUUAAUUUAUUUACCACCUGAAGCUAAGCCAAUUGGUUGUAAAUGGAAUUUUUAAAAAAAAUUUAAUCUUGAUUAUUUUAUUGAUAAAUACAAAAUUAAAUUAGUUGCUAAGGGUUUUACCAAAAAAUAAAAUAUUGAGUAUUUUGAUACUUUUGCUCUAGUAACAAGAAUUUCAUCUAUUUGUAUUUUAAUUGCCUUAGCUUCGAUUUACAAACUUUUUGUUCAUCAAAUGAAUGUUAAAACAGUUUUUUUAAAUGAUGAUUUAGAAGAAGAAAUUUAUAUGACACAACUCGAGGGAUGUGUACUUCUUGGUCAAGAAAACAAAAUUUGUAAAUUAAUUAAAUCUCUAUAUACUUAAAACAAGCACCAAAAUAAUGGUAUGAGAAAUUUGAUUAAAUUCUUGUUAAUAAUAGAUUUUUUACUAUUGGAGUUGAUAAAUGUGUGUACACAAAAACUAUUGAUAACGAAUAUAUGAUUAUUAGCUUAUAUGUUGAUGAUAUGUUUAUUUGUGGUACAUGCAUUGAUGUGGUAAAUAAAACAAUAUGUUUCUUAACUUAUAAAUUUGAUAUGAAAGAUUUGGGAGAAACCAAUAUUAUUUUGGGUGUUAAAGUCAUAAGAUGUGAGAGUGGCCUAAUGUUAACACAAAAACAUUAUAUUGAGAGGUUACUUAAAAAGUUUAGACAUUUUAAUGUCACACUUGUGAAUACUCCUUAUAAUGUUAAUACCCAAUUAAAGAAAAAUAGAGAUGAUAGUAUGGCUCAACCUUAGUAUGCAUAGAUUUUUAAAAGUUUGAUGCAUUUGAUGAAUUAUACUUGACUUGGUAUAGCUUAUGUUAUGUGUAGACUGAGUAAAUAUACAUAAAGUCUCAAUCAAGAUCAUUGAACUGUUUUGAAUAGAGUAAUGAAAUAUUUGAAAUGUACCAUAAACUAUGAUAUUUUAUAUAAUAGAUUUUCCGUUGCAUUAGAAAGGUACAAUAAUGUUAACUUAAUCUCAUAUUCAGAUGAGACAAAAUUCAUGAGUGAUUAUGUAUUCACCAUUGGUGUGGAUGCUGUUACUUAGAAAUUAGUCAAAUAAAUAAUAAUUACUAAAUCUACAGUGGAAUCAGAAUUUAUAGUUUUAGAAUUAACUAGUAAUGAGGUUGAAUAGUUAAGAAACCUCUUAACAGAUAUUUCAUUAGAAAUGAAACCAACACCUUCUGCGUCUAUGUAUUGUGAUUGUCUAACGGCAAUAAACAUUGUGAAGAAUAAAACUUUCAAUGGUAAGAAUAGACACAUUUGUUUAAGAUAUGAUGUGGUAAAAUAAUUACUUAGAGAUGAAAUUAAUGUCCAUUAAUUAUACGAAGUCAUAUACCAAAAAAUAUAAAUUAUGAAACCGAUGAAUCCUUUUAGAACUAUUAUUUUGCAUUUCAAUAAGUCCAUGGUGGAAUUUUAAGACUGCACAAAUGAAUUCAUAGGAUUGUUUAAGUGAUUUUAUUUAUAUGUUAUUGCAGACAGAUUACAAAAAUUCCUUUCCUGUUAGUUUCGUUAUCAAUCAGUUCAUACGUUAUUUUCUUCAUUAAUUCUUGUUUGAGUGGAAAAUCAUCUCAGAGCUAUGAUUGGCUUGUGUUGAAGUUGUUGGAUUGAAUUAAUUAGUUGACUGGACUGACUUUUCAAACGAAGACGAGUGAGGGAGAAAGACCGCACCAUUAAAAGUUGACUGACUUUUCAGUUACCGCAUGAAACCGUACAACUCUCAGACGUGAGUCUGAAAAAUGUGCAAUUUUGCUAAUAUAUGCAUGUGAUAUUUUUGUCCAAAAUAUUAUCAAAACAAAUUGUAUAGAACUGUGAAAUCCGUAAAAGUUGUUUGCAAAAAGGUUUUUAACAGCACAAGUUAAAGAAAAAAGGUCAAAGGAAGAUUUGAUUUCAAUUACAGCCACAGAAAUAAUUAACAAAGCAAUAAAGAUAACAUUAUCCUAACUCUUAUUUAAUCUCUCUCGUUAAACUUUGUUAUACUUAAUUCUCCUAAAAAAAACUUUUUUAUACUUACAAAAAAUAAAUAUAAGAUAUGGAGAUUGAUCAAUUUUAUUUAGAAUUAUUAUUUUAUAUAUUUGCAAUGAAAUUUUGAAAUUCCAAAUUUCAUAACAUUAUUUAAGUCAUAUUAUAUAUCUACAUAUAUAUAUAUUAUGUUAAGGGGUAUAUUGAUCUCACUAAUGUGCAGAUAUACUUGGAUGAAUUACCCAUGAGUGCUAUGGUAGGCUUUGUGUUAAAUGUGUUUUCUGGUUUGGGUUUAAUUAGUUGUCUGACUUUUCAAAAGAAGACUUGGUUUUAACAAUAAAUAUAAGAGAACAUCAUAGUGCUUCUUCACAAACUAAUUAAGCCCUUAAUCUCCUUCUCUCCCACUGAAAUUUUAGGAUGCUAAGAGCAAAGCUUCCAUUAUUCGGCCUUCUGGCCCUUGCUUUAUCUCUAUUCCCUGAUGCAUGCAUCGCUAGAGGCAAACACAAGCACUGUGGCUCUUCUUUCUGUGGAAACAUUAAUAUCACUUCCCCUUUUCGAUUAAAAAGUCAGCCUCGAAGUUGUGGUUACAAUCGUUAUGAACUAGUAUGCGAGAAUAACCGCACCAUUUUCCCCAUGAAACAUGGGAAUUUCUAUGUCCAACACAUCUCUUAUAGUGACGAAACCAUUCAACUGUUAGACGUGAGUCUUGACAAGGAUAACUUUUUUAUACAAUGAAUUUAUAAGAUUGCUUGAAUGAUUUUAUUCCUAUUUGAGUGGAAAAUCAGCUAAGAGCUAUGAUUGGCUUGUGUUAAAGUGGUUGGCUUUAAUUUGUUGACCUGACUGACUUUUCGAACGAAGACAAGUGAGCAAGAAUAACCACACAUUUUCCCCAUGAAAUAUGAGAAUUUCCAUGUGGAAAAAGCCAUAUAAGUCUUAGAGGUGAGUCUUACCAAGCCACUCGGUAGGAGAUAGGGUAUACAUCUCCCUCAUCAUAAGUAUCCAUGCACGUCAAUAUAGGGUCAUGUGUAUCUCUUAAAUUGCAGGAUGAAGAUGAAUUCUUCGGUUUACAUUGAUGCUUUCCAUUGCACCAAUCGAUGUUCCUCUCCACGCUAUUUUGUUUCUUCAGUCAAAUUAUUGUCUGGUUAACAACUAAUGGAAAUGUAAGGACGGAAUAUUCACGUGAUAUGUUGCAUAAUUUAUACUAUAAUAUUUUAUCAUUGUUAACGGCACAAUUUGAUAAAAAGAUCAAAAUGAAAUCAUUGUAUUAUAUUUUGUGUAAAAUGCAUAAAAAAAAAGAAUUCUAAAUUUNNNNNNNNNNNNNNNNNNNNNNNNNNNNNNNNNNNNNNNNNNNNNNNNNNNNNNNNNNNNNNNNNNNNNNNNNNNNNNNNNNNNNNNNNNNNNNNNNNNNNNNNNNNNNNNNNNNNNNNNNNNNNNNNNNNNNNNNNNNNNNNNNNNNNNNNNNNNNNNNNNNNNNNNNNNNNNNNNNNNNNNNNNNUCUAUACUUAACAAAAGAUAAAUGUAAAAUAUAAAAUUGAUCAAUUUUGUUUAGAAUUAUUAUUUUAUAUAUUUUGAAAUUUUGAAAUUUCAAAAUAUAUAAUAUUAUUUAAGUCGUAUUAUAUAUUAUAUUAUUGAAGGCUUAUAUUAAUCUCCCUACUGUGCAGAUAUACUUGGAUGAAUUAUAAAGAUGUCUUUUCUAUCAGUUUCGCUACGUACCAAUUGGUUGGACACAUAUUUUAUUCUUUCUUAUUUGUUUGUGUUAAAAGUGUUUUGCGGUUUGGGUUUAAUUAGUUGACUGACUUUUCAGAAGAAGACUUGGUUUUAAUAAUAAAUAUAAGAGAACAUCACAGUACUUCUUCACAAACUAAUUAAGCCCUUAAUCUCCUCUCCCGCUGAAAUUUUAGGAUGCUAAGAGCAAAACUUCCAUUAUUUUGCCCCUUGGCUUUUGCUUUAUCUCUAUUCCCCGAUGCAUGCAUGGCUAGGGGCAAAAACAAGGACUGUGGCUCUUCUUUCUGUGGAGAAGUUACCAUCAAAAAGCCCUUUCAGUUAAAAAGCCAACCUCUCAGGUGUGGAAACCGUGGGCUUGAAGUCGAGUGUGACGACAAUAACCGCACCACUUUCCCCAUGAAAUAUGGGAAAUUCCUUGUCCAAGACAUCUCUUAUAAUAACGGCACAAUUCAUAUUAUAUUAUAUUUUUAUGUAUGUUUGUAUCUAUAGUAUUAGUUGUUUAAACUUUUUGGGUGCAAUUCUUUUUCAUAUAUAAUUAACAGCUUUUAUAAAACAGCAGUCUUUGUCACUAUAUAUGCUUGUAAAUCUCUCUUUAACUGCAAUUUUUUUGUCCAAAAUACUUCUAAUAAAAGAUUGUAUAGAGCAGCCAAAUUUGUAAAGUUCUAUCCUAAUUAAAACACUUUCAAUAACAUCUUAAAAAAAUUAAAUGCCAAAGUUAUUGUAGUGUGUUUUUCCCCUUUGGCUCUAGACUCUAGUUUAUUAAAUUUUCAAAGGAAGAUUUGCUUUCAUUUGCAGCCACAGAAUGAUAAGCAGAGCUACCAAGAUAAGAUUAUCUUAGUUCUUAUUUAAUCUUUCUUUUCAAACUUUUUUAUGCAUAUAAAAAAAUGUGAAAUAUGGACGGAUUAGUUCUUUUAGACUUAAUAGGUUGAUGGUGAAAUUUUAAGACUACACAACAUAUUUAUAGGAUUGUUUUUUAUUUAUAUUUUAUUGGGGGUUAAUAUUAGUCUCCCAACUUAGACGAAUAACAAAAAUUCCUUUGCUAUCAAUUUCGUUAUCAAUCAGUUGCAUACGUUAUUUUCUUCACUUAAUUUCUAUGUGGAAAAAGCCAUAUAAGUCUUAGAGGUGAGUCUUGACAAGGAUAACUGCUCCAUUCCUUAUAGUUCCUAUCCUUGCUACAGCCCUUGUGGAAAAAGCCUAUCACUUGGUAGAAGAUAUGGUAUACAUCUCCCUCGUCAUAUGUAUACAUGCACCUCAAUAUAGGGUCAUCUAUCUCUUAAAUUGCAGGAUGAAGAUGAACAUUUGGUUUACAUCGAUGCUUCUCAUUCCACCAAUCGGUGUUCCUCUACAUCUUCUUUUGUUUCUUCGGUAUUUUACAUUGUUAAUGGGACAAUUUGAUAAAAAGAUCAAAAUAAAAUUGUUUCAAAAUAUUAUACACAUGAAAAAAUAUUACGAAUUUAAUUUGAUUACUUUAUUGCGAAAGUUGCAAAAAUAAUUGUAGAAGCAUGUAUAAUGAUUAUGGGCAUUAUUUGAAUAGAUAUUUUUCUCCUUUUUCGCGUCCGACUGAUCGUAACUUAUCUUCAAAUUCAAAUAAAAAAGAAAAAAAAUUCAAGACUGAGAGUAUUUUAGAUAGUCAUUCAAGAGCUUGACUGAUUUCAUAUUGGUCUGUGCAACAAAUUUGCAAAUUUUUUAAAAGACAACUUUGAACUUUAGACAUGCAUAAUUUUUUUAAUACACAGGGAAAAUGUAUAUAUAAAGUACAAGGAAAGAUAUAUCUAUAUAAAUUAAAUUAAUUUUACACACCCUUUUAUAUUUUUUUAUACAAUUUAUAUUUUGUUAAUCCAAUCAUUGAUUUCAAAUUAUAUUCACAUAAAUCAUGCAUAACAGAUUUCAAAUUAAUUAAAACUGAUUAACUAUUUAUUUGAUAAAAAUAAAAUUUCAAUUGUUAAAUAUAUUGAAAAAAUAAACAUUUUACCAAAUUGACUUUGAAAUUACAUGAUAAGUACAAGUUGUUAAAUCUAACAAUAAAAUAUUAAUUUUUAAAGAAAUUAUAAAAAAUGUAAAACUAAUUAGUUUUACGCAAAAAAAUUAAUUUAUUGUUAUUUAGGCUUUUGUGUGCAAUUUUUUCAUAUUUAACAGUAGUUGAAAAUAUGCGGUCUUUACUAAUAUAUGCAUGUGAUAUUUUUGUCCAAAAAUUACCAAAAACAUAUAGAACUGCGAAAUCCGUAAUGUUGUAUGGAAAAGGAUUUUUAACAACACAAGCGAAAGAAAAAAUUUAAUAAAUACAAAGUUAAUAUAGUUUGUUAUUUCCACUUAUUCAAAGGAAGAUUUGAUUUCAAUUGCAGCCACAGGAAUAUUUAGCAAAGCAAUGAAGGUAACAUUAUCCUAACUCUUAUUUAAUCUUUCUGGUUAAACUUUUUUUUACAUAAUAUUCCCAAAAAAAAACUUUUUAUACUUAUAAAAAUUAAAUAUAAGAUAUAUGGAGAUUGAUCAAUUUUACUUAGAAUUAUUAUUUUAUAUAUUAGCAAUGGAAUUUUGAAAUUCCAAAUUUUAUAACAUUAUGUAAGUCACAUUGUAUUUAUUUAUUUAUUGAGGGGUUAUAUUAGUCUCCCUACCGUGCAGAUAUGCUUGGAUGAAUUAGAAAGAUUUCUUUUCUGUCAGUUUCGUAAUGUAUCAAUUGGUUGGACACAGAUUUUCUUCUUUCUUGUUUGUUUGUUUGCGUGGAAAAUCACCCAUGAUUACUAUGAUUGGCUUUGUGGUAAAAGUGUGUUGCGGUUUGGGUUUAAUUAGUUGACUGACUUUUCAAAAGAAGACUUGGUUCUAACAAUAAAUCUAGGAGAACAUCAUAGUGCUUCUUCACAAACUAAUUAAGCCCUUAAUCUCCUUCUCUCCCGCUGAAAUUUUAGGAUGCUAAGAGCAAAACUUCCAUUAUUCGGCCUUCUGGCCCUUGCUUUAUCUCUAUUCCCUGAUGCAUGCAUCGCUAGAGGCAAACACAAGCACUGUCGCUCUUCUUCCUGUGGAAACAUUAACAUCACUUACCCUUUUCGAUUAAAAAGCCAGCCUCAUAGGUGUGGUUACAAUGAGCUUGAACUAGUGUGUGAGAAUAACCGCACCAUUUUCCCCAUGAAAUAUGGUUAUGGGAAUUUCUAUGUCCAACACAUCUCUUAUAGUAACAAAACCAUUCAAAUGUUAGACGUGAGUCUUGACGAGGAUAACUGCUCCAUUCCUCAUAGUUCCUACCCUUUCUACGUGGAUGCACUAAAUAUAUAUUCCUAUCAAACUACCACUGAACCUAGCAUCAUGUAUCUCGUAAAUUGCCCGAUCCAGAUCAACAACUCUUGGGUUUAUAUUGAUGCUUUUCGUUGUACCAAUACCCCUUCCUCUCGACCUCCUUACUUUUACUUUUUGGAUGAAAAUACUGCAAUGUCUAAUUUCCAUGAGUCAUGCACAGUUGAAGCGCAGGUUCCAAUCAUGGUUGCCAAUAUCACUGGCCUCUCUACUUUUGAUAUUUACACAAAGCUGUUGGAGGGAUUCCAACUCUCAUGGUCUUCGUAUGAUGAUAUGUCAAGGUGAGACUCAGUUUUUAACGCGUGAGGAUUUUUAAGUAUUCCAAACUAUUUGGUGCAUUUUAGUUUUUGAAAAGUAUUUAUUAUUUUUAGUUUUUAAUUUUUAAAUUACCUUUUUAACUAUGUAUAUAAAUUUUUAUAAUUAGAAUCACAAAUUUUUAUUACUGUAGUAUCUUCUUCAGACUUUGAUUAUUUACUUUUACUCUAAAUUUGUUUAAUGUAAAAUUUAAACAGAAGCAUUUAAAAUAUUUUAAACAGUGAAAGUGCGCAUUUCAUGGCCUUAUUAAGGAUAACGGUUUUGAUGUGCUUUCUUGAAUAUUAAUUAUAGAUUGCUCUGGCUGUUGCUGCAUCCGCUGCAAAUAUAUAUUCAAAGCAUCAUGGCUUUGUUUCAACCAGAUUAUUUCUAUGCACCUUAUAAAGGUAUUCGUUCUUUUUUGAGUUCAUUAAUAAUUUGAUUCUUAUUGGAUUGGCCUUUACUUUCCUGUAUAGUUGACUUGACUCUUUACGUGCAUCAUAAGUAAACUGUUAAAUUUAAUAGUUGGUUUAUUAAAAUAUUAAUAGUAUACGAAGUUAUAAAAAAUUUAUAAAAAUUAAUUAAUUAAUUUUAUAGUGGUGUUGUGUGAGUAUCGCAUAUAUGUAUACGUAUGUAUCCAAGUGACUACAUAAAAGAAGAUCCAUCAUAAAUGAUUCAUAAAUAAUUUUGAACUACAUUAAUUGGGUAUUUUUUAACUAGGUAUUUUUAUGAUGUUGUGAUUUUUUUGGUCAAAAUAAAAAUUAUGUGGAAUAAGGUCUAAAUUUACCAUUCUAUAUAUUUCGGAUAAUGGAUCAAACUUGUCAGCAUCUUUGAACGGGUGUAAUUUUGCCAUUAUACUUUUAAAUUAGUUAAAAAUGUAAUCAAAAGUUAAGACUAAUGUUAAUUUUUGACCAUUUUUGAAGUAAAUUAAAAUGUAUAAUGGUAAAAAUUGCACUUGUUUAAAAAUAAAAUAAUAAAUUUGAUCCAUCACCUUAAAUAAACUAGUGUGUGUAAAUUUAAAUUUUAUCCCAAAUUAUGUUAUGAAUUUUGUUGGGGAAAAUAUGGCAGCACAUACCCAACUUAAAUUGGUAAAUGACAUAUGCAUAGCAUAUAAUCAUGUUGUCCAACUAAUUAAUAUAUAUAUUGUUAUGUAAUUUUUUUUUUGUGAAACAGGAAUUAUAUUGCUAAGAACACUUUUGGGGAUAAUUUGCUUGAUUAUAUUGGUUAUACGCAAAUUAAAAAGGAGGCAUUUGUCGAUGGAUGACAUGAUUGAGAAUUUUCUUCAGAGUCAAAACAAUUUAAUGCCUAUAAGAUAUUCUUAUUCUGAAAUAAAAAGAAUGACGGAAGGUUUCAAGAAUAAACUAGGACAAGGAGGAUAUGGCUCUGUGUUUAAAGGAAAACUUCGAAGUGGUCAAUUUGUUGCGGUAAAAUUGUUAAACAAAUCAAAAGCUAAUGGUCAAGAUUUCAUCAAUGAAGUUGCAACUAUUGGAAGAAUUCAUCAUGUUAAUGUAGUAAGACUCAUUGGAUUUUGUGUGAAGGGAUCGAAACAAGCUCUUGUAUAUGACUUCAUGCAAAAUGGAUCCUUAGAUAAAAUAAUAUUUUCAACUGAAAGUAACACUUUGAGUUGGCAAAAAAUGUUUGAGAUUACAUUGGGAGUGGCUCGAGGUAUUGAAUAUUUACAUAGAGGUUGUGAAAUGCAAAUUUUACAUUUUGAUAUUAAGCCACAUAACAUUCUUCUAGAUGAGAACUUCAUCCCGAAAGUUUCAGAUUUUGGCCUUGCAAAAUUGUAUUCGGUGGAUGAUAGUAUUGUCUCUCUCACGGCUGCAAGAGGUACAUUAGGAUAUAUGGCUCCUGAAUUGUUUUAUAAAAAUAUUGGAAGCAUCUCAUAUAAAGCUGAUGUUUAUAGUUUUGGAAUGAUGUUAAUGGAAAUUGUCGGAAGGAGAAAAAAUGUGAAUGUCUCUGCUGAACAUUCGAGUCAAAUUUAUUUUCCAUCAUGGAUUUAUGAUCGACUUGAAGAAGGAGAUAACAUAGAGCUUAGAGAUGUAACGGAGAAUGAAAACAAAAUUAUGAGGAAAAUGUUAAUAGUAGCCUUUUGGUGCAUACAGAUGAAGCCCACAGAUCGUCCUUCAAUGAGCAAAGUCUUGAAGAUGCUUGAAAGUGAAGUUGAGCUCCUUGAAAUGCCUCCCAAGCCUGCUUUCUCUUGAAAUGUCAACCAAAUCAUUUGGUGUUGUAUUAUAAGUAAUAUUUAAUAUUGUAUGUUAAGCAAUGUUUCACUACUUUAUUAUAUUACUUUUAUAAUUUUUAUAGUAGAAACCUUAAGCUUGAGGCAUAAUCUUCUCUCUUCCAAAAAAAAACAAAAGAAACAAAAACAAUAUAGAGUGGUGAUGAAGAUAGUAUAGCAAGGAAAAGAAGGAUACUGAGUUGGAGUUUUGAGCCUGCGAAGGUAUUAUUUUAGGAGAUUUGUAAUGGUAUCUUGUUAGUAUUUUGUUUAUAUAAAAAGUCUUUUGUUCAUACAAAGGGCAAAGACUUUAAAUAGCAUUGUCUAUACAAUCAUUAUGUUAAUGCAAAUAGUUAACCAAGUUUUUAAAAAAAUUAAAGAUUUUUCUAAACCAUGUUUGGAAUUAUAAAUUUUUUAUUUAAAAAAUGUAAAUUAUUUGAGUUUUCUCUCUUAAUUAAAAAAGUCAAAUGUUAUCGAAUUCAAAUAUUUAUUUAAAACGAUUCAAAAUCAAAUUCAAUUUAAUUCAAAUUAAAUGACAAAAAUUAAAAAUUUGAAUCCAAAAAUAUGUGAAUUUAAAAUGAUAUUAAUACAAUCUACCUUCAACAUAACUCGAAUCUAAAACGAACCGAGCUCAUAAUGAUCCAAAACCCAAGAUUUAUUUGAUCCAAAACUUAUAAAAACUUAUAUUUAUAACUCCAAAAAAUCCAAAUUAUAAUUAAAUAAAUUUAUUUAAUAGCUAAAUGAGUAAAUGAUUAUUUUUUAAGUGAAAAUUUUAAGACACACAAGCACCUUUUUCUCGUCAAUGCUUUUUCUUUGCACAGAAAAAGCGCAUAGGAAUGGCAUGGUCAACUACUCUGCUUCACCUUCACUUCAAAUUCCCUCCGGUUUCUUCUCAUCAAUUGCCACAUUCCCUCCCCAAAAAAUCCCCAAUCUUCCUAAACCCUAUCCCUAUAAUUCCCAAUUCCAAACACCCCAAAAUGCAAUUCCUUCACAGACCCAACGCGUUUCCAGGCCAAGGCGCAGUAUCAAAAGCCAUGGACAUCAUCCAAUCCUCUCUGCCCACGUGGCAAUCGGCCUUCCUCAGCAACCUCGUGAUCUUCGUUGUCGGAACCCCACUUUUAAUAGCGGGACUAUCUCUCUCCGGAAUUUGCGCUGCCUUCUUGCUUGGCACUCUCACUUGGCGCGCUUUUGGGUCUUCUGGGUUCCUCCUCGUUGCUUCUUACUUCGUUAUAGUGAGUCAUUACAAAGUCUAUGGAUUUUAUUUGAAUUAUAGGAUUUAAGUUAAAUUUAGAAAUGGGGUUCUGAUUUUUGUUCCCAUUUGGUAUAAAGUUUACGCUUUGGAGGACAAGUUUCAUUGUUUGGUAAAUAUGGCAAAGGAAAAGAAAUUUAGUUUAUGUCAAAAAGAUUUCAUGUGACGUAGUUUGUUAUUUAAGUGUGAUUUGUUUUUGUUUAAAGAAUUGGAUUACACUAGGUGAAAUCAGGUCAAAACCAUAACCAAAAUAUUUUUUCCAAAAUUUCUUUAUUUUCAUUUGUUUUCCUCUUGGUGGGGGGCAGGUGGAGGAGCCAGGGAGAAUUUAUGGGUUCUCGCAGUUUUAGACUAGUUUGAAACGAUAUAGUAUUGUUUUUCCUGCUUUCCUUUCUGAUAAUGGCUUGUUUUACUUGCAAAAUGAAUCUUGAAUUAGUUCCUCCUUCCCUCUUCUGAUUUUCCCUACCCAUAUUUCUAGUUGAAGAUAAUAGUUUCAAAUCAUGCUUGAAAACUAUAUUACAAAAUACUUGUAAUAUCAAACAAUUUUGUGUGGCAUUCGAGUUUCUAAUUUGAAUGGAGAAAUAAUUGGGAUGGAAGUGGUAUUAAAUUUAGAGGAAAGAAACAAGAAUGCCUUUUGCAACAUUACAAAGAAAAGAAAAGAAAACCUAGUAUAAAACUUCGGAAGAUGCUUGAUUAUAAGGUGCUGGGCUUUUGAGGACCUGAGACUUCAUAAUACUUUAUAAUUCUCUAGAUCUUCAGGCAAUCUUACAGCUCUUUGUCAUGCCUCUAAAACAAAUGCGGUAAAACCAUGCUCAAUUGUUCAAAUUGUUAUGCUCAAUUGAGAACUCCUGACCUGUUAUGUGUGUGUGGAGAUGAUAACACCAAUGAAUGGCCUUGUUAUACGGAUGACCGCUCAUGAUAAUUGCUACUUCAAAAAUUAUUGGCUUAGAUUUUGCUGCUGUGUUUUGAAACUUGUUGGCAUGCCUCACGAAUGCUGCGAAAUGUGCAGAAGGUUUCUGAGAUCUUGCUGCCAUCUAAGAAGAAAGAAUAGGUGAAAUUGUACAGGUACUAUGAAUAUGAUGUAAUGUUUAGCUUUUUUAUAGGGACUUCCUUUUUGUAUAGUGAACUUGGUUGCAUUGGAAUGAGUCUGUUCUCUGGGAAGAAUCACUGUUCUGAAAUUUGUUAAGUCUGAUCACAAUUGCAACCAGGAGCGGCAUGCCUUGCUUUUCUUCUCAUAGGGCAUGAGGGUAUCCCAUCAGGGUUCUUUUUGUGAACCCCUCUUAUGAAAUAACAUCUUCUAUGCCUUUCCAAAAAAAAAAAAGUAACAAUCACAUGGCAUAAUUUUUUCUUACAAUAUGAGAGUACUACAUCAGAGUUUCUUAAUGCACUAAGAAAAGUUAGAGAUAAGGUCUAAGAAAAUAUCAAUUUCAAGAAGAAACAAAUAACACUAGAAUCAUAUUUUACAAAAAUAUCAUAAUUGAGUCAUGUAUAUAAAUAAUUUUGAUGUAUGAGGAAAUUAUUAAUUUAUAUAUCAAGUGAGAUCUAUGUGUUUUUUUUCAAAAUGUAUUAUCUUAUUAAUUUAACAAAUUAUUAAUUUAUCAUGUUGAUCUCAAAUCAGGACCAACCAAAAUUAAUAUUUAUUCAAAAUUAUUAAUUUAUCAAGUAUUAUUUAUAGAAGAUUUGUUGUACUUCUUUGUAAUUCACUCUAAAUAAAAGGGUAUGUUGAAACAAGCGGAAUUUAGAUCCCUUAUGGUUCUUGCUACAUUUAAGUACUAUUAAUGUCAUUUAUGCUGGUUAUAAAGAUCUGACAUUUUAUUUAGAAACAAAAUUUGUAGAGUGUCAAGCUUUAAUAGCUUUUUUUUUUUGUUGCUUUUUAAUGUUUAUAUUCGUUGCUAUAUACUAUUUUUUUCCCUAUCAAACCAUUCUUUCAUGCUUACAAAUUUAAAUUUGUGGUGUGCAAAAAUUGUUGGUGUAUUUUCAAAAAUCAAAGGUUAUGUCACAUAAUCAAAAGCUAUCUUAGCUCAAAGGUUUGUCACAUAAAGUGACAUAGUGUGACUAUUGGAUUGUAGACAGGUUAUNUUGGUGUAUUUUCAAAAUCAAAUGUUAUGUCACAUAAUAAAAAGCUAUUUUAGCUCAAAGGUUGUCACAUAAAGUGACAUAGUGUGACUAUUGGAUUGUAGACAGGUUAUUGUUUCAUUAGAUAUGAAAAGUUAUUGUUUCAAAUUAUAACUCAAAGAUUAUGAUUUAUGGAAUGAAUAGUUGUCCUUUCAUUAGAUGAUUAUUGAAACAAUACAUUUAUCUUAAAGUUGUGUCUAGCAAAAUGUAAAGAUGUCUUUUAGACAAAAUGGUGUCUUAAUAAAAGGGUUGUGUCCUUGAAGAAGAGACACUUGCAAGCCUAUGUAAAGGGCUUGUUGCCAACCAUUUUUACACAUCAAAUCAAAAACAAAACAAGAACAGAAAAUCAAGAGUAAGAAAGUGUUGUGUUCUAUUAACAUAAACACUUAAGUUCCCAUCAACUACAAAAGCAUCAAAAUUUCUUAUAAUCUACUUGUUGUAGAAAGUAAGCUCUAAAGCCAAACAACUUUGCAAACCCUUAGAUAUAUCUAGUGGUCUACUCUCGUAAAGUGCAAGACAAAGUUAAACGUUAGCUUCAUUGUAUCCUUAAAACUAUUCGCAUUAUUUCUCUUUGCAUACUGAGUGGUGGGGAUGAAAUAAGUUUUAAAAAUAAUGUCUAUUGAAAAGCUCGCCUUAAAAUCAAUUUUGUUGGUUCUUAAAUUUCAUCUAAACCUCAUUUGCACCAACAAAAAUGAACAGGUACCUACUUUACUUUAUUAUUCUACUUUUAUUAUAUAAUUUUUAUAGUCUCCUUUUUCAUCUUAUAUACGGAAUCAGAUCCAUAUAGAAACCUUAAGCUUGAGGCAUAAGCUUCUCUCUUAUGAAAAUAAAAUAAAAUAAAAUAAAAUAAAAAUCAAGAGCAGUAUAUAUACCAUUGUGAAUGAAUAAAGUAUAAAAUCAUAGUGCCUUUUGAGAUACAAAACAUUGUGAAUGCGACAAGAAGUAUUAGUUGUAAUGUGUUAAUGGUCAUUUUUAAAUCAAAUUAAAAAUGUUACUAUUAGCAAUAUCAAGAAUUGCCAAGGAGAAAUUCAUUGAUAAAAUGACAAAUACCCGAAUUCUCUUCAUUGGCAACUUUACUAAAAAUCACUUUCAACGAAAAAAAAUUAGUAAAAGAUCUUCCAUAUUAUCUCUAUAUAUAGUAUAAUAUCAAAAUUUAGUAUUCUAAAAAUUUUAUUUUAUGCUGUUUUAGUACUAACAUAUUUUAAACAAUAUCAUUGUUUAUAUUAUUAUUACACGGACACUACUUACAUAUAAUAUAUAUAUAUAUAUAUAAAAGAUAAUAGCAUUGUUAGCUUUAUUAGAAUGAAUAAUUGAUUUUUUUUAAAAAUAGAAUGAAUAAUCUAACGAGAUGAAUUGGAUUUUAAAAACUUUUUUUGACAAAAUAAAAUCUAAAAAAAAAACACAUCAAAUAAUAAAAUCAAAACCAUUAAAUAAAUAUUUAACUGAAAAUAAAUGUAAUAAAAAUAAAUAGUAUAGGGUAAAAAUAUUUGCAAGAACCAUUUAUAAAGGUUCAAUCUUGUCUCUUGGUAUUUAUGUCACAAGUCUACUUUCUAAUCCAAAAGACAUGCAUAUUAAGUAAAGAUAGACAUUUAUUUAUAAAUCCAAGACUCAACUCAUCUCUUAUUAAUGUAAGAUCUAUCACAUUCUACCUCACCUAAUUGUUCAAUACGUUCGUUGCAUCGGCUCCUUUACUCAUAGAGGAGAGGGACCGUAUCUUGAUCUAAGUCUACCUCGAACCUGAUAUCUUUUAUAAAAGUUUCAUACUAGUUAAGAGUUAAGUUUGCUCUAAUACCACUAAUCACGAGUUCACAUUUCUAAUCCAAAAAAUAUACAUAUUAGAUAGAGAGAGGCCCUUAUUUGUAAAUCAAGACCCACCCAUAUGACACUUACAUUCUCUCUCUUAGUGUAGUAAAGAGUUCAAUACACUACUUAAUUCAACCAAUACAAAUACUAUUUUCUUGCGUAUCCAAAACAUGCAAAAAAUGCUCUACUUCCCUAUGUGAUACCUCAGAUGAAAUAAAUUAUUUCCUCAUCUUUAAAAGAAAAUACAAUAAUUGUAAAUUUUAUUUUUCUCCUAUUUUAUGUAACAGCCUCAACUUUGACUAAGGUUAUAAAUUACUUGUGUUGAACCAUUUGAUAACUUGCCAUGAGAUUUAAACAUAUGUAUUAAAUAUAUGAACAAAUGACAAUGUGUUUAAGGAUCUUGAAUGAUAAACUAUUAGGGUAAAAUACCCUUACCCCUCUAAGUUUUGAUUGAAAUUACAUGGAGGUCCAUUAGUUUUCAAAAUAGACACUCCGCCCCAAAAAAAUAUUUUUCACUGGACAUUUAGGUCCAGUUGUUAGUCAACCAUUAGUGUUUCCGUCAAUUUGAUGAUGUGAUAAGGGUAAAAACAUAAUUUCACCAUUGAUUAAUUUUUAAAAUUACUAUUAUAUAAUUUUAUUAAUUUUUUAAUUAAUUAAAAUAAAAAAGCUCCUCAAGGAGCAUUAAAGCUCCCUGGGAAGCACCAAUCGGGUGCUCCCCUCCCUUGAGGAGCACGAUGCUCUCUUUUUUAAAAUUUUUUUAAACAUAUAAUAUAAUUUUUAAAAUUUAUAUAAAAAAAAGAAAAGACAUUUUAGUCUUUUCCUAAUCUCUAUUAACGGUAUUUUCAUUUUUAGGACAAAGUGUCCAUUUCAAAAACUAAUAGACCUGCUUAAAAUUUGAACUAAAACUUAAAAGGUAGGGGUAUUUUACCCUAAAAUAUUAUGUUUUUGAUUAGAUUUUAGACCUUAAGCUAUGUGUUGAUAUGUUUUGACACUGAAUAUUGGUUAAUGUGGUGCAUACUAGUUGCAUUAAGAUGAAUAUUGAAAUAACAAAUCGUUUUGGAAGUCCAAAUUUGGAGUUAGGUAGUUUGAAGUGUUGAAAGUUUGCCUUUAGGAGAAAAUGUAUUGAUAAAUUCCUUGAUCUAUCAAUACAUUCAUGGCAGAAUGCCUUGGCAAAGCUUUCUAUCAAUACAUUCUAGAAUGUUUCGAUAGAUUUGGGCCAGGAGGCAUUCUAUAUGAAAACUCUCGAACAUUACAAGAACGUAUUGAUAGAUUUAAAAAGAUGGAUAUUUUGUAAAAAAGGUAUUUAUAGAUUUUCUUGAUCGAUCGAUACAUUUCAAGCAUAAAGCAUUCUUUUAAAUUUACUUCAAUAUGUUGGUACAUGUAUCGAUAGAUCUGAUGAAAAUUCGUGAAAAUGUAUCAAUGCAUGAUUGUAAGUCAGCAAAAAUAAAAGAGACUUUGGGCAUUCCACCCAUUUGAAAACACAAGGAAACAAAAGCUUUCCCUCCUUGCCUUUGAAACCCUAAAACCCCCUAGUAGAUUGGAACUAAUUUGGAGUACUUGGAAGCUUGGAAAUUCAUACUUAAGGUAAGAUCAAGCUUCCUAACAUUUUGAAUUACAUUUUAAUCGGUUCAAAAAUGAGAAUUUGACUAUGGUUUCAUCUCAAUUAUCUUCUCCUUGAGUUGUUGGGAUUUUGGAGUCUUAAGGGCUUAGAAUAGCUGCCAAGGUGAGGAAACCUAACUGUUUUGAACAUUGGAAACAAUGAAACCUAUGAUUUGGAUUGGUAGUUGGAUUUAGAAGCUCAGUUAGGCUUAGAAAAUCUGUGCAUGCUUUGAAAAAAGCUAAAGGUCUAGAAUUUAUGGAUUUGUUAGGUGAAGUGGGAACUUAGAGCUGUUGAUGAACUGAAAUUCUAUGUGGAAUGAUGGACGCAGUGUUUAGCUGAGUGUGAUGUCUUGGCUUCUUCUUGGAAGAAUGUUGCAGCACUAAAACUUUACUAUUUAGCAAUGUGAGUUACGUUAGAGAUAUUCUAGGUCAGUGGGGCAUUUUAUCUAGAAAUUAAGAUUUGAUGUAUGUAUGCACAAAUGUAUGCAUGUGCACUGCCAUGAAACAUGAUUGGUUGAUAAAAUGCUUAGAUGAACUAUGCAUAGGCCGAUGGGUUGAUUGAGCUCUAUUAUAGCUAUGUAUGUUAAUAAUAAAAACCUGUUUGAUAUUGGGUGAGCCAUGUGGUGGUGAUUGAGCUUGACUGUCUUAGUAUUCGCGACUAAAAAGUCUAUUGACCAUGCCUCUGCGCUUGUAUAAAACUUAUAACUUGAUACCUUUUUCUGUGGUAGCGUAUGAUUAUUGCUAAUUCUACGAAAUAAUGUUAUUAGUGAACUAUGGAAAAUCUGAAUUAUGAAAGUUGAUUGAGUUGCAUUCGUAAUUAUGCAUGUAUGAUGCCAAAUGGCUAUGUUAAUGACUUUUGCACAUGUAAUGGCGACACAAUUCCUAAUGGUAAUUGGUUUCGUCUUACGAGUGCUUUCUGGACGAUGAUAUGGUCUAGUUAGAAGGUGUCAUAGUCCCUGUGGUCUUGCUUACCAUUAGCAGUUUAGGCGUUGGACGUGUUUUGUUUACUUGGGAAGACCCUUCUCUUGUUACCAUCUUGAUGAUAACACAAUUUAAUUAGUUGACUUGACUGUCUUUUCAAUCCAAGACAAGUGAGCGAGAAAAACUGCACCAUUGCUCCAUGAAACCUUACAACUCUUAGACGUGAGUCUUGACCUCAUCGAUAGUUCCUAUCCUUGCUACACUCCUUGUGGAAAAAGCCUACCACUCGGCAGAAGAUAUGGUAUGCAUCUCCCUCAUCAUACAUGCACCUUAACAUAGGGUCAUGUAUCUCUUAAAUUGUAGGAUGAAGAUGAAGUCUUCGGUUUACAUUGAUGCUUUCUCAUUGCACCAAUCGAUGUUCCUCUCCACAUUAUUUCAUUCUUCAGUCAAAUUAUUCAUUGUUAACAACUAACGGAAAUGUAAGUGUGGAUUAUUCACGUGACAUGUUAAAUAAUUUUUACCAUGAUAUUUUAUUACUGUUAACAGUACAAUCUGAUAAAAAGAAUAAAAUGAAACCAUUUUAAAAUAUUAUGUGUAAAAUAUAUGAAAAAAGAUUAUAGAUUUAAUUUGAUUACAUUGCUGCCGGACUUACCAAAAUAAUUGUAGAAGCAUGUCUAAUGAUUAUAGGCAUAGCUCUUCAAAGAAAAAUACUGUUUUAUACUUAACAAAAAGAUAAAUGUAAAAUAUAAAAUUGAUCAAUUUUGUUUAGAAUUAUUAUUUUAUAUAUUUUGAAAUUUUGAAAUUUCAAAAUAUAUAAUAUUAUUUAAGUCGUAUUAUAUAUUAUAUAAUUGAAGGGUUAUAUUAAUCGCCUUACUGUGCAGAUAUACUUGGAUGAAUUAUAAAGAUUUCUUUUCUAUUAGUUUCGCUACGUAUCAAUUGGUUGGACACAUUUUAUAAUAAAUAUAAGAGACCAUCAUAGUGCUUCUUCACAAACUAGGACCUUAAUCUCCUUCUCUCCCGCUGAAAUUUUAGGAUGCCAAGAGCAAAACUUCCAUUAUUUUGCCUCUUGGCUUUUGCUUUAUCUCUAUUCCCCGACUGAGGCUCUUCUAUCUGUGGAAAUGUUACCAUCAAAAAGCCCUUUAAGUUAAAAAGCCAACCUCUCAGGUGUGGAAACCGUGAGCUAGUAGUCGAGUGUGACGAUAAUAACCACACCAUUUUCCCCAUGAAAUAUGGGAAAUUCCUUGUCCAAGACAUCUCUUAUAAUAACGGUACAAUUCAACUUUUAGACGAGAGUCUUGGCAAUGAUAACUGCUCCAUUCCUCAUAGGUCCUAUCCUUUGUACAUCCCUUUUGCGAAAAAACAACGUCUCUAUGAAGAUACCACUGAAUUUAGCAUCAUGUAUCUCGUAAAGUGCACGAUGCAGAUCAACUACUCUCGGGUUUAUAUCGAUGCUUUUCGUUGCACCAAUACUCCUUCCUCUCUACCUCCUUACUUGUAUUUUUUGGAUAAAAAAACAGCAAAGUCUGAUUUCCAUGAGUCAUGCAGAAUUGAAGCCCAGGUUCCAAUCAUGGUUGCCAGUAUCACUGGCCUCUCUACUUCUGAUAUUUACACAAAACUGUUGACGGGGUUCCGACUCUCAUGGUGGGAUUAUGCUUAUCAGUUUGGCUGGCUGCGGUGGGACUCAAUUGUUAACGUGUGAGGAUCUUUAAGUAUUCCAAAAUAUUUGGUGCUGUUUAGUUUUUGGAAAUGUUAACUAUUUUUAUUAUAAAUAAACAAAUAAGAUAAAAAUUUUAGUCUUUAUUUCUUUUUAAAAAGUUGACAACAUUUUUAAAUUACUAUUUUAACUAUGUAUAUUAAUUUGUUAUCUAAAAUUUAAACUCGAUAUUUUUAAAGAAUUACAGACUUUAAUUCUAUUAAUGUAGUGUCUACUUCAGACUUCAAUUAUUUCCUUUAAAUAUGUUUAGUGUAAAAUUUAAAGAUAAGGAUUUAAAGCAUUUUUAACAGUAAAAGUGUGCAUUCCAUUUAACUUAUUAAGGAUUAGCGGUUUUGAUGUUCUUUCUUGAAUAUUAAUUAUAGAUUGCUAUGGGUUUUAAAAAAAAAAGGAAGUAUAGAUUGCUAUCCUUGGUCAACCUUUUGCUGGCUCCGCUGUUUAUAUUUAUUGAAAGCAACGCGGCUCUUCUGCUAGGCAUCCCAACAGAGGAUUCAUUGGUAGAUAACAAAGGUGUUCUUUCUUUUCUGAGUUUGUUACUAUUUUGAUUAUUAUUGGAUUUACCUUUACUUUCCUAGGAUCUAUUAACACUUAGUUCUCGAAUCGGUAAAAUCUUAGCAUGAAUCCAGAUUUAUAUUUAUAUAUCAUUAAUUUAACAAUUGUAUUUCGUAAUCUAUUUACUUAUAUCAUGCAUGAUAAAUUUUAAGUUAAUUGAAAAUAUUUAAUUAUUUAAAUGAGAACAUUAAAAUUUUGACCAUUAAAUAUAUAUUAAAAAACCAAUAUUCUUGAGCAAUACGAUAUGGAUUAUCACAUUGAUUUGAAAUUUUAAAUGUAUGAUGAGUACGAAUAGUGUAUGAAAUUAUAAAAAGGUGUAAAACUUAAUUAAUUUUUAACUUGAGCCCUCAAAUUUAUAUAGUUUGUAUGAGUAUUGCAUAUAAAGUAUAUGUAUGUACAAAGAGAUUCCAAUAAAGGAUAAAAUUAUUUAAUAAGAGACGAUAUACUAUAAAUAAUUCAUGAAUAAUAUUGAACUACAUUAAUUGGGUUUUUUUCAGUUAGGUAUUUCUAUGUUGUUACGAUUUUUUUGGUCAAAAUAAAAAUUUUGUCCAAGUUUAUCAUAUUACUUGAAUGAGUACAAUUUUGUCAAUAUACUUUUAAAUUUGUUAAAAGAGAUCAAAAGUUACAAAAUGAACUAAAAUGUACAAUGAUAAAUAUUACACUCGUUAAAAAAAUAAAUAGUAAAUUUGAUCCAUCACCUUAAGUCUAGUGGUGAUAAAUUUAAACCUUAUCUCAAAUUAUUUUAUGAAGUUUGUUUGUGAAAUAUGGCAACAUAUACACAAAUUAAGUUAGUAACUAGCAUGUACAUAUUCUAUAAUCUUGUUGUCCAACUAAUUGGUUUAUAUAUAUGUUUUGUACUCUCUUUUUUUUUUUAUGAGAAACAGGAAUUAUAUUGUUAAGAACUUUUUUGGAGAUAACUUGCUUGAUUGUAUUUGUUAUACACAAAUUAAAAAUGUGGCAUUUGUCUAUGGAUGACAAGAUUGAGAAUUUUCUUCAGAGUCAAAACAAUUUAAUGCCUAUAAGAGACUCUUAUUCUGAAAUAAAAAGAAUAACAGAUGGCUUCAACAAUAAAUUAGGUCAAGGAGGAUAUGGCUCUAUAUUUAAAGGAAAACUUCGAAGUGAUCAACUUGUUGCAAUAAAAUUGUUAAACAAAUCAAAAGCUAACACCCAAGAUUUCACCAAUGAAGUUGCAACUAUUGGAAGGAUUCAUCAUGUUAAUGUGGUAAGACUUAUUGGAUUUUACGUGAAGGGAUCAAAACAAGCUCUUGUAUAUGACUUCAUGAAGAAUGGGUCCUUGGAUAAAAUUAUAUUUUCAACUGAAAAUAACACUUUGAGUUGAGAAAAAAUGUUUGAGAUUGCAUUGGGAGUGGCUCAAGGUAAUGACUAUUUACAUAAAGGCUGUGAAAUGCAAAUUUUUCACUUUGAUAUCAAGCCACAUAACAUUCUUCUAGAUGAGAAUUUUACUCCAAAAGUUUCAGAUUUUGGCCUCGCAAAUUUGUAUUCAGUGGAUGAUGAUAUUAUUUCUCUCACAGCAGCACGAGGUACGCUAGGAUAUAUGGCUUCUGAAUUGUUUUACAAAAAUAUCAGAGGUAUAUCAUAUAAAGCUGAUGUUUAUAGUUUUGGAAUGAUGAUAAUGGAAAUUAUCGGAAGGAGAAAAAAUUUGAAUGCCUCUGCUGAACAUUCAAGUCAAAUUUAUUUUUCAUCAUAGAUUUUUGAUCAAUUAGAUGAAGGAGAUACCAUGGAGCUUGGAGAUGUGACAGAAAUUGAAAACAAAAUUAUGAGGAAAAUGGUAAUAGUAACCUUAUGGUGCAUACAGAUGAAGCCCACAGAUCGUCCUUCAAUGAGCAAAGUCUUGAAGAUGCUUGAAAGUGAAGUUGAGCUCCUUGAAAUGCCUCCCAAGCCUUCUUUCUCCGGAAAUAUCAACUAAAGAUAGUAAAAAUUCUCCCUGCACACGUGGCAAUCGGCCUUCCUCAGCUACCUCGUGAUUUUCGUCGUUGGGACACCACUCAACAUCGUGAUCUUGCUAAAUCUGAUGCCCUUAAGUCGAUUACUUUUUCUGUAUUUAGUUUUUUGAGUGGUACGUAGUUUUUGUUUCCACCGAGAUCUAGCAGGCAGUGUUUGUAUUCUCUUUACCACCUUGGUUUGUUUUGUUUCUGCUACUUCUCUAUUUCCCUGUAUGCGACCUUUGAUGAAAUAAAUCAUUUCCUCACUUAUAAAAAAAUUGCAAGAAAAUGUAAAUUUUUUCCCUUAUUUUAUAAAAAGAAAAUGUGUUAUAUCUUAUAUUAUAUUUUUAUGUACCUAUGUAUCUAUAGUAUUAGUUGUUUAAACUUUUUGGGUGUAAUUCAUUUUCAUAGAUAAUUAACAGCUUUUAUAAAAGUGCAGUCUUUGUCACUAUAUAUGCAUGUAAAUCUCUCUUUAACUGCAAUUGUUUUGCCCAAAAUACUUCUUAUAAAAGAUUGUACAGAGCAGCCAAAUUUGUAAAGUUCUAUCCUAAGUAAAAUAUUUUUAAUGACACAAAUUAAAAAAAUUAAAUGUCAAAUUUAUUGUGGUGUGUUUUUCCCCCUUUGACUCUAGACUCUAGCUUAUUAAAUUUUCAAAGGAAGAUUUGCUUUCAUUUGCAGCCAGAGAAUGAUUAGCAGAGCAACCAAGAUAAAAUUAUCUUAGUUCUUAUUUAAUCUUACUUUUUAAACUUUUUUAUACAUAUAAAAAAAUGCAAAAUAUGGACUGAUUAGUCCUUUUAGACUUGAUUGGUCGAAGGUGAAAUUUUAAGACUAAACGGUGAAUUUACAAGAUUGCUCGAAUGAUUUUAUUCCUAUUUGAGUGGAAAAUCAGCUAAGAGCUAUGAUUGGCUUGUGGUAAGGUGGUUGGCUUUAAUUAGUUGACUUGACUGACUUUUCGAACGAAGACAAGUGAGCAAGAAUAACCACACAUUUUCCCCAUGACAUAUAUAUGAGAAUUUCUAUGUGGAAAAAGCCAUAUAAAUCUUGGAGGUGAGUCCUGACAAAAAUAACUGCUCUAUUCCUCAUAGUUCCUAUCCUUGCUACACCCCUUGUAGAAAAAGCUUACCAUGCCACUCGGUAGGAGAUAGGGCAUACAUCUCCCUCAUCAUAUGUAUGCAUGCACGUCAAUAUAGGGUCAUGUGUAUCUCUUAAAUUGCAGGAUGAAGAUGAAUUCUUCGGUUUACAUUGAUGCUUUCCAUUGCACCAAUCGAUGUUCCUCUCCACGUUAUUUUGUUUCUUCAGUCAAAUUAUUCUCUGGUUAACAACUAAUGAAAAUGUAAGGAUAGAAUAUUCACGUAAUAUGUUACAUAAUUUAUACUAUAAUAUUUUAUCAUUGUUAACGGCACAAUUUGAUAAAAAGAUAAAAAAGAAAUCAUUUUAUUAUAUUAUGUGUAAAAUACAUGAAAAGAAAAGAUUACAAAUUUUAUUUGAUUACAUUACUGCAGAACUUACAAAAAUAAUUAUAGAAGCAUGGCUAAUGAUUAUAGGUAUUAUUUGGAUAGAUAUUUUUCUCAUUUUUCUUGUUUGACUGGUUGUAACUUGUCUUCAAAUUUUGAUAUCCACCAAAAAACUAUCCAAGAGCUUGAUUGUUUUAGAUAGUCAUUCAACAGCUUGACUGACUUUAUAUUUGUCUGUGCAACAAAUUUGAAAAUUUUUUUUAAAAAAGUCAAUAUUGAAUUUUAGACAUGCAUAAAUAGCAUAAUUUUUUAUUAUGCAGUGAAAAUAUAUGUAUAAAGUAUGAGGAAAGAUCUACUUAUACCGGUAUAAAAUUAAAUUAGUUUUACACUUUUUCAUGUCUUUUUAUUUCAUUUAUAUUUUGUUAAUCUAACCGUUCAUUUUAUGUUUUAUUCAUAUAAAUAUUCAUAGAUAGCAAAUUUCAAGUUAAUUGGAAAUGACUAACUACAUAUUUGAGAAAAAUAAAAUUUCAAUCAUUAAAUAUAUAUUGAAAAAAGGCAUUAUUCUCGGUUGAUGUAAUAAGAAUGUUGAAUUAAUAUGAGACUUUACGUGUAUGAUAAAUGCGAAUAAGUUGUUAAAUGUAAUGAUUCUAUUUGUUAAAAUAUUAAUUCCCUAAGAAGUUAUAGAAAAAUGUAAAGUACUUAGUUUUAGAGAUACAAGGCGAUUCCUCUUGGCCGGUAUAAAGUAUUGCUAUUUAGGCUUUUGUGUGCAAUUUUUUUUCAUAGCUAAUUGUUGUUGAAAGUGUGCAAUCUUUACUACUGUAUGCAUGUAAUAUUUUUGUCCAAAAUAUUAGCAAAAAAAAUGUUUUGAACUGUGAACUCCGUAAAAGUUCUAUACAAAAGGAUUUUAAACAACAAUAGUUAAAGAAAAAAAAUAAAUAAAUGAAAAUUUAAUUAUUAUAGUGUGUUUUUUCCACUUGUUCAAAGUAAGAUUUGAUUUCAAUUGCAGCCCUAGAUAUAAUCAGCAAAGCAAUGAAGCUAACAUUAUCCAAAGAUUUAAUGUUUCUCGUUAAACUUUUUUAUAUAUAAUUCUCCAAAGAAAAAUACAGUUUUAUACUUAAAAAAUAAAUGUAAAAUAUGAAAUUGAUCAAAUUUUUUCAGAAUUAUUAUUUUAUAUAUCUUGAAAUUUUGAAAUUCCAAAAUUUAUAAUAUUGUUUAAGUCAUAUUAUAUAUAUUAUUGAGGGUUUAUAGUAAUAUCCCUACUGUGUAGAUUUACUUGGAUGAAUUGCAAAGAUUUCUUUUCCAUCAGUGCCGCUACGUACCAAUUUGUUAGGUACACGGAUUUUCUUCUUUCUUGUUUGUUUGCGUGGAAAAUCAUCAAAAAGCUCUAUGACAGGCUUGUCGUUAAAGGUGUUUUGCGGGUUGGGUUUAAUUAGUUGACUGACUUUUCAAAAGAAGACUUGGUUUUAACAAUAAAUGUAAGAACUGCUUCACUUGCCUCUAUCAAAACGAGGACCUUAAUCUCCCACUGAAACUUUAGGAUGCUUAGCGUCAUACUUCCAUUACUUUGCCUCUUGGUUUGGCUUCAGUGCAAAUCUCCAAUCCAGUCGUUACAAAAAAAGACAAGUACUGUGGCUUUUCUUUCUGUGGAAACAUUAACAUCACUUACCCUUUUCGAUUAAAAAACCAGCCUCGUAGUUGUGGUUACAAUAGGUUUGAACUAGUGUGCCAGAAUAACCGCACCAUUUUCCCCAGGAAAUAUGGGAAUUUCUAUGUCCAACACAUCUCUUAUAGUGACGAAACCAGCCGACUUUUAGACGAGAGUCUUGGCAACGACAACUGCUCUAUUCCUCAUAGUACCUAUCCUCGGUCCACCCCUUCUGCAAAAAAACUAUAUCCCUGGCGUACCUUUUCAUGGGAAGAAAGAAAUUUCUAUCAAACUACCCCUGAAUUUAGCGUCAUGUAUCUCAUAAAUUGCACGAUGCAGAUCAACUACUCUUCCGUUUAUAUCGAUGCUUUUCGUUGCACCAAUACCCCUUCCUCCUCUCAACCUCCGUACUUUUACUUUUUGGAUGAAAAUACAGCACCGUCUGAUUUCCAUGAGUCAUGCACUGUUGAAGCCCAAGUUCCAAUCAUGGUUGCCAGUAUCAUCGGCCUCUCUACUUUUGAUAUUUACACAAAGCUGUUAACGGGAUUCCAACUCUCAUGGUUCACUUCCUCUUAUGAUUAUGUUUGGCUGCGGUGGGACUCAAUUGUUAACGUGUGAGGAUUUUUAAGUAUUCCGCAAUAUUUGGUGUUGUUUCGUUUUUGAAAAAUAUUUAUUAUUAUUAAUUUUUUUUGGAUCGUAAUAUUUAUUAUUUUUAGCAUACAUAAAUAUGAUAAAAAAACAAAUAUCAAAAUAUUUAGUUUUGAAUUCUUUUAAACUACUUUUUUAAUUAUGUGUAUAAAUUUGUAUCUAAAAUUUAAACUCGAUAUUUUAAUGUAAAAUUUAAAGAGAAGGAAUUAAGACAUUUUCAACACUAAAAGUGCGCAUAUCAUUUGCCUUAUUAAGGAUUAAUGGUUUUGAUGUGCUUUUUUGAAUAUUAAUUAUAGAUUGCUAUUCUUGCUCAAGCUGUGGUCGGUUCUGCCGAAGAUACUUGUACAAGGCAACAUAGCUUUUUUUGAACCAGAUUCUAUCGAUGGAUUUAGUAAAUGUAUUCUUUCGGUUCUGAGUUCAUUAAUAUUUUGAUUAUUAUUGGAUUUGCCUUUACUUUGAUAGAAUCUAUUUUCAUUUAUUUUCUGAUUUGGUAAUAUCUUUGCAGGAAUCCAGAUUCUUUGUGUUGCAAUAACAGGUACUAAAUUCUAUACUUAUUUAUUUACUCUUAAAUUCUACAAUUAUUAUAAUGUAUGACAUCAAUAAAUAUAUUAUUAUAUAAAUGGAUUAAAAAAUUAUUAAAUUAUUUAAAAAAUUCCUAAACUAUUUUACAACAAUUCCAAUAAGCUUUUCUUAAUUUUUAUUGCAUUCAAUCAAGCUAUUAUAUUUUUAUUUUGAACCAAAUAAACCCUUCUAAGUAACAGUUAACUAAUGUUAUUAGUUCAAAUGUCACUUGUUAUUUCAUACUCAUGUGACAUUGAUAUGAUGCUGACAUGGAGGAUGAAAAUGCCACAUAACCAUGUCAUAAUGCCAUAUACUCUGAUAUGUCAACAUAAUAUAUCCAUGUCAUAUGAUAUAAAAUAACAAAUGGUAUUUUGAUUAAUAACAGUUAGUUAACCAUUAGUUAUAAUGACUUAUUUGGUUCAAAAUAAAUGUUUAAGAGCUUGAUCAUACACAAUAAAAGAAUGAGAGUUUAUUUGAAUUUUUCUAAAUAGCUCAAGAAAUUUUUAAGUAUUAUGCAUUUUUGUGUGUGCGUGUGUGUAUAUGUACCAGUGUGAAAUUAAUUAAAUUUACACCUUUUCAUAUUUUUUAUAAGAUUUAUAUUUUGUUAAUUUAACCGGUGUAUUCCAUAUAUACUCAAUUUACAUAGAUCAUGCAUAAAAAAUUUUAAAUCAAUUGAAAAUAUCUAAUUAUUUGUAUAAUAAUAAUAAAAUUUUAACCAUUAAAUAUAUAUUUAAAAAACAAUAUUCUCUACCAAUGUGAUAUGGAUAUUGCACUGACUUGAAACUUUUUAUGUACGAUUGGAUGCAAAUAAAGUUAGCUUGCUAAAACUUAAUUGUAUAUGAAAUUAUAAAAUGGUGUAUAUAUAUAUAUAUAUAUGAGUAUUGCAUAUAUGUAUAUGUAUGUAUAAAGAGAUUCAAUAAAGGAUAAAAUAAUUAAAUAAGAGAAGAUCUACUAUAAAUUAUUCAUAAAUAAUAUUGAACUACAUUAAUUAGGUUUUUUUAGUAAGGUAUUUUUAUUUUGUUACGAUGUUUUUUGGUCAAAAUAAAAAUUAUGUCCAAAUUUAACAUUUUACUUUGGUGAUAGACCAAAUUAUGAUCAUAUUUAAAUGAGAAUAAUUGGCACUAUACUUUUAAAUUGGUUAAAAAUGAUCAAAAGUUAUGAAAUAAACUCAAAAGUACAAUAAUGAAAGUUACACUCAUUCAAAAAUGAAUAGUAAAUUUAAUCCAUCAUUUUUUUUAAAAGGUGAAUUUUUAUUAACCUCAACACUAUCAUGCCAUUUUGAUUCUCAAGCUUAGAUUGCAAGAGACUCUCAUGACAUAAAUAGUUAGUAAGCAGCCUGUACAAUUUCCAAAAAGAAUAUGCUACUCAAUAAGAUUUUGGUAGCAACUCAGGAUAAAGAAACUAACGUACCUUAAGCAGAUUGGUGGUAAAUUUGAACCUUAUCUCAAAUUAUUCUAUGAAGUUUGUUUGUGAAAAUAUGGCAGCUAGCACAUGCCCAAAUUAAAGUUGUAAAUAACAUAUACAUGUUCUAUAAUCAUGUUUUCCAACUAAUUGAUUUACAUAUUGUUUUGUAUUUUUUUUUUUUUGAGAAACAGGAAUUCUUUUGCUAAGAACUUUUUUGGGAAUAAUUUGCUUGAUUGUGCUGGUUAGACGAAAAUUAAAAAGGAGGCAUUUGUCGAUGGAUGACGUGAUUGAGAAUUUUCUUCAGAGUCAAAACAAUUUAAUGCCUAUAAGAUAUUCUUACUCUGAAAUAAAAAGAAUGACUGAUGGUUUCAAGAAUAAACUUGGUCAAUGAGGAUAUGGCUCUGUGUUUAAAGGAAAACUUUGACGUGGUCAACUUGUUGCGAUAAAAUUGUUAAACAAGUCAAAAGCUAACGGCCAAGAUUUCAUCAAUGAAGUUGCAACUAUUGGAAGGAUUCAUCAUGUUAAUGUGGUAAGACUUAUUGGAUUUUGCGUGAAGGGAUCAAAACAAGCUCUUGUAUAUGACUUCAUGAAGAAUGGGUCCUUGGAUAAAAUUAUAUUUUCAACUGAAAAUAACACUUUGAGUUGGCAAAAAAUGUUUGAGAUUGAAUUGGGAGUGGCUCGAGGUAUUGAAUAUUUGCAUAGAGGUUGUGAAAUGCAAAUUUUACAUUUUGAUAUCAAGCCACAUAACAUUCUUCUAGAUGAGAACUUUACUCCAAAAGUUUCAGAUUUUGGCCUCGCAAAGUUGUAUUCAGUGGAUGAUGAUAUUAUUUCUCUCACAGCAGCACGAGGUACAGUAGGAUAUAUGGCUCCUGAAUUGUUUUAUAAAAAUCUCGGAGGUAUCUUAUAUAAAGCCGAUGUUUAUAGUUUUGGAAUGAUGCUAAUGGACAUUAUUGGAAAAAGAAAAAAUUUGAAUGCCUCUGCUGAACAUUCAAGUCAAAUUUAUUUUCCAUCAUGGAUUUAUGAUUGAUUAGACGAAGGAGAUAUCAUGGAGCUUGGAGAUUUGAUAGAAAAUGAAAACAAAAUUAUGAGGAAAAUGGUAAUAGUAGCCUUAUGGUGCAUACAGAUGAAGCCUAUAUGGAUCGUCCUUCAAUGAGCAAAGUCUUGAAUAUGCUUGAAAGUGAAGUUGAGCUCCUUGAAAUGCCUCCAAAGCCUUCUUUCUUUGGAAAUGUCAACUAAAGAUAGUAAGAAUUCUCCCCGCACAUGUGGCAAUCGGCCUUCCUCAACUAUCUCGUGAUAUUCGUCAUUGGGACACCACUCAACAUCAUGAUCUUGCUAAAACUGACAACUUCUUCUGUAUUUAGUUUUUUGAGUGGUACGUAGUUUUUGUUUCCACCUAGAUCUAGUAGGCAGUGUUUGUAAUUUCUCUACUACCUUGGUUUGUUUUGUUUCUGCUACUUCUUUAUUUCCCUAUAUGUGACCUCUGAUGGAAUAAAUCAUUUCCUCACUUGUAAAAAAAUUGUAAGAAAAUGCAAUUUUAUGUUUCCCUUAUUUUAUACUGUCACGGCCCAAACCCGAGGCACGACAGACGCCACAUACCUAUAAGAUGUAAUCUUACAAACAUGCAAGGCUCCAAUACAUAUACCUUAUAACACUAAUUGAAAGAGACUAAAAUACCUGAAGAACAUAGUGAUUCAUAAUCGGUAGAAAUUCAAAAGAUCAUAAUUCGACAAUUUUUAGAAUUAAGUCUCUAAAACUAUAAAGCUAACAUGUCAAGAUAAAACUCUGAAUACUAAUUUAAGAUAGUUUGAUGUUCAUAAUAUUUAAAUAAAUCCUAGACAACCUAAAUGCUACUAGAUUAAAACAUCACUCCUCGAAAUUCUCACGUAGUUGACCAAAUCACAAUCUGAAAAAAAAAUUAAAGGAAGGAGUGAGUCCAACUACUCAGCAAGUAACUAACAUCUCACUUCAUACUACAAAAGGCCUUAAAGAAAUUAUCAAAAAUGUUAUCGGAAUAUGGAGUUCCGAUGACCCAAAUUUAGGUUGUGAAAAUAGUUGAAAACCAGGUUUCCAAUUAAUUUUAAAAAUUCAUAUUUUCCAAACCACAAAACCAAACGAGAUGCUACAAAAACCAUUGAAAAGAUCUUUUCAAGACCUUUCCAUUGGUACCCAUCAUGCCAUCGAAAAGUCACCAGAAUAGUACCGGAUUUGAAUAAAAGUUAAGAAAACAUAAAUAAUUUAGGGUUUUUGUGCCCAACUAUGAAAAUACAACCCUAAACAUACCUUAAUCAACACUCUCUUGAAUACUUUUCUCUUUUUUCUAUGUUGCUUCUUCCAUGGUAUUAAGCUUUCUUGACUGCCUAUCGUUUGAGUCUGAUGAAAUAAACUGACAUGAGUUUUCUGCCUUUUCUUUUAAACUUGUAAACUAACCUAACCUCCACUAUCUUUUUUUUUUAAAAUGUGAUUUAGUGAGUUGUGGUCAGGUAAAACAAACUGACCUUAACCCCACUAACUUAAACAUGAUAAAUAAAACCAACAUUAAUUAAACUUCCUUAUUUACUUAAAGACCUUUUUUCUAUUUUUUUAAUUAUUAAGGCACUCAAGGUUAUAAUUGCAAUUAAAUAAAAUACUAAAACAACAUUUACUUAUUUAUUUUUAUAAAACUAUAGCUUAAUAAAUCUAAAUAUUUUUAUAAUAUAUACUUUGUGAUGGGUAUCACAUCCUCCCCUCCUUAAAAAGGAGUUUAGUUCCUUAAACUCUUACCUUGGUCCUAAAAAGGUGGGGAUACUUCUUUUCGAUAUUUUCUUAUAAAUCCCAAGUCGUUUCUCGUUCUGUAUGGUUACUCCGUUUGACCUUAACAUAAAGAAUAGUUCACCUUCUUAGAACUUGCUCUUUUCUAUCCACAAUACGUAUAGGAUGCUCAUCAUAGGACAAAUCUUCUCUAAGUCUCAAAGGAGCUACUUCCACCACAUGACUAAGAUCUGGAACAUAUUUUCUCAACAAAGAAACAUGAAACAUGUUAUGCACUCCCGAUAGAGUAGGUGGAAGUGCCAACCUAUAAGCCACAUCACCAACCUUAUCCAAAAUCUCAAAUCAACCCACAUAACGAGGACUAAGUUUUCCUCGAAUCCCAAAUCGCAAUACUCCUCUAGUAAGUAAAACUAGCAAAAAGACAUGAUCUCUAACCUUAAAUUUUAUCUUCCUUCUUUUAUUGUUUGUAUAACUCUUCUGUCUACUUUGAGUCGUACGAUGAUGUUCUCUAACUAACUGAACCUUCUCAACUGCUUGUUGAAUAAGAUCUAGACCUAAUAACUGUCUUUCACCCACAUCAUCCCAACAAAGAGGUGACCUGUACUUCUUACCAUACAAAGCUUCGAAUGAAGCCAUUUGGAUACUAGGCCGAUAGCUAUUAUUAUAAGCAAAUUUCGUCCAUGACAAGUGUCGAUCCCAAGAACCUCCAAAAUCCAUGACACAAGCUCUCAACAUGUCCUUAAGAAUUUAAUUAAUUGUCUCGGACUGACCAUCUGUUUGGAGAUGAAAAGUAGUACUAAAAUUAAGUCUAGUUCCCAAAGAUUUAUGCAGACUCUCCCAAAAUUUCACCACAAAUCGAGAAUCUCAAUCAUAUACAAUAAACACUAGCACCCCAUGCAGUCUCACAAUCUGCUCCACAUAUAACUCCGCUAACUUUUCCAAUGAUAUUUUCGUACGAAUAGCCAAAAAGUGAGCAGACUUUGUUAAUCUAUCAACAAUCACCUAGAUGCCAUCAUUACCUUUUAGUGUUCUCGACAAACCUGAUAUAAAGUCCAUAGUAAUUCAUUCCCAUUUCCAUUCUGGAAUAGGAAAGGGUUGCAAUAACCCUACUGGCCUCUGAUGUUCAACCUUAACUUGUUGACAUGUCAGACAUUUGGCUAAAAACUAUGCAAUCUCUCUCUUCAUAUUGUUCUACCAAAAAGUGUUCUUCAAAUCUCUAUACAUCUUGGUACCACCAAAAUGGAUUGUACAAUUACUAUAAUGAGCUUCCAACAAAAUUUCUCUCUUCAAUUCUGCAUCAUUGGGAAUACAAAUUCUAUUACCAAACCUCAAAGAGUCAUCAUCAUGAAUCCUAAAGUCUGGUUUCAAACCAGAUUCAACCCCAAGUUUAAUGUGCUAAAGUCGAAGAUCAUCUACUUGGGCUAUCUUAAUCCAGUGAAUUAAAGUUGGUUGUACUUGUAUGUUAGCCAAUAAUGCUCCAAAACCCUGUAUACAUACACCAAUAUUCAUCCUCCGUAAGUCCUCUAAAAUCUGUUUUUGGGAAGUAAUCAUUACGACCAUGUUCCCAGACGUCUUUCUACUUAGAGCAUCAGCAACUCUAUUUGCCUUACCUGGGUGAUAAUUGAUGGUCAAGUCAUAAUCCUUUGAUAAUUCUAGCCAUCUUCUUUGUCGCAUAUUCAACUUCUUCUGCGUGAAAAGAUAUUUCAAACUUUUAUGAUCUGUAAAGACCUCACAAGACUCUCCAUAUAAAUAGUGUCUUCAAAUUUUUAAUGCGAAAACCACUGUUGCCAAAUCUAAAUCAAGAGUAGGAUAAUUCUCUUCAUAAGGUUUCAACUGUCUAGAAGCCUAAGCGAUCACCUUAUCAUCCUGCAUAAGAACACACCCAAGUCUCUUUUUGGAAUCAUCACUAUAAACAACAAAUCCCUUACCACUAGUAGGCAUGGUAUGUAUGGGAGCGAAUACUAAUUUUUUCUUUAACUCCUUAAAGCUCUUUUCACAAUCGUUUGUCCACUCAAAAUGAAUCUCUUUCCAUACCAAUCUGGUUAAAAGUAAGGCAAUACGAGAAAAUCCUCCACAAAUCGCCUAUAGUAUCCUACUAAACCCAGAAAACUACGAAUCUCAUCAACAUUAUGUGGUCUCUUUCAAUUCACCACUGCUUCAACUUUCUUUGAAUCCAUCGAAAUCCCAUCUUUCGACACCACAUGCCCAAGGAAAGCAACACUAGAAAGCCAAAAUUCACAUUUCUUCAAUUUAGCAAAUAACUGUUUCUGCCUCAAAGUCUUCAAAACAACCCUUAGAUGCUCUUUAUGAUCUGCUGAGUUAGAGGAAUACACUAGAAUAUCAUCAAUAAAAACAACCACAAACUUAUCCAAAUAAGGUUUAUAAACCCUAUUCAUCAAGUCCAAAAAAGUAGCCGGAGCAUUUGUCAACUCAAAAGGCAUAUCAAGGAACUCAUAAUGCCCAUAUCGGGUACAAAAAGCAGUUUUGGGAACAUCCUCAAUUCUCACCUUCAAUUGGUGAUAACCAGAUUGAAGAUUAAUUUUGGAAAACACUUGAGCGCCCUUUAGUUGAUCAAAUAAAUCAUCUAUUCGAGGCAAAGGAUACCUAUUCUUCAUGGUUGCCUUAUUUAACUCCCGAUAAUCAAUGCACAACCUCACACUCCCAUCCUUUUUCUUCACAAAUAACAAUGGCGCUCCCCAAGUAGAUACACUAGGUCUAAUAAAGCCCUUAUCAAGAAGUUUUUGCAACUGCUCUUUCAACUCUUUUAAUUCUAUAAGAGCCAUUCUAUAAGGAGCUUUAGAAAUCGAGCCAGUUCUUGGAACCAAAUCAAUAGAGAAAUCAAUUUCCCUAUUAGGAGAUAAACUAGGUAGAUUUUUAAGAAAAACAUUAGGAAAUUCCCCCAUAAUAAGAAUCUCUUUAAUCAUUAACUUCUUCAUUCUAUUGUCUAUACUAGCUGCCAAAAAUCCUUUGCAACCACUAGUAAGCAAUCACCUAGCUUUCAAAGCAAAGAUGACUCAUAAAAAAGUGUAAGGACCACUACCACGAAAACAAACAGGUGUUUCUCCAGGAAUCUCAAAGUCUACCCUUUUCCCUCGAUAGUCAACUUUAACAAAAUUUACAACCAACCAAUCCAUCCCUAGAAUUACAUCAAAAUCUUACAUAUCUAAAACAUGAAGAUAUGCAAGCAAUUCUCUAUCUUCAAUCCAUACCACACACAUCUUACAAAUCUGAUAUGAGAUAAUAUCAUCUCUAACUGGAGUGUCUACGCAUAGUUCAUAAUCCAGAAGCAUACAAGGCAAAGCAAACUUUUGAACAAAUGUAGCAAAUACAAAAGAACGAGAUGCAUCGGUAUCAAACAAUACAUAAGCAAAAGCUGAGGCAACUAGCAAUGAACUUGAGACAACGGUGUUGGAUGCCUCUACAUCAGACUGAGUGAUAGCAUAAGCACGGCCCUAGGUGCAAGGUCUUCCCACUUUUUGAUGUUCAGAAAAAGGUGUUUGCGUAGUCUAAACAACAUGAGUGGGUUGAGUCCUUUGCGUUGUAGUUUCAAAGGUUCAAGAGUUUUGUGGCCUUUACACAGAUUAAGAUUCUUGAAGGACUAAAGGACAAUCAGCAAUACAAUGGCCCUGUUGUCCACCUCUAAAACAAGCACCAGUUACAUGCCUACAUUUAGCAGCUCGAUGUUCUCCACCACACACUGAACACCUAGGCUUUUGUGCGCAAACUAUGAAAAUACAACCCUAAAUAUACCUUAAUCAGCAAUCCCUUGAAUACUUUUUCUUUUUUUCUGUCUUUCUUCUUCCUUGGUGUUAAUCUCUUCUUACUACCUAUCGUUUGAGCCCGCUGAAAUAAACUGACAUGAGUUUUCUGCUUUUUCUUUUAAAAUUGUAAACUAACCUAACUUCCACUAUCUUUUUUUUUUAAACAUGAUUUAGUGAGUUAUUGUUAGGUAAGAUAAACUGACCUUAACCCCACUAACUUAAACGUGAUAAAUAAAACUGACAUUAAUUAAACUUUUUUAUUUACUUAAAGAUCCCUUCUUCUAUUUUUUAAUUAUUAAGGCACCAAAAGUUAUAACUGCAAUUAAAUAAAAUACUAAAAGAACAUCUACUUAUUUGUUUUUAUAAAACUAUAGCUUAAUAAAUCUAAAUGUUUUUAUAGUAUAUACCUUGUGAAGGGUAUUACAUAUACAAAGAAAAUAUGUGAUAUCUUAUAUUUAUAUUUUUAUGUAUGUACGUAUCUAUAGUAUUAGUUGUUUAAACCUUUUGGGUGCAAUUCAUUUUCAUAUAUAAUUAACAGCUUUUAUAAAACUGCAGUGUUUGUGACCAUAUAUGCAUGUAAAUCUCUCUUUAACUGCAAUUGUUUUUUGUCCAAAAUACUUCUAAAAAAAGAUUGUAUAGAGCAGCCAAAUUUGAAAUAAAAUAUUUUUAAUAACACAAGUUAAAAAAAUUAAAUGCCUUAGUUCUUAGUCAAUCUUUCUUUUUAAACUUUUUAUACAUAUAAAAAAAAUCUAAAAUAUGGACUGAUUAGUCCUUUUAGACUUAAUAGAUCGACGGUGAAAUUUUAAGACUACACAAUAAAUUUAUAGGAGUACUCGAAUGAUUUUAUUUAUAUCUUAUUGGAGGCUUAUAUUAAUCUCUCAACUCAGACAAAUUACGAAGUAAGAUUCUUUUUAUGUCAGUUUCGUUACCAAUCAGUUGCAUACUAUAUUUCUUCACUUAUUUCUGUUUUAGUAGAAAAUCAGCUGAGAGCUAUGAUUGGCUUUGUGUUAAAGUGGUUGGCUUUAGUUAGUUGACUUGACUGACUUUUCGAACGAAGACAAGUGAGCAGGAAUAACCGCACCAUUUUCCCCAUGAAGUAAGAGAAUUUCUGUAAAAGUUAUAUGCAAAUGGAUUUUUAAAAACACAAGUUGAUGAAAAAAUUAAUAAAUGCAAAUUUAAUUAUUAUAUUGUGUUUUUUCCACUUGUUCAAAGGAAGAUUUGAUUUCAAUUGCAGCCACAGAAAUAAUUAGCAAAGCAAUAAAGAUAACAUUAUCCUAACUCUUUUUUAAUCUUCCUCGUUAAACUGUUUUAUACAUAAUAUUUAAAAAAAAAUGACUUUUUUAUACUUACAAAAAAUAAAUAUAAGAUAUGGAAAUUGAUUUUUUUUUUGAAGAGGAAAUUGAUCUAUUUUAUUUAAAUUAUAUUUUAUAUAUUUGUGAUGAAAUUUUGAAAUUCCAAAUUUUAUAACACUAUUUAAGCGAUUAAAUAUAUAUUUAUUUAUUGAGGGGUUAUAUUAAUCUCCCUACUGUGCAGAUAUACUUGGAUGAAUUAGAAAGAUUUCUUUUCUGUUAGUUUCGCUACCAAUUGGUUUUAACAGAUUUUCUUCUUUCUUGUUUGUUUGCGUGGAAAAUCACCCAAGGGUCAUUGAGUACUAUUAUAGGCUUUGUGUUAAACGUGUUCUGAGGCUUGGGAUUUAAUUUGUUGAUUGACUUUUCAAAAGAAGACUUGGUUUUAACAAUAAGUCUAGGAGAAGAUCGUAGUGCUUCUUCACAAACUAAUUAAGCCCUUAAUCUCCUUCUCUCCCCUGAAAUUUUGGGAUAAUAAGAUCAAAGCUUCCAUUAUUCGGCCUUCUGGCCCUUGCUAUAACUCUAUUCCCUGAUGCAUGCAUCGCUAGAGGCAAACACAAGCACUGUGGCUCUUCUUUCUGUGGAAACAUUAACAUCACUUACCCUUUUCGAUUAAAAAGUCAGCCUCGAAGUUGUGGUUACAAUCGUUAUGAACUAGUAUGCGAGAAUAACCGCACCAUUUUGCCCAUGAAACAUGGGAAUUUCUAUGUCCAACACAUCUCUUUUAGUGACCAAACCUUUCAACUGUUAGACGUGAGUCUUGACAAGCAUAACUGCUCCAUUCCUCAUAGUUCCUGUCAUUGGGCCAGCGUUUGUCCCAAAAAACUAUAUGAUUGGUCCAUCCCUUCUGCGGUAAAACUAUAUCCUUGGCGCCCCUUUUCAGCGGAAGAAAUAAAUUUCUAUCAAACUAUCCCUGAAUUUAGAGUCAUGUAUCUCGUAAAUUGCAUGAUGCAGAUCAACGACUCUUGGGUUUAUAUCGAUGCUUUUCGUUGUACCAAUACCCUUCCUCUCGACCUCCUUAUUUUUACUUUUUGGAUGGAAAAACAGCACCGUCUGAUUUCCAUGAGUCAUGCACAGUUGAAGCCCGGGUUCCAAUCAUGGUUGCCAACAUCACCUUCCUCUCUACUUUUGAUAUUUACACAAAGCUGUUAGCGGGAUUCCAACUCUCAUGGUCAACUUCCUAUUAUCAUUAUGUUUCGCUGCGGUGGGACUCAAUUGUUAACGUGUGAGGGUUUUUAAGUAUUCCGCAAUAUUUGGUGUUGUUUAGCUUUUGAAAAAUAUUUAUUAUUUUUAGCACAAAUAUGAUAAAUAAAUAAAUAUAAAAAAAAUUUAGUUUUUAAUUCUUUUUUAAAAAUUUAAAUAUUUUUAAAUUACAUUUUUUAGUAUGUAUAUAAAUCUGUAUUUUAUUCAUUCUAAAAUUUAAACUCGAUAUUUUUUUUAAAAUUAGAAUCGCAAUUUUUUAUUAAUGUAGUGUCUACUUCAGACUUUAAUUAUUUACUUUUACUCUAAAUAUGUUUAAUGUAAAAUUUAAACAGAAGGAUUUAAAACAUUUUCAACAGUAAAAGUGCUAAUUUCAUUUGCCUUAUUAAGAAUUAACGUUUUUUAUUUGGUUUUUUGAAUAUUCAUUAUAGAUUGCUAUCCUUGCUCCAACUGUUGUUGCUUCCGCUGGCGAUAUAUAUAAAAAGCAACCUGGAUUUUCUGCGGGGCACCUUAACAGAGGAUAGUUUAGUUCCUAAUAAAGGUGUUCUUUCUUUCUGAGUUCAUUACUAUUUUGAUUAUUAUUUGGUUUGCCUUUACUUUCUUGUAUAGUAUCUAUAUAUUAACACUUAAUUUUCGAAUUGGUGAUAUCUUAGCAGGAAUCCGGAUUCCUUGUGUUACAAUAACAGGUACUAAAUUCUACACUUAUUUAUUUACUCUGAAAUUCUAGAGUUGUUACAAUGUACGACAUCGUAAUGUAGUAGGAAUCUAAGAUUCAGAUUUACAUUUGUAAUUUAUUAUUAUAAUAAUACAUAUAUUAAAAAAUUCAAAUAAUUUUUUUUAUUUCGUUCAAUCAAAUCAUCAUAUUUUAUUUUGAUUCAAAUAAACUUUUAUAAUUAACGGUUGACUAAUUGUUAUUAUUUCAAAUGUCACUUGUCAUUUUAUAUUCACGUGAUGUUGAUAUGAUACUGACAUGGAAGGUAAAAAUAGCACGUAAUUAUGUCAGCAUGUCACAUACUAUGACAUGUAAACAUGAUAUAUUAACGUCACAUGACAUAAAAUGACAAAUGACAUUUUAAUUAAUAACAGUUAGUUAACUAUUGAUUAUAACAAUUUAUUUGUUCCAAAAUAAAUGUUUAAUACUUGAUCAAACACAAUGAAAGAAUAAAAUUUAUUCAAAUUUUUUUAAGUAUUAUAUAUAUAUAUAUAUAUAUAUAUAUAUAUAUAUAUAUAUCAGUGUCAAUUAGUUAAAUUUACACCUUUUCAUAUUUUUUAUAUGAUUAAUAUGUUGUUACUUUCACUGUUGUAUUCCAUAUAUGCUCAAUUUACAUAGAUCAUGCAUGAAAAAUUUUAAAUCAAUUGAAAAUAUCUAAUUAUUUAUAUGAUAACAAUAAAAUUUUAACUGCUAAAUAUAUAUUAAAAAAUAAUAUUCUCUACCACUGUGAUACGGAUAUAUAUUACACUCCUUGAAACUUUAUAUGUACGAUUGGAUACAAAUAAAGUUAGCUUGCUAAAACAUAAAUGUAUAUUAAAUUAUAAAAUGGUGUAAAACUUAAUCAAUGUGUAACUUGAGCCCUCAUAUAUAUAUAUAAAAUUUUUAUGAGUAUUGCAUACAUGUGUAUGUAUGUAUAAAAGAGAUUCAAUAAAGGAUAAAAUAAUUAAAUAAAAGAAGAUCCACUGUAAAUAAUUCAUAAAUAAUAUUGAACUACAUUAAUGUUUUUUAGUCAAAAUAAAAAUUAUGUCCAAAUUUAUCAUUUUACUUUGGAUGAUGGACCAAAUUAUGAUCAUAUUUGAAUGAGUAUAAUUUUGUCACUAUACUUUUAAAUUGGUUAAAAAUAAUUAAAAGUUAUGAAAUAAACUAAAAAGUACAAUAAUAAAAAUUACACCUAUUCAAAAAUGAAUACUAAAUUUGAUCCAUCAUGUUAAGUAGAUUGGUCCUUUCAAAAAAAAUGUUAAGUAGAUUGGGGGUAAAUUUGAACCUUAUCUCAAACUACUCUGUGAAGUUUGUUUGUGAAAAUAUGGCAGCACAUACCCAAAUUAAAUUAGUAAAUAACAUAUACAUAUUCUAUAAUCAUGUUUUUCAAUUUUUUUUGUUUUUUCUCACCCAAGAAAAAGGUGUAUUAAAUCAAUAAAAGUACAAGAUUGGUGUAUUAAAUCAUGGUGUCCAACUAAUUAAUUUAUAUAUUGUUAUAUAUUUUUUGUUGUGAAACAGGAAUGAUAUUACUAAGAACAUUUUUGGGGAUAACUUGCUUGAUUAUAUUGGUUGUACGCAAAUUGAAAAGGAGGCAUUUGUCGAUGGAUGACAUGAUUGAGAAUUUUCUUCAAAGUCAAAACAAUCUAAUGCCUAUAAGAUAUUCUUAUUUUGAAAUAAAAAGAAUGAUGGAUGGUUUCAAGAAUAAAUUAAGACAAGGAGGAUAUGGCUCUGUGUUUAAAGGAAAACUUCGAAGUGGUCAACUUGUUGCGACAAAAUUGUUAAACAAAUCAAAAGCUAAUGGCCAAGAUUUCAUCAAUGAAGUUGCAACUAUUGAAAGAAUUCACCAUGUUGAUGUGGUAAGACUUGUUGGAUUUUGCGUGAAGGGAUCAAAACAAGCUCUUGUAUAUGACUUCAUGCAGAAUGGGUCCUUAGAUAAAAUUAUAUUUUCAACUGAAAGUAACACUUUGAGCUGGCAAAAAAUGUUUGAGAUUGCAUUGUGAGUGGCUCAAGGUAUUGAAUAUUUACAUAGAGGUUGUGAAAUGCAAAUUUUACAUUUCGAUAUCAUGCCACAUAACAUUCUUCUAGAUGAGAAUUUUAUCUCAAAAUUUUCAAAUUUUGGCCUUGCAAAGUUGUAUUCAGUGGAUGACAAUAUUGUCUCUUUUACAGCUACAAGAGGUACAUUAGGUAUAUGGCUCCUGAAUUGUUUUAUAAAAUAUUAGAAGCAUCUCAUAUGAAGCCGAUGUUUAUAGUUUUGGAAUGAUGUUAAUGGAAAUUGUCGGAAGGAAAAAAAAUGUGAAUGUCUCUGCUUAACAUUCAAGUCAAAUUUAUUUUCUAUCAUGGAUUGAUGAUCGACUUGAAGAAGGAGAUAUCAUAGAGCUUGGAGAUGUUACAGAGAAUGAAAACAAAAUUAUGAGGAAAAUGGUAAUAGUAGCCUUUUGGUGCAGAGAGAUGAAGCCCGCAGAUCGUCCUUCAAUGAGCAAAGUCUUGGAGAUGCUUGAAAGUGAAGUUGAGCUCCUUGAAAUGCCUCCCAAGCCUGCUUUCUCUUGAAAUGUCAACCAAAUCAUUUAGUGUUGAAUCAUAAGUAAUAUUUAAUAUUGUAUGUUAAGCAAUGUUUCACUACUUUAUUAUACUACUUUUAUAAUUUUUAUAGUAGAAACCUUAAGCUUGAGGCAUAAUCUUCUCUCUUCCUAAAAAAACAAAAAAAAAAAAACAAUAUAGAAUGGUGACGAAGAAUGUAUAUCAAGGAAAAAAGGAUAUUGAGUUGGAGUUUCGAGUGUGUGAAGGUGUUAUUUUAAGAGAGUUGUAAUGGUAUCUUGUAAGUAUUUUGCCUAUAUAAAAAGUCUUUUUGCUCAUAUAAAGGAUAAAGUCUUUAAAUACCAUUAUCUAUACAAUCAUUAUAUUAAUGCAAAUAAUUAACUUACUUUUUAACAAAAUUAAAAUAUUUCUGAACCAUGUUUCAAAUUAUAAUUUUUUUAUUUAAAAAUAUAAAUUAUUUAAGUUUUCUCUCUUAAUUAAAAAAGUCAAAUUUCAUCCAAUUCAAAAUUUUAUUUUAAUUGAUUCGAAAUCAAAUUCAAUUUAAUUCAAAUUAAAUAAAAAAAUUAAAAAUUUAAAUUUGAAAAUACAUGAAUUUAAAAUGAUAUUAAUUUUAGACGAUCCAAGUUCAACAUGACUCAAAUCUAAAACGAACAGAGCUCAUAAUGAUCCAAAACCCAAGAUUUAUUCGAUCCAAAACUUAUAAAAACUUAUAUUUAUAACUCCAAAAAAUCCAAAUUAUAAUUAAAUAUUUUUAUUUAAUAACUAAAUGAGUAAAUGAUUAUUUUUUAAGGGAAAAUUUUAAGACACACAAGCUCCUUCUCUCGUCAAUGCUUCUUUACUCAGAAACAGCUCGUAGGAAUGGCAUGGUCAACUACUCUGCUUCACCUUCAAUUCAAAUUCCCUCCGGUUUCUUCUCACCAAUUGCGAUGUUCCCUCCCCAAAAAAUCCCCAAUCUUCCUAAACCCUAACCCUGUAAUUCCCAAUUCUAAACCCCCCAAAAUGCAAUUCCUUCACAGACCCAACGCGUUUCCAGGCCACGGCGCAGUAUCAAGGGCCAUGGACAUCAUCCAAUCGUCGCCGCCCACGUGGCAAUCGGCCUUCCUCAGCAACCUCGUGAUCUUCGUCAUCGGAAGCCCACUUUUAGUAGCGGGGCUAUCUCUCUCCAGAAUUUGUGCUGCCUUCUUGCUUGGCACUCUCACUUGGCGCGCUUUUGGGUCUUCUGGGUUCCUCCUCGUUGCUUCUUACGUAAUAGUGAGUCCUCACAAAGUCUAUGGAUUUUAUUUGAAUUGUGGGAUUUAAGUUAAAUUUAGAAAUGGGGUUCUGAUUUUUGUUCCCAUUUGGUAUAAAGUUUACGCUUUGGAGGACAAGUUUCAUUGUUUGGUAAUAUGGCAAAGGAAAAGAAACUUAGUUUAUGUCAAAAAGAUUUCAUGUGAAGUAGUUUGUUAUUUAAGUGUGAUUUGUUUUUGUUUAAAGAAUUGGAUUACACUAGUGAAAUCACGUCAAAAUCAUAACCAAAAUAUUUUUUCCAAAAUUUCUUUAUUUUCAUUUGUUUUGCUCUUGGUGGGGGGCAGGUGGAGGAGCCAGGGAGAAUUUAUGGGUUCUCGCAGUUUUAGACUAGUUUGAAACGAUAUAGUAUUGUUUUUCCUGCUUUCCUUUCUAAUAAUGGCUUGUUUUACUUGCAAAAUGAAUCUUGAAUUAGUUCCUCCUUCCCUCUUCUGAUUUUCCCUACCCAUAUUUCUAGUUGAAGAUAAUAGUUUCAAAUCAUGCUUGAAAACUAUAUUACAAAAUACUUGUAAUAUCAAACAAUUUUGUGUGGCAUUCGAGUUUCUAAUUUGAAUGGAGAAAUAAUUGGGAUGGAAGUGGUAUUAAAUAAUUUAGAGGAAAGAAACCCGAAUGCCUUUUGCACCAAUACAAAGAAAAGAAAAGAAAACCUAGUACAAAACUUCGGAAGAUGCUUGAUUGUAAGCUGCUGGGCUUUUGAGGACCUGAGACUCCAUAAUACUUUAUAAUUCUCUAAAUCUUCAUGCAAUCUUACAGCUCUUUGUCAUGCCUCUAAAACAAAUGCGGUAAAACCAUGCUCAAUUGCUCAAAUUGUUAUGCUCAAUUGAGAACUCCUGACCUGUUAUGUGUGUGUGGAGAUGAUAACACCAAUGAAUGGCCUUGUUAUACGGAUGACCGCUCAUGAUAAUUGCUACUUCAAAAAUUAUUGGCUUAGAUUAUGCUGCUGUGUUUUGAAACUUGUUGGCAUGCCUCACGAAUGCUGCAAAAUGUGCAGAAGGUUUCUGAGAUCUUGCUGCCAUCUAAGAAGAAAGAAUGGUGAAAUUGUACAGGUACUAUGAAUAUGAUGUAAUGUUUAGCUUUUUUAUAGGGACUUCCUUUUUGUAUAGUGAACUUGGUUGCAUUGGAAUGAGUCUGUUCUCUGGGAAGAAUCACUGUUCUGAAAAUUGUUAGGUCUGAUCACAAUUGCAACCAGGAGCGGCAUGCCUUGCUUUUCUUCUCAUAGGGCAUCAGGGUAUCCCAUCAGGGUUCUUUUUGUGAACCCCUCUUAUGAAAUAACAUCUUCUAUGCCUUUCCAAAAAAAAAAAAAGUAACAAUCACAUGGCAUAAUUUUUUCUUACAAUAUGAGAGUACUGCAUCAGAGUUUCUUAAUGCAUUAAGAAAAGUUAGAGAUGAGGUCUAAGAAAAUAUCAAUUUCAAGAAGAAACAAAUAACACUAGAAUCAUAUUUUACAAAAAUAUCAUAAUUGAGUCAUGUAUAUAUAUAAUUUUGAUGUAUAAGAAAAUUAUUAAUUUAUAUAUCAAGUGAGAUCUAUGUGUUUUUUUUCAAAAUGUAUUAUCUUAUUAAUUUAACAAAUUAUUAAUUUAUCAUGUUGAUCUCAAAUCAGGACCAACCAAAAUUAUUAAUUUAUCAAGCAUUAUUUAUAGACGUUUUGUUGUACUUCUCUGUAAUUCACUCUAAAUAAAAGGGUAUGUUGAAACAAGCGGAAUUUAGAUCCCUUAUGGUUCUUGCUACAUUUAAGUACUAUUAAUGUCAUUUAUGCUGGUUAUAAAGAUCUGACAUUUUAUUUAGAAACAAAAUUUGUAGAGUGUCAAGCUUUAAUAGCUUUUUUUUUGUUGCUUUUUAAUGUUUAUAUUCGUUGCUAUAUACUAUUUUUUUUCCCUAUCAAACCAUUCUUUCAUGCUUACAAAUUUAAAUUUGUGGUGUGCAAAAAUUGUUGAUAUAUUUCAAAAUCAAAUGUUAUGUCACAUAAUAAAAAGCUAUUUUAGCUCAAAAGUUGUCACAUAAAAUGACAUAGUGUGACUAUUGAAUUGUAGGUAGGUUUUCAUAUGAAUGGUUAUGUCUCUAGGUAAAAUGACAUUCAAAAAUUAUGAGACAAAUUGAAAAAAUACUAUAGCUCAAAAGUUUAAGAGCUUGUUUGGCCUAGUUUUUUUUUAACUUAAAAGCUAUUAUUAAGCUCUUAUGAAAAAUAAUAGCUUUUAAAAAUUAAGCUAAAAUUAUUUGAUAAAUUGUUUAACAAAAUAAAUUAUAUAAGCUCUAAUUUCGGUUAAAAUUACCAUAAAGGGUAUUCAUGCUAUCUUCAAUCACCUAAUAAGCUAUAAUGUAAUGCUUCAAGUUUGUAUAUAAUUUCAGAUAUUAAAAUCGAAGAAAUCAAUAAAAAAAUGAAUAAUUUUCAAACUUAUAUAGUAGCAAUAGUAUUAGACUUUUGUUGAUCUAACAAGCAAUCGGACCAUGAUGCUUCAAUUCCCAAAAAAGAAGAAAAGGGAGGAAACGGUGUAUUUAAUAUUAAAAUCUUUUUUAGUGAAAAAAAAAAUAGAAAACCUUUAAAUAGUUUUUGAAUGCAGUUUUGAAUUUUAGAUUUUUUUUCUCUCAAUUUUUGUAAGAACAAAAAAAUUUUAAAUUUUGUUAUUCAAUGGUUGGUCUUCUGUUUUUAAUUUUUUAGUAGUCUUUAGAGAGGUAGAGGAGAGGGAGAUAGUAAUUUUACGUUGGAGAAUGGUAAUUUGCAGAGGGAAGAAGAGGAGAGGGAGAUUAAUUUAGAGAUGGGUAUUUCCUGAAAUUAAUGUAUUUUUAAAAGAAGAAAAAAAAAAGCUCUUCCUUGGAGCUUUUUUUUAAAGCUCUUUUUUUUUUUUUUAAAUUUUGUUCUUAAAAAAAAACUGUUUUUUUUUUUAAGAGCUUCUCAAAAAAGCUUUUGGUUUUAAAAGGUAGAUAAGGUGAAAAAAAACAGGCCAAACAUGUACUAAAUAUGAAAAGUUAUUGUUUUAAAUUAUAACUCAAAGAUUAUGUUUUAUGGAAUGAAUAGUUCUCCUUUCAUAAGAUGAUUAUUAAGUGCUUGUUUGGCCUAGUUUUUUUUCAGCUUAUCUAUCUCUUAAAAAUAAAAGUCAGGCCAAACAUAAAAUUUUAAAAAGCUCUUAAAAAAAAGUAGCUUUUAUUAAAGAACAAAUUUUUGAAAAAAGAGCUUCAAGGAAAAGCUCAUAUUAAGAGUUUUUUCUUCUCUUUUUUUAAAAAUGCAAGAGAAUUUUUAUUUUUGUUCCAAAAAUAUCAUCAUCUGUUAAAAUAAUUACAAUAUUACCCUCUCAAAAAAAGAAAUACCCUUUAUGAUAAUUUUAACAAAAAUUUAUAACUUAUAAAAAGAAAUUUACUAAAUAAUUUUAGCUUAAUUUUAAAAGCUAUUAUUAUUCAUAAGAGCUUCAUAAGAGCUUUUAAGCUAAAAAAAAGCCAGGCCAAACAAACUCNUCAGGCCAAACAUAAAAUUUUAAAAAGCUCUUAAAAAAAAGUAGCUUUUUUUAAAGAAUAAAAUUUUGAAAAAAAGAGCUUCAGGAAAAGCUCCUAUGAAGAGCUUUUUCUUUUCUUCUUUUAAAAAUGCAAGAGAAUUUUUAUUUUUGUUCCAAAAAUAUCAUCAUCUGUUAAAAUAAUUACAAUAUUACCCUCUCAAAAAAAGAAAUACUCUUUAUUAUAAUUUUAACCAAAAUUAUAACUUAUUAAAAAAAAUUUACCAAACAAUUUUAGCUUAAUUUUAAAAGCUAUUAUUUUUCAUAAGAGCUUUAUAAUAGCUUUUAAGCUAGAAAAAAGCCAGGCCAAACAGACUCUUAAACAAUACCUUUAUCUUAGAGUUGUAUCUAGCAAAAUGUAAAGAUGUCUUUUAGACAAAAUAGUGCCUUAAUGAAAGGGUUGUGUUCUUGAAGAAGAGACACUUGCAAGCCUAUAUAAAGGGCCUGUUGCCAACCAUUUUGACAUAUCAAAUAAAAAACAAAACAAAAGCAGAAAAAUCAAGAGUAAGAAAAGUGUUAUGUUCUAUUAACAUAAACACUUAAGUUCCCAUCAACUACAAAAGCGUCCAAAUUUUUUAUAAUCUACUUGUUGUAGAGAGUAGGCUCUAAGUCCUAACAACUUUACAAACCCUCGAGUGUAUCUAGUGGUCUACUCUUGUAAAGUGCAAGACGAAGUUAGACAUUAGCUUCAUUGUAUCUCUAAGGCUAUUUGCAUUAUUCCCUUUUGCAUACCGAGUGGUGGGGACUAAAUAAGUCUUAAAGAUAACAUCUAUUGAAAGACUCGCCUUAAAGUCAAGUUUUUCGAUUCUUAAAUUCCAUCUAAACCCCAUUUGCACCAACAAAAAUGAGCAGGUACCUACUUUACUUUAUUAUUCUACUUUUAUUAUAUAAUUUUUAUAGUCUCCUUUUUCAUCUUAUAUAUGGAAUCAAAUCCAUAUAGAAACCUUAAGCUUGAGGCAUAAGCUUCUCUCUUAUGAAAAUAAAAUAAAAGUCAAGAGCAGUAUAUAUACCAUUGUGAAUGAAUAAAGUAUAAAAACAUGGUGCCUUUUGAGAUACAAAACAUUGUGAAUGCGACAAGAAGUAUUAGUUGUAAUGUGUUAAUGGUCAUUUUUUAAUCAAAUUAAAAAUGUUACUAUUAGCAAUAUCAAGAAUUGCCAGGGAGAAAUUCAUUGAUAAAAUGACAAAUACCUAAAUUCUCUUCAUUGGCAACUUUACUAAAAAUCACUUUAAAAAAAAAAUUAGUAAAAGAUUUUCCAUAUUAUCUCUAUAUAUAAUACAAUAUCAAAAUUUAGUAUUAUAAAAUAUUUUAUUUUAUGCUUUUUUAGUACUAACAUAUUUUAAACAAUGUCAUUGUUUAUUUUAUUAUUACAUGGACACUACUUAUGUCAAACCCUGUUCUAUAUAAUAAUUACGACAUCAUUUACAUGCUCAAUAGAAUAGUUGCAUAUUUAGGAAGUUUGAGAAAUCGUUAAAAGACGAUAUUGCCCCUAAUGGUAUCAUUAAGUCGAUUAAGCCUCGAACUAGUUCAAAUAGGAAUUUUAAGGUGAAAUUCAAAAUUUUACAGUCAAAGAAUGACUUAAAAUGGUGAUUUGGAGUUCGAGGAUCAAUUUGGAGUCAAAUCGGAAUUUUUGCUAUCUAGGGGCAAAAUGGUCAUUUGCCACCUAGAGACAAAAUGAAAAUUUUUAGAAAAGAUUUUUUUGGCCCCAUUUGACUCAUUGGAGUAUGAUUUGAGUAUUGGAGUAUGAUUUGAGGUUUAGAAGUGAAAAAUUUUAAUUUCGGUAUAGUUUAGAGUAUAAGGGUAAAAUGGUAAUUUUACCACCCUAGGGGCAAAACAGUAAUUUUUCACCACCAGGACACUUGUCCAGCACAUGGUCUUCCCUUAUCCUCAUUUUGACCUUUGACUAAUCAUGUGGUGGAGAUAAAAGGUUUAAAAUUUUUAAAGUUUUAAAAAUGGACCAAUGGAAACAUGCCACGUGUCAAGCAAGGAUAUUUUAUUAUUUUCUAUAAAAAUCAGCCCAUAUUUAUCCCAUUCUUCUUCUCCAUAUUCGGCCAAGACAAAAGGAAAGAAAGGAAAAACAAGAACAAAACCUAGGUGGAGGAUUUCAAGAGAAAAAGUGUGGAAAAUCAAGGAAAACAAGUGAAAAAGGUAAGAUUUUUCAAUUUAAACUUGAAAUCUAUUUUCCUUACGCAUUUCUCUUUAUUUUUCAUGCUUAAAUUACAUGUUUUCAUGAUGAAUUCAUGACUGAUCAAAACGGGUAUGGAGAGAGAAAGAUGUUGGAUUGAAUUGAUUUUAAGAUAUGUUAGUGUUUUUAGUUAGUUUAGCAUAUUUAGAAGCAAAACAAUAAGAAAAGAAUCCAUUUUUCCCAUGAAUCAUCAUUGGCCGAAUCUUCCUUCAUGUGUGUGGGUGGUGGAUUGUUAUUAUUUCAAGAGAAAUGGCUUAGAAAAUGAUGAAUAAUGGUGAAAAAAAUUAAGUAGGAAAAAUCACUGUGUUAGUGCACUGUAAUGGCCGAAUUUUUCCAUGAAGAAAUGGGAGGGUUUUGAUGCUGAAAUUGGUGUUAUUUGAAUAAUGUUUGGUGAAUUGAGGUAUUAGAAAUGAAAUGGAGCAAUUUGGAGCCAAAUCGGACACAAUUGUCAUUUAAUCGGGUAAUAGGCCGAAUUAGGUCAACACCGCAUUUAAGCGGUAGUCGGAUAAGUUGCAUAUCAUAUCAUGCAUAUACACUGAGCCUGAAUUGAUUUUAUAAUGGUCAAGCAUUAAUGUGGUGAAUUAUGUAUUGUACAUUGUGGAUAGGUAGUGAGCAUAUUACACUAGUAAAAGUACAAAGAUUGUGCUUGAAGACUGGGAUUAGGAGUACAUCGACUCCUAGAACUGUGAGUAAACUUAUUAUUGUCUUAAUUAUCUAGAGUAGUUUUAUACAAUUAUGUGAUUUUAUAGAAAAUGAGUUUAAAUGGUAAAUUGCUAUGUUUUAGGAGAAAUUGUGAUUUUAUAAAAUGAUUUUAUAAAUUUUUUGAAAAAUUGAAUACUAGUUUUGAAAAUAGAGUAAUUGGAAACUGCCUGCUUGUGUUAUAAAUUGUGUUUUAAAUUAUAUGGCUUAUAGCAAUAUGUGAGCAUGAAUGGCAAAGUCAGUAUUUGUAUUAAAAUUAUAUAUACUAUGUAUUCAGCCUUGAAAUGCUAGAUUUUGAUAAAUUACCAUGUCAUGCAGAUAAGGAUUUUAUAAAUUAUAUGGUAGAUAAAAUAAUCCAUAAUCCCUACAGUGGAGGUUUUGUGGACCAGCCUAAGAGAGGGGGCACAGAAUCAGAUAUACCUUACCUCGAUCGGAGAGCCGUGUGAAGGGUGUCUCUGGAGGUAAAGAUUUGAGUGCACUUUACGUGGACCAUCACGUGAGAGUGAGACUCAGCCAACGCCAAGGCAUGGCUAGAAUUUCAAAUGUAAAGACAUUUAACAGCCUUGGUGGUCUCGGUCAGAUGCUUAAGCCAAGGCAUCCCCGGGAAUGAUUUUGGCAGAGCCAAGUUUUGUGAGAUAGAUAAGCCAUGUUGAAUUAUUGAGUAAACUGAAUAUUCAUGUUAUGAAACAUAUAUUGAAAAAAUAUGUAAAAACCCUUAAAUUUUUAUUCUUUUAUUAUAACUAAACAAGUCGCAAACUCUUAAUUUUAAUAAAAAAUUUAACAAUCAUCAAAUUUAUUAUCAAUUGAUAUUUUUUUUGUCUAAUUAAUAUAUGAUAUGAUAAUUAAUAUAAUUGCGUGAUGGUAGACAUAACCCCAUAAAAAUUAAUGUGAAAUGAGUCAUGCUAUCAUGUCAUCAAGUUAUGCCGACAAGAAAAUGUCAACUAAAUUUUAAAAAAUGAUUGGAAUUUUUAAUCUUCCUCAGAAUUUUUUAUACAUAUGAAAAGAAAAUGUAAAGUAUGGAACUGAUUAAGAAUCCCAAUCCUCUGUCACAUUCGUUGACUUUUCAAAUGUAGACUUGGCUUUAAUAUUAAAGACAAGAGAACACUUUUUCACAAACUAAUCAUGCCCUUAAUCUCCUUCUCUCUCACGGAAACUUUAGGCUGCUGAGAGCAAAACUUCCAUUACUUUGCCUCUUGGCUUUGGCUUUUUUUCUUCUCCUUCAUGCAUGCAUCGCUUGAGUCAAAAACAAGCACUGUGGCUUCUGUUUCUGUGGCUCUUGUUUCUGCGGAAACAUUAACAUCAAUUACCCUUUCCGUUAAACUUAGAUUUGAUUUCAAUUGCAGCCACAGAAAUAAUUAGCAAAGCAAUGAAGAUAACAUUGUCCUAAGAGUUAAUGUUUCUCGUUAAACUUUUUUAUAUAUACUCCUCCACAGAAAAAUACUGUUGUUAACGUGUGAGGAUUUUUAAGUAUUCCGCAAUAUUUGGUGUUGUUUAGUUUUUGAAAAAUAUUUAUUGUUUUUAGCAUAAAUAAAUUUGACAAAUAAACAAAUAUGAGAAAAAUAAAUUUUUAAUUUUGAAUUCUAAUUUUAAAAAGUGGACAAUAUUUUUAAAUUACUUUUUUAAUUUUGUGUAUAAAUUUGUAUCAUAAAAUUUAAACUCGACAUUUUAAUGUAAAAUUUAAAGAGAAGGAUUUAAAACAUUUUUUCGUUUGGGCCCGGGGAAUCCCUUGCUUUUGGCUAUGGUCUUUAUUUACCUUUUUUGCACCUUUUUUUUUCGAAACUAUUAAUUCACAAACACUAUUGGAACGACGCGGCACGACAGCAAUACCACGACAAUCUACGAUUCAGAUUGACAUUACUAAUUUAUUAUUAUAAUAAUAAAUAUAUUAAAAAUUUUCUAAACUAUUUAAAAUAAUUUAAUUAAGUCUUCCUCUUUUUAUUUUGUUCAAUUAAACUCUUAUAUUUUUAUGUUGAAAUAAAUAAACAUUUAUAAUUAAUGGUUAACUAACUUUUAUUAAUUCAAAUUCAACUUGUCAUUUUAUACCCAAGUGACGUUGACAUGAUGUAAACAUGAAAGGUAAAAAUGUCAUGUCAGCAUAACAUGUUAAUAUCAUGUGACAUAAAAUAAUAAGUAGAAUUUUGAUUAAUAACGGUUAGUUAAUUAUUAAUUAUAAUGGAUUAUUUGGUUUAAAAUAGAAAUACAAGAAUUUGAUUGUACGCAAUAAAAGCUUAAAAGUUUAUUUGAAUUUUUCUAAAUAAUUCAGAGACAUUUUUAAAUAUUAUGCAUAUAUAUAUAUAUGUGAAAUUAAUUAAAUUUACAACUUUCAUAUUUUUUAUACAAUUUAUAUUUUGUUGAUAUAAUCGUUGUAUUCCAUAUAUACUUUAUUUACAUAGAUCAUGCAUGAAAAAUUUUAACUUAAUUAAAACUUUCUAAUUAUUUGUAUGAUAACAAUGAAAUUUUAAUCGUUAAAUAUAUAUUAAAAAACAAUAUUCCCCACCAAUGCUCUCCGGGUAUCAUUCUGACUAGAAACUUUAUAUGUAUGAUUAGGUGCAAACAAUGUUAGCUUGCUAAAAGUUAAUUGUAUAUGAAAUUAUAAAAGGUGUAAAACUUAAUCAAUGUGUGUAUAUAUAUAUAUAUAAUUUUUAUAAGUAUUGCAUAUAUGUAUACAUAUGUAUAAAAGAGAUUCAAUAAAAGAUAAAAUAAUUAAAUAAGAGAAGAUCCACUACAAAUGAUUCAUAAAUAAUAUUGAACGACAUUUAUUAGAUUUUUUAGUAACAUAUUUUAUGUUGUUACGAUGUUUUUUGGUCAAAAUAAAAAAUUUGUCCAAAUUUAUCAUUUACUUUGGGUGAUGGAUCAAAUUAUGAUCGUAUUUGAAUGAAUAUAAUUUUGUCACUAUACUUUAAAAUUGGUUAAAAAUUGAUCAAAAGUUCUGAAAUAAACUAAAAGGUACGAUAAUAAAAAUAACACCUGUCAAACCCUGUUCUAUAAAAUAAUUACGACGUCAUUUACAUGCUCAAUAGAAUAUUUGCAUAUUUAGGAAGUUCAAGAAAUCGUUAAAAGACGAUAUUACCCCUAAUGGUACUAUUAAGUUGAUUAAGCCUCGAACUAGUUCAAAUAGGAAUUUUAAGAUGAAAUUAAGAGUUUCAUAGUUCAGGGAUGACUCAAAAUGGUAAUUCGGAGUCCGAUGAUCAAUUUGGAAUGAAACCGGAAUUUUCACUAUCCAAAGGUAAAAUGGUCAUUUGCCACUUGAGGACAAAAUGAGAAUUUUAAAAAAGAUUUUUUGGCCCCAUUUGAUUUAUUGGAGUAUGAUUUGAGUAUUGGAGUAUNNNNNNNNNNNNNNNNNNNNNNNNNNNNNNNNNNNNNNNNNNNNNNNNNNNNNNNNNNNNNNNNNNNNNNNNNNNNNNNNNNNNNNNNNNNNNNNNNNNNNNNNNNNNNNNNNNNNNNNNNNNNNNNNNNNNNNNNNNNNNNNNNNNNNNNNNNNNNNNNNNNNNNNNNNNNNNNNNNNNNNNNNNNNNNNNNNNNNNNNNNNNNNNNNNNNNNNNNNNNNNNNNNNNNNNNNNNNNNNNNNNNNNNNNNNNNNNNNNNNNNNNNNNNNNNNNNNNNNNNNNNNNNNNNNNNNNNNNNNNNNNNNNNNNNNNNNNNNNNNNNNNNNNNNNNNNNNNNNNNNNNNNNNNNNNNNNNNNNNNNNNNNNNNNNNNNNNNNNNNNNNNNNNNNNNNNNNNNNNNNNNNNNNNNNNNNNNNNNNNNNNNNNNNNNNNNNNNNNNNNNNNNNNNNNNNNNNNNNNNNNNNNNNNNNNNNNNNNNNNNNNNNNNNNNNNNNNNNNNNNNNNNNNNNNNNNNNNNNNNNNNNNNNNNNNNNNNNNNNNNNNNNNNNNNNNNNNNNNNNNNNNNNNNNNNNNNNNNNNNNNNNNNNNNNNNNNNNNNNNNNNNNNNAACCUUCAAUGGCCGAACCCUAUGUGAAGUGUAGAAGUAAUGAAUUGAUUUUGUGAUCAAGUGAAUUGGUUGAAAAAUUGAUGAAAUGAUGAUUUAUGGUGAGAAAAUGGAAUGGGAAAAUUUUUAGUGAUAGUGCACCACAAUGGCCGAAAUUUUCAAGAAGAAUUGUGAGGGUUGUCAGGCUGAAUUUUAGAUUAUUGGAAUUGUAUUUAGUGAAUUGAAAUAUUAGAAAUGAAAUAGAGCAAUUUGGAGCAAAAUCGGACACAAUUGUCAUUUAAUCGGGUAAUAGGCCGAAUUAGGUCAACACCGCAUUUAAGCGAUAGUCGGAUAAGUUGAAUAUCAUAUCAUUCAUAUUGUCACGAACCGGAACUCCCAUCGAGCCCGUGACAACAGCCGCGACGUCUCGAUCGACAUUCAUUACCCGGAAUGUCAACCGGAACCCGGCAAGGUUUUAAUAUCAGCUUCUCAUUUUCCCUGUGGGUAACUGUUUUCAAAUACCACAUUCUAAAAGAUUUUAAAUUGUUUCCAACUUAAGCAAAUAAAAUAAUAAUUUUCAUCUCACAAGGGAAUUUUGGUCAUUUAUCCCAAAAAUCUCAAAAUCAUCUAAAAAUAUAGUAUGUAAGUGGAAAACACAUAUUUCAUAAUCAAAAAUAAUUUUGGAUGUCUAAAACAUUCGUUUAAAAUGGAAUUAUGACUGUUAUAAUAAAAUAAAAAUAUUAAAUAAAAUAUUCAAUUUCCACAUAAAACGAUAUUUUAAGAACAUUGCAUAAAUAAUUUUUAUAGUGUAAAAGCAAAAUAAAUUCUUACAUACCGUAAUACAGAUAACCAAAGUAUACAAUUUAAUUUACAGUGACAAGUGGGCCCACGAAUGACCAAAAGUAUCAAAAGAAAUGAACCUACAGUUUUUGGAUGUGGCAAGUUCAACUAUAAUCAUCGCCGAUAUCAGUUAUCUACAAUCUAUUCUGAGCCUGAAAUAGGUGGAAAGGAGGAUGGUGAGAUUAUAAAAUCCCAGUGAGUAAACAAACAUCACCUAAAAUAUCUAAAGUCGAGUAAAAGGAGACUAUUAAAACAUUUCAUCAAACUGUAAUUUAUCAUCUUUCAACCUAUUUCAACCAAAUGAAAUCAAUUUAUUUAAAGCAAGUAAUCAGUAUGGCUUAUGAAUUUCUUAAAAAGCUUGGCUCAUGCCAAAAAUUAUUAUCAUACUCAGUUAUCUGGGAUACCUUGGCCGAGAGCUAUCCCAACUGAGUCCGCCAAGGCUAUUAGAAAGUCGUGUUUUUAUUUUGAAAACAUAGUCGUUCCUUGGCGUUGGCCGAGUUCCCCUUCACGUGGUGGUUUAGCGUGAAGUGAAUUCUAAAAGUUAUAUCUCGGGAGUUACCCUACUCGCCUCUCCAACCGAGGUAAAAAUAUAACAGGAUUCUGUGCUCCUCUAAUAGGCUAGUCCACAGAACCCAACCUACUGCAGCAGGUCAAACCCACCAUACAAUAAAAUUUUGACAGCAUGACAGGGCUAAUAUAUUACUACCCAACCUGCAAGGGUAAAAUAAAGCAAUUCAUACAAUUCAUAAAAAUACAGCCCAGCCAGUCAUGCCAAUACAAUAACAUAAGCCAUUGAUUCAAUUUUAAAUUUACAACAUAUCAGUAGUCUCCAAUUACUCUAUUUUCAAAAUCAUUAUUUCGUUUCAAGACAAUUUAUAAAAUAUUUUCAUUUAAACUCAUUUUGUUUACAAAAUAUAAAAAUUUACCAUUUGAACUCAUUUUCAUAAAAUUCACCAAAACCGAAUAAAAACAUACUUUAGAUAAUUAAAAUGAUGGUAAGGUUACUCACCGUGUCUAAAGUGGAGAUUUUCGAAAUACUCAGACUACUGGUCUUCGGGUGCAAUUCCCUUGCCUUUAUCGGAAGACUCACCACCUUGACACAGUGCAAAAUCGAGAAAUUCACCACAUUGGUACUAAAUUGAAAUUAAACUAAUUUAGACUACUAAUGCUUGAUAUGGAAUGCAAAAAUGUCUAAAUUUUUGCCUAAAUGCGGUGUUAGCCUAUUUCGGUUUUUUACUCGAUAAAUCGAUAUACGCGUCCGUUUAAACUCCAAAUUAAUUUUUUUCAGUUUCUAUACCCCAAUUGCACCCAAAUUGACUUAAUGUCCCUCAGUGUGGUGCAAAUUAUCAGUCUCGAUAGCAAAUUACAAAAAUACCCCUAGUGGGUAAAAAUUUGUAUUUUUGCUCCUAAAAUUCUCAUUAUUUUUCUAGGCUCAUAAUUCAUUAUUAUUUAUCAUAAUUCCUCAAAUAAACAUCAAGAUCAGCAGCCAAUAUUCCCCUAGAAAAUUCGGCAUAAUGGGUUUCAAUGGGAGAAAAUUAUAUCUCUAGCUUAUUUUUGCUAUAUUUCAAUAUAACUUAACUAAAAUCGCUUAAUUCAAUUAAAAUCAACCAAAAAUCAAGCUCAAAACUCAUCCAUGGAAGUUUGGCCAGCAUGGGUGUCCAUACCCACUUUCUAAUUUUGCAUGGAAAUGAGAAAAAAAUGCAUGGGUAGUGAAAAUCACAAGGAAAAUCAAUGAAAUUUACCUUUUUAAUGCUUGAUUUCUUGAUUUCUCUUGAUUUUCCCCAAAUUUUCAGGUAGGGUUCUUAUUUUUUUCCCCCUUUUCUCUCCUGGUUUGGACGGCUGAAGAAGAUGAGAAUUCUGAAAUUUUUACCUUUUUAAAGGCUAAAAUAAAUAAUAUUAUUUUAGUCAUUUUUUUAAUGUUUUAUUAAUUUCUUAAAUUCUAGCCAUCCAUUUGUUUCCAAAUUUUCACCAUACACUUGUCCCACAUAUCCAUAGCUUAGAUAAAAUUCUCAGACUUAUCCAAACUCUUGGUGGAGUAAUUUUUGAAAUUUACACUUUUACCCCCGUAAAAGUCAAAAAUUACAUUUUUGCCCCAAAAACUGAAAAAUUGCCCCUAGACAUAUUUUUCAUCCCUUAUACUCAUACCAUUCUCCAAUUUGUCAAAUUUGAUCUAAAUUCUCUCAAAAUCUCAAAUUUUAUCCGCUAGUGGUAAAAUUACGAUUUCGCCCCUACACUCUAAAAAUCACCGAAAUUAAACUUUUUCACUGCCAAACCCUCAAAUUAUACUCCAAUACUCAAAUCAUACUCCAAUAAGUCAAAUGGGGCCAAAAAAAUUCUUUUCUAAAAAUUCCCAUUGUGUCCAUGGGUGGCAAAUGACCAUUUUACCCCUGGACAGUGAAAAUUUCAAUUUGACUCCAAAUUGAUCCUCGAACUCCAAAUCACUAUAUUAAACCAUUCUGGGACUUUAAUAUUCUUAAUUUUAUUUUAAAUUCUCUAUUUGAUCUAGUUCGAGGCUUAAAUUAACUUAAUUGUAUCAUUUGGUACAUUGUCGUCUUUUAACGAUUUUUCUUUCGGGGCUUUCCAAGUAUGCAAGCAUAUUGUCAAUCAUAUGAAUGACAUGACAAGUAUUUUAUAAGGUCGGGCUUGACACAUAUACACCGAGCCUGAAUUGAUUUUAUAAUGGUCAAGCAUUGAUGUGGUGAAUUAUGUAUUGUACAUUGUGGAUAGGUGGUGAGUAAAUUACACUGAUAAAAGUACAAAGAUUGUGCUUAGAGACUGGGAUUAGGAGUGCAUCGACUCCUAUAACUAUGAGUAAACUUAUUAUCGUCUUAAUUAUCUAGAGUAGUUUUAUACAAUUGUGUGAUUUUAUCAAAAAUGGGUUUAAAUGGUAAAUUGCUAUAUUUUAGGAGAAAUUGUGAUUUUAUAAAAUGAUUUUAUAAAUUUUUUGGAAAAUUGAAUACUGGUUUUGAAAAUAGAGUAAUUGGAGACUGCUUGUGUUGUAAAUUUAUGGUUUUAAAUUGAAUGGCUUAUGACAAUAAAUGAGCAUGAAUGGCUAAACUGAUUUUUGGUGUUAGAAUUAUUUGUACUGUGUAUUCAGCCUUGAGAGGCUAGGUUGCGAUAAAUUGUCAUGUUAUGUAGAAAAAGAUUUUAUAAAUCAAGUGGUAAAUAAAGUAAUCCAUAGUCACUACAGUGGUGGGGGUUUUCGUGGACUGCCUAUGAGAGGGGCACGGUAACCCAAUUAUAUAUUUACCUCAAAGGGGAGAUGUUGGAUGAAGUAUCUUUAGAGGUAAAGAUUUGAGUGCACUUCACGUGGACCACCGCGUGAGAGUGAGACUCGGCCAACACCAAGGCAUGGCUAAAAUUUCGGAUGUAAAGACAUUUAAAAGCCUUGACAGACUCAGUUGGGAUAAUCCUCAAUCAAGGUAUCCCUGAUAACUGAGUAUGAGAAUGAUUUUUGGCACGAGCUAAGCUUUUCAGGAAAUCAUAAGCCUAGUUGUUUAUUUGAUUGAAAUGAGUUGAAAGGUAAUGAAAUUACAAUAUGAUGACUUAUUUUAAUUUGUCUCCAUUUACUCGCCUUUAGAUAGUUUAGAUGGUGUCUGUUUACUCACUGGGAUUUUAUAAUCUCACCACCCUCCUUUCCUCACAUUUUAGACUCGAGGAAUUCCAUAGUUAGCUGACUUUGACAAAGACCUUCAUUUGGACUUGAAUCGGCAAAAGCUAUAGGUUUUCAGCUUCUGAUGUAUUUUGGUUAGAUGUGGGCCCACGUGUCACUGUAAAAGUAAUUUUAUGCUUUGGUUAUUUGCUUUAUAGUAUAUAUGAAUAUAAUUAACUUUUACGUUAUAAGAAUUAUUUACCGAUAGCUUUAUAAAAAUUAUUAUACAAGAAAAUAGUUUAUUUUAUUGAAUAUUUUUAUUAUAUUCAAAUGGUCAAAUUUUCACUUCAAAUGAACGUUUUAGAUACUUAAUUUGUUUUCAAAUCACUAAAUAUAUAUUUUUUGCUUACCUACUACAUUUUUAGCAAGUUUUGAGAUUUUUGAGAAAAAAUGACGAAAAUGCCCCUGUGAGCCAGAAAACAAUAUGUUAUGUUUUGAUUUGGAAAUGACUCGUAAUCCUUUGAAUUACGAUAUUUGAUAACUAUUGCUCAUCGGGGAAGUGCAAAAGCUGAUACGAGAGCUUUACGAGGUUUCGAUUGGCAUUCGGGGUGAAGAAUGUCUGUCGAGGCUUCGCGACGGUUGUCACGGGCUCGAUGAGAGUUUCGGGUCAUGACAACACCCAUUCAAAAAAUGAGUAGUAAAUUUGAUCCAUUAUGCUAAGUAGAUUGGUGGUAAAUUUGAACCUUAUGUCAAAUUAUUCUAUGAAGUUUGUAUGUGAAAAUAUGGCAGCUAGCACAUACCCAAAUUAAAUUUGUAAAUAACAUAUACAUGUUCUAUAAUCAUGUUUUCCAACUAAUUGAUUUAUAUAUUGUUUGUUAACUCUUUUUUUUUAAGAAACAGAAAUUCUUUUACUAAGAACUUUUUUGGGAAUAAUUUGUUUAAUUGUGUUGGUUAGAUGAAAAUUAAAAAGUAGCAUUUGUCGAUGGAUGACAUGAUUGAAAAUUUUCUUCAGAGUCAAAACAAUUUAAUGCUUAUAAGAUAUUCUUAUUUUGAAAUAAAAAGAAUAACUGAUGGUUUCAAGAAUAAAUUAAGUCAAGGAGGAUAUGGUUCUAUGUUUAAAGGAAAACUUCGAAGUGGUCAACUUGUUGCAAUAAAAUUGUUAAACAAAAAAAAAAGGUAUCACCCAAGAUUUCAUCAAUGAAGUUGCAACUAUUCGAAGGAUUCAUCAUGUUAAUGUGGUAAGACUUAUUGGAUUUGGCGUGAAGGGAUCAAAAUAAGCUCUUGUAUAUGACUUCACGAAGAAUGGGUCAUUGGAUAAAAUUAUAUUUUCAACUAAAAAUAACACCUUGAGUUGGCAAAAAUGUUUGAGAUUGCAUUGGGGGUGGCUCGAGGUAUUGAAUAUUUACAUAGAGGUUGUGAAGUGCAAAUUUUACAUUUUGAUAUCAAGCCACAUAGCAUUCUUUUAGAUGAGAACUAUACUCCAAAAGUUUUAGAUUUUGGCCUCACAAAAUUGUAUUCAGUGGAUGAUGAUGUUAUUUAUCUCAUAGUAGCAAGAGAUACGAUAAGUUAUAUGGCUCCAGAAUUGUCACGACCCGGAACUCCCAUCGAGCCCAUAACAAUCGUCGCGAAGUCUCGUUAGACAUUAUUUACCCUAAAUGCUGAUCGAAACCUCGUAAGGCUUUCGUAUCAGUUUUCUUACCUCCCCUGUGAUCGACAGUAACUAAAAUCGUGUUUUGAAACGAAAUGGACCAUUUUUCCAUCCAAAAACAAUGAAAAUUUAUUUCUGCCUCACAGGGGUAUUUUAGUCAUUUUUUUUCAAAAAUACGGAAACCCUUUAAAGUAGAUAACUGAAGUAUAAAAUUACUUUUCAGUGAUACGUGGGCCCCCAACUGACCAAGAAGGUGUAGGGCUACGAACCCUUACUUUCUAGGAUGCAACUCCGAGAUUAAUUCUCGUCUUAAUCAACUAUCAACAAACUGUCUUGAGCCUGAAAAAUGGAUAGAAAGAGGGGUGAGAUUACAUAAUCCCAGUGAGUAAACAAUUACCAUCAAAAACAUCUAAAGCCGAGUAGACGGAGACAAUAUAAAAACGUUAUAUCUCAAUAAUGUUCAUAACGCAAAAUUCGUUUCAAUCUAUACCAAACAAUUUCUUUUCGUCAAAAUUUCCCGGCUUAUGAAUUUCUUAAACUUGGCCCUUGCCAGAAUCAUUCUUGCGGGUACCUUCGUCAAGGUAUCCCACUGAGACAGCCAAGGCUGUUAAAUGUCCCAUACCCAUAAACAUGUUUUCGCAUCUGACACACAGCCGUUCCUUGGCGUUGGCUGAGUCUCACUCUCAAGUGGUGGCUCGAACGUGAGGUGCACUCGAAUCUUACCUCAAGAGAUACUUCAUCCAACAUCUCUCCCCAGAGGUAGGUAUAUAGUUGGGUUACCGUGCCCCUCUCAUAGGCAGUCCACGGAAACCCCCACCACUGCAGUGACCGUUUAAUAUACCACAAGACCCAUAAAAUUUUCAGUAGCAUAAUAUGGCGAAUAAAAUUUAAUCCAGUCUAUCAAGAUUAAUCCAAAACUGUUCAUAUAUGUCAUGUCAACCCCAAAAAUUUAGCCAUCAUGUUACCAUAGUGUCAUAAGCCACAAUUUCAAUAACAUAUAAAAUCAUAAAUUCAACACAGUCUCCAUAUACUCGAUUUUUCCAAAACAAUAUUUAAUUUCAAAACCAGUAUAAAUCUCAUUUUUAUUAAAAAAACAUUUUAAUUGGAAAACAUAAUAUUUUAUAAUUUAAACUCACCAUUCAAUAAAAGCAUCAAACAAGUAUAAUUACUCUAGAGAUUUAAGAUGAUAAAUUGUCCACUCACAGUACUAGGAGUAGAAAUACUCCAAUUUUCAGUCCGCGGGUACAGUCCUUUACCCGUAUCUAAUGGCUCACCACCUAGCCAUAAUCCAUGACACAUAUUCUAAUUAAAUUGUGUCUAACAGUUAUAAGCUAUUUCAAGCUCGAUAUAUAUGCAUGAUAUGAAAAUGAAAAAUACACGAGUAGCCAUCUAGACCCGGUAUUGGCCUAAGUCGAUUUUUCAUCCGAUAAAUUGGCCAAUGCGUCCAAUUUCACUCCAACUUGCUCCAUUUUUUUCCCAAUCCCUCAAUUCACGAAACACAAACUAAUUAACACAGAAUUAGGCAAAAUUUAUCUUCACUUUUCUUCUUAGAACUUUUGGCCAACAAUGGUACACUAACUCCAUGAUUUUUUCUACUUAAUUUUCUCUCCAUGAUUCAUUAAUUCCUACACAAAAAACUAUUAUUUCUUAAUCAAAUCACUUAUAAUAACAUCUCAUUCUUCCUCAUUAUUCACUUAGAGAAUUCGGCUAUUGAUGGACACCAAACUUUUGGUGGUUUUCUUCACUUGUUUUCAUGCUACACAUCAUUAAUCACCUAAAAACACUAACAUACCUAAAAAUCAAACCAAUCCAAGAUCAUUCUCUCUCCAUACCCAUUUUGACCAGCCAUGAAUUCACCAUGAAAGCAUGCUUUUCAACCAUGAAAAUUAAGGGAAAAUGCAUAGGAAAAAUAGUUCAUAAACUAAAAUCAAGAAAUUUCACCUUUUUCCACUUGAUUUUCUUGAAAAUCCACACUUUUCUCUUGAAUUUCUUUCCACCUAGGGUUUGUUCUUCUUUUCCCCUUUGUUUUCUUGCCAAAGCUGACCCUUAUGAGAGAGAAAUGGUGGUGUGGGCUGAUUUUUAUAGUUAAAUAAUAUAAUAAUUUAAACUUGCCACAUGGCAUUCCAUGAUUGGCCCAUUUUUUUAAAUUCUUAUCUUUUAAGAUUUAAAUCUCCACCACACAUUUUUCAAGGGUCAAAAAUGAUGAUGGGUGAAGACCUUGUGCUGGAAAAAUGCUCUCGGGGUGCAAAAUUACCAUUUUGCCCCCGAAGUGACAAAAUUACCAUUUCACCCAGGUACUCCAAAUUAUACCGAAAUUAAAAUUUUUUACUUCUAAACCUCAAAUCAUACUCCAAUAAGUCAAAUGGGGUCAAAAAAUCUUUUUUAAAAAUUUUAUUUUUGUCCCCAGGUGAUAAAUUACCAUUUUACCCUUAGAUAGUGAAAAUUUUGGUUUGACUCCAAAUUGAUCCUCAAACUCCGAAUUACCAUUUUGAGUCAUCCCUGGACUGUGAAACUCUUAAUUUCACCUUAAAAUUUCUAUUUGAACUAGUUCGAGGCUUAAUCGACUUAAUGGUACCAUUAGGGGCAAUAUCGUCUUUUAACAAUUUCUCGAACUUCCUAAAUAUGCAAACAUUCUAUUGAGCAUGUAAAUAACGUCGUAAUUAUUUUAUAGAACAGGGUUUGACAAGAAUUGUUUUAUAAAAAUAUCAGAGGUAUCUCAUAUAAAGCCUAUGUUUAUAGUUUUGGAAUAAUGUUAAUGGAAAUUAUGGGAAGGAGAAAAAAUUUAAAUGCCUCUACCUAAUAUUCAAGUCAAAUUUAUUUUCCAUCAUGGAUAUAUGAUGGAUUAGAUGAAGGAGAUAUCAUGGAGCUUGGAGAUGUGACAAAAAUUGAAAACAAAAUUAUGAGGAAAAUGAUAAUGGUAGCCUUAUGGUGCAUACAGAUGAAACCCAUAGAUCGUCCUUCAAUGAGUAAUGUCUUAAAGAUGCUUGAAAGUGAAGUUGAGAUCCUUGAAAUGCCUCCCAAGCCUUCUUUUUCUCGAAAUGUCAACUAAAAAUAGUAAGAAUUCUCACCACACACGCGACAAUCAGCCUUCCUCAACUACCUUGUGAUAUUCGUCAUUGGGACUACUAGGAUUUGACCUCAUGUUCAAAUUAGAAAAUAAUCAAUAAAUUAAAAAUAUAAUGCAACGAAAAAAUAAAUUAGUAUUUAAUCAUGAAACAGUCGAAUCUUACAAUAUCAAUGUUUGUGCUUUUCAUGUAACUUUCAAAUUAAUUAUAAACAUUCAUAAGUUUAAGAGUUACAAAUCUUGCUCCAUAUAUGGUAAUCAAGAGCCAAUUAAAUCCAAAAUCUUUGUUUCUUCACCUUUGGGAUUUGUCAAAUCUUCAGCCACCCAAGUGUUUGGCCUUUAACAGUAAUCCACACAGUGACCGAAUAUGACCUUCUCAAAGGUAGGAUUUUUUACUUGUGCUGGCAAGUUUUGUUUCAAAAAAAAAAAAAAAACCAAAAGUUCUUGCUAAAUCUUAUUUUUAUCAGACAAAAAAAAUAAUUUUUCUUUUCUUAUUUUAUGAAGCAACUGAAAAGUGGUUGGCGGCUUAGAGUUUUAGUUUGCUAAUAUAAUAUAUUUAUAUAACCGAAUUAAGUUGUAACCCUAAAAACAAUAGUUGUAUUUUAAUUUAAUUAGGUCUCUAAGAACUUAAUUAAUUUUGUACUUUAUUUUGGUCUCUUUCAAUUAAGUCCAACUUAAUUAAUUAUCCUCAUUUAAUCCCAAUCAUGUUACUUAAUGUGUUUGACCCAUUAGGCUUCUAACAUGUUGGCAAUAAAUAUAAAUAAUAAUCAAAUAUCAAUUUGAUAAUUAAUUUAUAUUUAUAGAUCAUAAGCGGCAUUUAGCAAUGUAUCGUGACCACCUAAAUGUUAGAGAGUUAAUUAAAGAAUUUGACAAAGCUUUUCAGUGAUAAGCCUCUUAGUAUAAUACAGUCCUUUCAUCAAAUAUCUCGGAUAUGUCAUUAAGCAUGGCUCAGUGUCUACUUAUAACAUUCGAUAUUAGUUCUCAUAAUUCAUGAUUAACUUUAUGAAUUUAGGAAACUAACUUUUCUCAAAUUCGUCAUGCUUUGGCCAAAGACUUUAUACAAGUUAAUCAAGAAUUGAGAACAAGUGAGAUACAUCCCCUCAUAUCACUUGGGGUAAUAAAUCCUCUCUUGACCACUCAUUCACCUUCGCAUGCUUCAUGGCAUAUCCAAAAGAGUACUUUUCAUUAAUGGGCCAGAGGCAUAAGGCGUUUUUAAGAAUGGUCUUCCUUAUAAUUUUAUCUUUUUUUAGCCAAGAGAAAAAAAAUUGGACAAAAUUAUCCUUAAUGAAACCGACCCAUUCACUAGGCUCCACACCUCAACCCGAAACCUAUUAACGGGUUAAGUAUGUUUAGGUUUGCGCCACAAACUGACUCAUAUUUUUUGAGCUUUCCUUACUAGACUAUUCAUCUCUAGAGUAUUCCUUACCAGAAAGAAAAACGUUUAAGUAUUGUGAGCAUUUUAGAGUAGUUUUUGAUACACGAAGAAAACUUGUGAGCGUUUUGAGCAUUUUUAAACAUUUUAGAGUGAUUUUUGAUAUAUGAAGAAAAACUUUCGAACAUUUUGAGCAUUCAUAUUUGUUAAUUAUGUUGUUAAAUAAAAUAUGGUGUAUCGUUUGAAGUUGUUGAUCUUGUUAAAUGGAAUUCAGUAGUUUUGGUGAUUUUUGAGAAUUAUGUGACUACUUUUUAGGCAUUGCGUGACUGACUUUGGAUAUUACGUGACUGACUUUGGGCAUUACGUGACUGAUUUUUGAUAAGGUAUUGCGUGACUAGUUUUUGAUAAGGCAUUGCUGACUAGUUAAUAGGCAUUACGUGACUGACUUUGAGUAUUGCGUGACUAGUUUUUGAUAAGGCAUUGCGUGACUAGUUUCUAAUAAGGCAUUGCGUGACUAGUUGAUAGGCAUUGCGUGACUAACUUUGGGCAUUGUGUGCCUAGUUUUUGAUAAGGCAUUACAUGACUAGUUUCUGAUAAGGCAUUGCAAGACUAAUUUAUAGGCAUUGCGUGACUUGUUAGUAAGGCAUUGCGUGACUUGUUAGUAAGGCAUUGCGUGACUUAUUAGUAAGGCAUUGCGUGACUAGUUUGUAGGGCAUUGUGUGACUUAGGCAUUAGUUAAAAAUCAGUCACGCAAUAUAUAAAAACUAAUCACGUAAUGCCUAAAACCAAUCAUGUAAUGACUAAAAACUAGUCGUGCGGUGAUUAAGUCACGCAAUACCUAAAAACCAGUAAACUCAAUUUUUGGUUCUAUGAAUAAACCAAUAAACUCAAGAACCUAAAACACAUAUUUUUUUUUUGCUAAGCCAUAAAAUUGUGCAUUUCAUAAAAAAUAGAUUACAAAACUCCAUAACCCUCUAAAACAAGAGAAAAUAUAUCCCUAUCGGGAGGUCUUGCUCACUCCCUUUAUCCAAAAACAAAAUAUACCCUCUUUACAAAAUAUUUUCUGAACAAUUUCAACUCAAAAUCCCUAGCAAACAUGCUUAACAAUCAUCCUAAUCCCAGACACAAUAAAACUGUGAACCACCAUAAAACCCAUCAAACAUGCUUUAGCUGUUCUUUCUCCAUAAGCAAAAUCACUGCCUGCAAAUAGCAAAAUCGUUGUUCAUCGCCCUUAAGAACCCCAAGAUCAACCAUCCAAAAAAUUAAAAUAAAAUAAAAAAGAGCUUGAUGUCAUAUCUACGAAUUGGAUGGCGAGAUAGACAUAUUUAAGCAGAGAGAGAAAUCAAGAUUUAAUUUUGAAAUUUUUAUCUAGAUGGCGAGGGAGAGAAAACUGAAACUAUUUUAAUCUGUCUGAAAUAGUUUAAAGGAUAUUAUUGUCAAGUCAUAGCAAAAAUUGACCAAAAAUAGUUAAAAUUAUAAAAAAAAUGAUAUUUUUGAAUUGAGCUUAUGAGGAAGGUUAUUUCUCACAAUUUCCUCUAUCCAAAAACAAUUUGUUUAGGCAUCUAGUCGUUUCCAAACCCGUUGGAGUGAAAUCAAAGUAUGUCAUUUCUUAUACAAGAUGACCUAGUGUCUCAAGUCUGAAGACUGGUUGCAUGACUAUCACAUGAGAAUAUUUUUCAUAGACAUUUGAGUGAAAUACCAAAUAGAGUUCUCAUAGCGGGUCAUGUUCAGUGAACUUAUUCUUUAACAAGCACCUACAUAUUAUCCUCAAGUAUCCCUUAUACUUCAAUCUAUAAAAUCGAUUGCUUACUUCCCAAGUAAGGAUGCUUAAUAUGUACCAGUCUUUGAGCAUUGUCAAUGCCCUGUCUUGACAAUACAAUGACCAAGAACAAUUUUAGAAACAUGGCUUUGAUGCAUAGUGAUCUCAUAAUUGUAACAACUUUACAAUUCUCUUGCAAGGCUUUUAUGUUCCAUUGGCUUCAUCAAAUUAGUACUUAAUAACUCCUUAUUAUUACACUAACAUGAAGGAAAACCUCUAUCACAUAUAAUUAUGAGAUUAAAUAUGCAUUAAAUGACAAUAUAUAUUCCUUGACUAAUAUAAUUAGCUCAAGGUUAUAUACCAAUAGGGACGCCACUCAACAUUGUGAUCUUACUAAAUCUGAUUAUUUUUUCUGUAUUUAGAUUUUUGAGUGGUACAUAGUUUUGUUUCCACCAAGAUCUAGCAGGCAGUGUUUGUAUUCUCUCUACUACCUUUGUUCGUUUUGUUUCUGCUACUUUUCUAUAUCCCUAUAUCUGAUCUCUGAUGAAAUAAAUCAUUUCCUCACUUGCAAAAAAUUUGCAAGAAAAUGUAAAUUUUAUUUUUCCCUUAUUUUAUACGAAGAAAAUAUGUUUUAUCUUAUAUUUAUAUUUUUAUGUAUGUAUGUAUGUAUCUAUAGUAUUAGUUGUUUAAACUUUUUAGGUGCAACUAAAAUACUUCUAACAAAAGAUUGUAUAGAGCAGCCAAAUUUGUAAUAAAAUAUUUUUAAUAACACAAGUUAACAAAAUUUUAAAUGCUAAAGUUAUUGUAGUGUGUUUUUUCCCUUCGGUUCUAGACUCUAAGCUAAUUGAAUUUUCAAAGAAAGAUUUGCUUUCAUUUGCAGCUACAGAAUGAUAAGCAGAACAACCAAGAUAAGAUUAUCUUAGUUCUUAGUUAAUCUUUCUUUUUAAACUUUUUUAUACAUAUACCAAAACAUGUAAAAUAUGGGCUAAUUGGUCCUUUUAGACUUAAUAGGUUGACGGUGAAAUUUUAAGACUACACAAUGAAUUUAUAGGAUUGCUCGAGUGAUUUUGUUUAUAUCUUAUUGGAGGUUUAUAUUAAUCUCUUAACUCAGACAAAUUACAAAGAUUCCUUUUCUGUCAGUUUCAUUAUCAAUCAGUUGCAUACGUUGUUUCUUCACUUAUUUCUAUUUGAGUGUAAAAUCAGCUAAGAGCUUUGAUUGGCUUUAGUUAGUUGACUUGACUGACUUUCGAAUAAAGACAAGUGAGCAAGAAUAACCGUACAUUUUCCCCAUGAGAUUUUCUAUGUGAAAAAAGCCAUACAAGUCUUAGAGGUGAGUCUUGACAAGGAUAACUCUCCAUUCCUCAUUAGUUCAUAUCCUUGCUACAUCCUUGGUGGAAAAAGCCUACCACUCGGUAGAAGAUUUGUUGGAAUCUAUACUAAAAAAGAUAAAGCAAAAUACACGAAAAAGUAAUAAAUAUUUAACAGUUAAUAACAAAAGAAAUAAGAAAGAGUGUUGAAUGUGAAACUUGGUUCAAAACACGUUAUGAAAGGCAUUGAUUUUAAAGUAGAUUUCCGUUGUUACCUCAGUGCAAAUAACAAUCAAUGAUGUCUUACUCCAAAGAUACAAGAACCACUCAAAGAUAUUCUAAUGUGCACUCAAAUAGAAAAUCUGGUAAACUUGUAAAUCUCUUAACUAUUCUUGAAGGAAUUUAGAAUGAAAAAAAAUAGAGUUUUUGGAAAUAUAAAAUGCUUUAAAUGAAUUUUUCAAAAAGAAAACCUAGGUAUUUAUAGAUAGUGAACCAUCACUAAUGUAUCUCUUCAUUUAGAUGCAUUUACUCAAAAGUGAACAAAUGUGUCCUUUUAUAAGUACAUACUUUUCUACAAUCAAAAGUUAUACCUCUUUCAACAAACAUAUUAAAUUUUGAGUCACUAAAAAUAAAAUAAAAAUUAAAAAUCCAACAAGAAUUGGUGUACAUCUCCCUUAUUAUACAUGCACCUCAAUAUAGGAUCAUAUAUCUCUUAAAUUGUAGGAUGAAAAUGAACUCUUCGGUUUACAUUGGUGCUUCUCAUUCCACCAAUCGGUGUUCCUCUACAUCUUUUGUUUCUUCGGUAUUUUACAUUGUUAAUGGGACAAUUUGAUAAAAAGAUCAAAAUAUAAUUCUUUGAAAAUAUUAUGUACAAUAUACAUGAAAAAAUAUUACGAAUUUAAUUUCUUUAAUUAUUGCGAGAGUUAUAAAAAUAAUUGUAGAAGCAAGUCUAAUGACCAUAGGCUUUAUUUGAAUAGAUAUUUUUCUUCUUUUUCGUGUCCAACUGGUCGUAACCUGUUUUCAAAUUUAAAUAAAUAAGAAAAAAGUAUCCAAGACUUUGAGUAUUUCAGAUAGUUAUUCACGAGCUUCACUAUCUUCAUGCAACAAAUUUGAAUUUUUAUUUUGGAAAGACAAUUUUGAAGUUUAGAUAUGCGUAAUUUUUUUUUUUUACAAAGUGAAAAUGUACAUAUAAAGUACAAGGAAAGAUAUACUUGUAUCUAUAUAAAAUUAAAUUAGUUAAACAGUCUUUUAUAUUUUUUAUACAAUUUAUAUUUUGUUAAUCCAACUGUUGAAAUUGUUAUAUUCAUAUAAAUCAUGCAUAACAGAUUUCAAAUUAAUAAAAAUGAUUAACUAUUUAUUUGAUAAAAAUAAAAUUCUAAUUGUGAUAUAAAAUAUAAAGAAAAAUAUACUAAGAAAAUAAUUGAGAGAAGAAUUGAGAAAAAAACUUUGGGUUCAUUUCUCAUGAGAAAAGAACUUCUGGUUCAUUUCUCAUUAUUUCUGAUUAUUAUUGAUUGUGAUUUUUUCAUUGAGUGCAAAGCUCUAUUUACAUUGAAUUGACUUUGAAACUUUACAUAAGUGAUAAGUAAAAGUUGUUAAAUCUAACAAAAAUAUUAAUUUCUUAGGAAGUUAUAUAAAAGUGUAAAACUAAUUAUUUUUACAUAUAUAAAUUAUUAAUUUAUCAUGAUUUAGGCUUUUGUGUGCGAUUUUUUCAUAUUUAACUGUAGUUGAAAAUAUGCAAUCUUUGAUAAUAUAUGCAUGUAAUAUUUUUGUUGGUGCAAAGGGGGUUUAUACGGUAUUCAAAAGAAUUAGCAAAAUUGACUUCAAGGUGAGCCUUUCAAAUAGACGUCUAUCUUUAAGACUUAUUUUGCCCCUACCACUUGAUAUGUAAAGGGGAAUAAUGCGAAUAGUCUCAAAGAUACAAUGAAGCAAACGUCUAACUUUCAUAUUGUACUUACGAAGUAGAUUGCUGGAUACACCCAAGGAUUUGCAAAGUUGCUUGGCCUUAGAACCAACUUUCUACAGCAAGUAGAUUGUAAGGAAUUCGGAAUAUCUUGUAGAUGAUGGAAACUUAAGUAUUUAUAUUUAUAAUAAAACACAACACUUAUCUUGCUCUUGACUUUUCUACUCUUGUCUUGUUUUUGAUUGUUUGGUGUGUUAAAAUGGUUGGCAACAAGCCCUUUAUAUAAGCUUCCAAGUGUAUUUUCUUCCAAGACACAACCCUUUCAUAAAGAUACCUUUUGUCUAAAAGGUAUCUCUACAUUUUUGCCAACACAACUUUUAGAUAAAGGUAUUGUUUCAAUAGUCACCUUACAAAAGAUAGCUAUUCAUUCCAUAAGGUAUAACCUUUGAGUUAUAACUUGAACAAUAACUUUUCACAUUUAACUUUUGAGCAUGUGGUGUCUUUUCAAUAUGUCUCUUAACUUUUGGAUGUCAUUUUUCAAAAAGACACAACUUUUCACAUGAAAACUUGCUUAUAUUCCAAUAGACACAUUAUGUCACUUUUCGUGACAUAAAUUUUGAGCUAAUGAUAGCUUUUCCAUCAUGUGACAUAACCUUUAAUUUUGAAAAAAUACCAACAAUCCCCCACCAUUUUCAAAAUUUUCAAAUACCAAUAACUUUGGGAAACUUAUGCAUAAAUGAAGGUAUCCUGCAGAUUUGAACCUUCACUUAGUGAGUGUGGUUGGUUCUAGUCUGAAUUGAGUGGUUGACCAAGCAUUGAACCAUCGAUUCUUCAUUGACUAGUCGGGUCACUAAACACACACAAGCUUCCUUGCACACAUUGUAUCUAGUUUUGACAAUACGUUUUAUGGCCUUCUGUUUUGUAUCCAUUCAUAAGUGCUGUCAGAGUCAAGCCUUUAACUCCUAGAAGUGGCCACAUUUCCACUCAUAUAGGUAGCCCCCAUCGAAAAUACCCCAUAAUUAUAGUACUUCAAUAUAUACAUGUUAUGGGUUUAUUAAGAACUUUCGUUCAACCUUACUUUACACAUUACAGGAACCAAGCACUAUACACCUUGGGAUGGAAAAUAUAACUUAGUGCUUGCAGUCACCAUGUGGUAGAAUGGUAAGUACCCGAGACUUGCAAGUCGGCUACAAGCUUCGAGGUGAUUUCCCACCAUUGGCAACUUAGUUGAUAAGCUUGAGACCUAUUCCUCUUGAGGUCUUUAUAACCAUAUCCUUUUUCAAACCUUUAGUAAAUGGAUCUACUAAAUUUUCACAGACCUCACAUAACUUAUAGUGACUAUACCAUCACUAAUUCUUUGUCGUCUUACAAUGCUAUGUCGAAGUCCAAUAUAUCGACUCUUCCAUUGUAAGCUUGAUUAUAUGCUUUUGAUACAGUUGAUUCAUUGUCACAAUGUAUCAAGAUUGGUGCCGUUGGUUUAGGCCACUACGAAAUUUGAUAGAGUAAAUCUCUCAACCAUUCCGCUUCUUGGGUGGCAAAUGCUAAGGCUAUAAAUUUAGUCGCCAUGGUGGAGUCUGCUUGACAAGAUUGUUUCUUAGAACCCCUAGAAACAGCACCCCCACCAAUUGUAAAAAUCCAACCAAUCGUGGAUAUGUACUCUAUUCUAUUUGAGUUCCAACUUGCAUUUGUAUACCCUUCUAAAACCGAAGGAAAACCUGAAUAGCAGAUGCCAUAAUUCUUUAUACUCUUUAAGUACCUUAGAACUCUAUGAACAACAUACCAAUGUUUUUUACUCGGAUUACUUGUAAAUCAGCUUAGCAUCCCAACCGCAAAAGCAAUAUCCGGCCUUGUACAGACCAUUGCAUACAUAAGGCGUUCAAUCACCUUUGCAUAUUCAUUUUGUGCUAUUGCCUUGUCUUCGUUAGGUAUUAGCCUUAGAUUAGAAUUAUAAGGCAUAGUCAUUGGCAUACAAUCUGACUUGCCAUACUUCAUUACAAUCUUUUCGAUGUAAUGAGAUUGAGACAAUGUUAGGCCAUUAUUGUCUCUUAUUAUUCUUGUACCAAGAAUAACAUCUGCCAUACCCAUAUCUUUCAUGUCAAAAUUCUUUGACAAGAACAUUUUUGUGUCUUCCAUUUGUUCCAAAUCGGUACCAAAUAUUAACAUGUCAUCUACAUAUAAACAAAUGAUGACACCUCUACCAUUAUGGAACUUACUAUAGACAUACUUGUCAAAUUGAUUAACCUUGUAGCCAUUAGCUAGCACAACCUCAUCAAACUUUUGAUACCAUUGUUUGGGUGCUUGUUUUAAUCCAUACAAGGACUUUACAAGCUUACAUACUUUCCUUUCUUGACCAGAAAAGACAAACCCUUCAGGUUGUUCCAUAUACACCUCUUCAUCUAACUCACCAUUUAGGAAUGUUGUUUUAACAUCCAUCUGGUGAAUUACCAUCUUUUAUAUAGAUGCAAGUGCUAUAAGCACUCUAAUUGUAGCUAUUCUUGCUACCAGUGCAUAUGUAUCAAAAUAAUCAACACCUUCAUUUUUUUUAAAGCCUUUGGCUACUAGCCUUGCUUUAAACUUUUCUACGGUUCCAUCAACUUUCAUUUUCUUUUUGAAAUCCACUUACAGCUUAUUGGCUUGGAACCUGGUGGAAGGUCUACCAAUUUCCAAGUUUUGUUUCCCAUUAUUGAGUCCAUCUCAUCUUGUAUUGUUUCUCUCCAAAAUGAAACAUCAUGAGACUUCAUUGUUUCAUAAGUUUGAGGAUCACCUUCACCUUCUACAUGAAAGCAGUAAGGUAAGUAUUCACAUGUUUCCUCUCUUGUACCUUCUACUAAGUACAUGAGGAAAUUGGAUCCAUAUGUUUUUGCUUACUUAAUUCUUUUACUUCUUCGAAGCUCAAUAGUUUUCUCAUCAUUUUUUGAAGGCUUAUCACAUUUUGUUACUAGGUCUUUGGGUCUUGGAAUUGAAUUGAACCUUGUUUCAUCAAAGAUAACGUCCCUCGAGUCUAUGACUGUAUUAACAGAAUAUGAAUAAUUGGGCUCUAUCACCAUGAAACGAUAUGCUUUACUAUGUCCAGGAUAUCCUAUAAAUAUACAUUCAAUUCCUUUUUCACCCAAUUUCCUUUUUUUUUUUGCUCUGAAACUCUUACCAUGGCUCGACAUCCCCAAACUCUUAAAUAAUUAAGAUUUGGCUUUCGCUCUUUCGAUAGUUCAUAAGGAGUAGUUUUGCUCCUUUUGUUUGAGAUUCUAUUUAGUAUAUGGCAAGCCGUUAAUAAGGCUUUGCCCCAAAAUCCUUUUCCCAAACUUGAAUUAGAAAGCAAAGCAUUGACCAUUUCCGUAAGAACUCGAUUUUUACGUUCUGCUACACCAUUUUGUUCCGAUGUGUAUGUAGUGGUAGUCUCGUGAAUAAUUCCAGUGGACUCAAAAUACUUGGGAUCAUAAUAUUCACCUCCUUUAUCAUUUCGUAAACAUUUAAUAAACAAUUCACAACACAAUUCAACUUCUCUUUUAUAAAUUCUAAAUUUCUCCAAUGUUUCAUCUUUAGUAUGCAAUAAGUAAACAUAGCAAUAUAUAGAUAAGUCAUCAAUAAAUGUUACGAAGUAUUUCUUUCCACUGAUAGAAGGAGUACUAUGCAUGUCACAAACAUCAGAAUGUAUUAAUUCAAGUAAUUUUGUGCUUCUUUCUACCUUAGGAAAUGAACUUCUUAUGAUUUUAGUAACCAUGCAUGUCUUGCACAUAUCAUUAUUUUCAUCAAUGUUGGGUAUUAAUUCUAAUUUAGCCAUAUCAUGCAUUCUUCUAUAAUGAACAUGACCUAAUCUAUUAUGCCAUAGAUUAGUUGGGAUUGCUUUACUAUCAUGAACAUUGAACGAGGCAUUAAUAUAAGUAGAACUAGUAAGAUUCUUAUUGACAUUAAGCUUGAACAUGUUUUUACAAUAGUAUCCACUUCCCACAUAAUGUCCACCUUUUGUAAAGAUGAACUUAUCCUCUUCAAAUAUUAAUUUGAAACCAUACUUAUUCAACAAGCCACCUGACACAAGGUUCUUUCUAACUUCUGUAACAUAAUAGACAUUGUUUAGUACAAGUAUCUUUCCAGAAGUAAACAUAAGUUCCACAGUGCUUUUUCCUUUCACUUGUGUAGUGGAGGAAUUUCCCAUGUAUAGUACAUUUCCAUUAUUAACUUCUUUCAAAGUCUUAAAAAAGCUUUUGCUGUUGCAUGCAUGAUUAGUUGCACCAGUGUCAAUCCACCAUGCUCCAUCAUCUUGGAGAAGAUUGACCUUAGAAACCAUAGUCAUAAAUUUGUUGUGGUUCACACCUUGUGUCUUGUUUCUCAAAAGUCUACAUUCCGCCUUAAAGUGACCAAGUUUGUUACAAUGAAAACAUGGCCCUUUUUUGUUCCUUUUAAACUUAUGACAUUUGUCAUUCAUACCCACGAAAUGUUUUCUUUUGUUGCAUAAAAAUGGCUUGUUUAAUGGUUUGUGUUCCAUCACAUGGACCUUUAAAGUCUCAAGAUUCUUUUCAUUAGAAUCUUUUUCAUCUUGCUUGACUUCUUCUUGCUUACAAUAAUCUUCUUCUAUUUGAAGAUGAUUACCAAGCUCUUCGACAGACAUAUCCUCUUUUCUAUGUUUUAGGAAUUUCUUUGUGUCUCUCCAUGAAGGGGGAAGUUUAUCAAUUAUUGAAGAUACCACAAUAGCUUCAUCUAUUUUAAGACCAUAUUGCUUAAAGCUAUUGAGAAUGUGUUCAAGUUCAUGCAAUUGUUCCAUAACAAAAUGAUUAUCAACCAUUUUACAAUUAUUGAAACAACUAACCAGGAAUUGUUUGCUGCUUGCAUCUUCCGUCAUGUAUCUUGCUUCCAACUUGUCCUAAAGUUGCUUUGCACUAGCUUCGUUCUGGUACGCAUCGAACAAAGCAUCCGGCAUUUCAUUAAGAAUGUGUCCCAUGCAUAUGUAGUCAUCAUUAUCCCAUUUUUGCCUUGAACAAGUUCUUUUCACGGAUUAUUCACCAUCUUCUUCACUUGGUCGUGGUGUAUCUAGAACAUAAGCGACUUUAAGAGUUAUGAGUAGGAAGUGUAUCUUUUCCAGCCAUCAAAUGAAGUCUCCUCCAUCAAAGCAAUCUAACUUGACAAUGUUGGUAGUUAUCUCUUUGAGUGAAGCCAUUUUGAAUACCACGAAAAUAAGUCUUAAAACUAUUGGUGCGAAGGGGGUUUAUACAAUAUUCAAAAGAACUAGCAAAAUUGACUUAAAAGUGAGCCUUUCAAAUAGACGUCUAUCUUUAAAACUUAUUUCGCCCCCACUAUUUGGUAUGCAAAGAGGAAUAAUGUGAAUAGUCUCAAGGAUACAAUAAAGCUAAUGUCUAACUUUCAUAUUGCCUCACGAAGUAGACCGCUAGAUACACUCGAGGGUUUGCAAAGCUUUUUGGCCUUAGAACCAACUUUCUACAACAAGUAGAUUGUAAGGAAUUCAGAAUAUCUUGUAGAUGAUGGGAACUUAAGUGUUUAUGUUUAUAACAAAACACAACACUUAUCUUGCUCUUGACUUUCUGCUCUUGUCUUGUUUAUGAUUUUUUAGUGUGUUAAAAUGAUUGGCAACAAACCUUUUAUAUAGGUUUUCAAGUGUCUCUUCUUCAAGGAUACAACUCUUUCAUAAAGACACCUUUUGUCUAAAAGGUAUCUCUACAUUUUUGCCAACACAACUUUUAGAUAAAGGUAUUAUUUCAAUAGUCACUUUAUGAAAAGAUAACUAUUCAUUCCAUAAGUUAUAACCUUUGAGUUGUAACUUGAAACAAUAACUUUUCAUAUUUAACUUUUAAGCAUGUGGUGUCUUUUCAAUAUGUCUCUUAACUUUUGGAUGUCAUUUUUCAAAGAGACAACUUUUUACAUGAAAACUUGCCUAUAUUCCAAUAGACAUAUUAUGUUACUUUUCGUGACAUAACUUUUGAGCUAAUGAUAGCUUUUUUGUCAUGUGACAUAGUCUUUAAUUUUGAAAAAGCACCAACAAUUUUUGUUCAAAAUAUUACCAAAAAAUUAUAUAUAACUGUGAAAUCUAUAAAGCACCCGAGCAUUUAGCUCAUUGGUUGGAGUAUGAUCUUCCUGUCUAAAGAGUAGGGUUCGAAUCCCCCCUCUCCCAAUUAUAAAAAAAAAAACUGUGAAAUAUGUAAAAGUUCUAUGCAAAUGGAUUUCUAACAACAAAAGUUAAUGAAAUAAAUAAAUGCAAAUUUAUUAUAGCGUGUUUUUUCCACUUGUUCAAAGGAAGAUUUGAUUUCAAUUGCAGCCACAGAAAUAAUUAGCAAAGCAAUAAAGAUAACACUAUCUUAACUCUUUUUUAAUCUUCCUCGUUAAACUGUUUUAUACAUAAUAUUUAAAAAAAUGACUUUUUUAUACUUACAAAAAAUAAAUAUAAGAUAUGGAAAUUGAUUUUUUUUUGAAGAGGAAAUUGAUCUAUUUUAUUUAAAUUAUAUUUUAUAUAUUUGCGAUGAAAUUUUGAAAUUCCAAAUUUUAUAACAUUAUUUAAGCGAUUAAAUAUAUAUAUAUAUUUAUUUAUUUAUUUAUUGAGGUGUUAUAUUAAUCUCCCUACCGUACAGAUAUACUUGGAUGAAUUAGAAAGAUUUCUUUUCUGUUAGUUUCGCUACCAAUUGGUCGGACAGAUUUUCUUCUUUCUUGUUUGAUUGCGUGGAAAAUCACCCAUCAGUCAUUGAGUUCUAUGAUAGGCUAUGUGUUAAACGUGUUCUGCGGUUUGGGAUUUAAUGAGUUGACUGACUUUUCAAAAGACGACAUGAAAAGAAUUAUUAUUUAAAUAUAACAUAUUUAAAUAAAUAUAUAUAUUUAUUUAAGAUAUGGAGAUUGAUCAAUUUUAUUUAGAAUUAUUAUUUUGUAUAUUUGCAAUGAAAUUUUGAAAUUCCAAAUUUCAUAACAUUAUUUAGGUCAUAUUAUAUAUAUAUAUAUAUAUAUAUUAUGUUAAGGGGUUACAUUGAUCACUGUGCGGAUAUACUUGGAUGAAUUGCCCAUGAGUGCUAUGGUAGGCUUUGUGUUAAAUGUGUUUUCUGGUUUGGGUUUAAUUAGUUGACUGACUUUUCAAAAGAAGACUUGGUUUUAACAAUAAAUCCAAGAUAACAUCAUCAUAGUGCGUCUUCACAAACUAAGCCCUUAAUCCCUUUCUCUCGCGCUGAAAUUUUAGGAUGCUAAGAGCAAAACUUCCAUUAUUCGGCCUUCUGGCCCUUGCUUUAUCUCUGUUCCCUGAUGCAUGCAUCGCUAGAGGCAAACACAAGCACUGUGGCUCUUCUUUCUGUGGAAACAUUAACAUCACUUACCCUUUUCGAUUAAAAAGUCAGCCUCGUAGUUGUGAUUACAAUCGUUAUGAACUAGUAUGCGAGAAUAACCGCACCAUUUUCCCCAUGAAAUAUGGGAAUUUCUAUGUCCAACACCUCUCUUAUAGUGACAAAACCAUUCAACUUUUAGACGUGAGUCUCGGCAACGACAACUGCUCCAUUCCUCAUAGUUCCUAUCCUUGGUACACCCCUUUCGCGAAAGAACUACAUCUCUAUCGAGCCACCACUGAAUAUAGCGUCAUGUAUCUCAUAAAUUGCACGACGCAGAUCAACAACUCUUCCGUUUAUAUCGAUGCUUUUCGUUGCACCAAUACCCCUUCCUCCUCUCAACCUCCGUACUUUUACUUUUUGGAUGAAAAUACAGCACCGUCUGAAUUCCAUGAGUCAUGCACUGUUGAAGCCCGGGUUCCAAUCAUGGUUGCCAGUAUCACCGGCCUCUCUACUUUUGAUAUUUACACAAAGCUGUUAACGGGAUUCCAACUCUCAUGGUCGACUUCCUAUGAUGAUUAUGUUUGGCUGCGGUGGGACUCAAUUGUUAACGUGUGAGGAUUUUUUUAAGUAUUGCGAAAUAUUUGGUGUUG
rnacentral:lncRNA from 1 species